rnacentral:lncRNA from 1 species
CACAAUUGCUUCACCCUCGUUGGGAGGCUGGUGGGGGUCAAUGCGGUGCACAAGUCCAUGUCCACUAAAGUGGAAAAGCAGGACAUCUCCUUCUUUAGCCGCGACCACCAUCUUCUUGAGUGCAGCCAUAAUGUUUGCACGUGUAGGCUUACACGUGGACUCUGGUUCAUCAGUUAGGAGCUCAACAUUUUCGGAAUCAAAGCCAAACCUGCUCACGAUCAUUUCUCUCAUGGCUUUCGCAUCGUUUACGCAUCCGCUCAACUUGUUGAUGGUGUUGGGGUAGUUGCAUCCGACCAGAACGGCUCUCUUCUUACAUUCGGUGGCCAUCUUGCUUCUGUUUUGGGUCGCUUGUCUUGUCUUGUGCUUCGGACGUUGCACUAAACACCUAUAUAUAUGCACACAUACACACUGUAGUUUACACUAUGCUCACUGACCAUACUCUAAUAAAUAAUACAUCAUGUUGGUAGGUACAACUGUUUUAUUUUAUUUUUUGUUUAGAAAAAAAAAGGGCUUUUUUUAUAAAAACAACCCAAAAAUAAUUAAUUACUUAAAUGACUUAUUUUUUUGAUAAAAUACGAAAAUAACCUGAAAUCUAUGGAAAAAGUUGGUGGAGCUAAAGUGUGCCACCAACAUGCCACGUCAGCAAUUUAUAUUAAAAAAUUAAUUUUUUAGUAGAGCCGCCACUUGUAUAAAUACUACGGAAAUAUUAUGAUUUUUUUCUUUUUAAGUUUUUUUUAUUUGUCCCUUAUAUAUUUUAUUUAUUUGUUUAUUAUUGAUUUUAUAAAAUCUCAAAUGUAUAUUUUAAAUGUUUUAUAAUAUUAUUUUUUAAAUAUUUUAAAUAUUUUUCUAAAUUUAAAUAUUAUUUUUUAAUUUUUAAAUAUUAUUUUUUAAUAUUAUAAAAUAUUUAAAAUAUAUUAUUUUUAGAAUUAUGAGCUUUCAAAUUUAUUAUUUGUUUUAUAAUAUUUUAAAUAUAUAUUUAAAAAUUUUUAAAUAUAUAUUUUUUAAAUUAUUUUUAAAGAUAUUCAAACAUUUUUUUUAAUUCUAUUUAAAAUUUAAAAAAUAAUAUGUGUUUUUAGAAUGGCUUCACCACUUUAUUACAAGUGUCAUUUUUUAAAAAUAUGUUUUUUAAAUAUAAAUAUUUAAUAUUUAAUAUUUUAUUUUGGUGGAGCCAUUCUUUAUGGCUCCACCUCUUGGUUCUCUAGCAUAUAUAGAAUGGUGAAAUUGUUGUGUUUAGUAGGAGAGUUCAAAAAUUCUGUUAAAGAUGAAUAAUGAGGUGUUUUGGUUUACGUUCUCUUUUAUGGCGAAAUUGUAGAAGGUGAUGUUGGUUGUAUAUUUCAAUGUCGGCAAAGAGUAGGGUUGCGAUUCAAAAAACUGUAAAGCUGGCAGAAAUGAAAAGGAAGAUUAGUGCAAAAAUAGCUAUUUGUUGUGGAAGGGCAAUGUCCAGAUUAUUUUACAAGUUUCCAAUCUCUACAGAUCUGUUCAAAUUUUGUGAGAUGCAACUGUUAGAUGAUGAUGACUUGGGCACUAUGAUGGAAAUAUGGUGGUCGACUGGAAGUGAGAAUCCCCAACCAGUUGAGUUAUUUACUGAGUUAGCAAACUCAGAGCCUGUUGAAAAUGUUAGUCCAAUAAGUCAACAUCGCGAAUUUGACUUUGGUCGUAAUGCCAGAUGGACAGACUAGUUAGAAUGCGGUGGGACAUUGCAGAUACCCGAAAAUCCAAAUUAUGGUGGGAGUUCGUAUAACAACCCUACCCCCGGUCCCCGUCUACAAAUACAUUCGGAGGUGAUAAUAAGCACAGAGGCAGAUAUCAAAGAAAUGACCAAUAAUGAUGAAGAUUCUGAUCAGGACGUUUACGAUUUUAGCGACCUCGAUGUUGAUAAGGUUCCGGACGAUAUCGUUGAUGAAGGCCCGGAGGAGGUGGAAGACGUUCACUGGCCUUCAUUCAAUAACCCGAGUCGUGGCAUUAUUUUACGAAAUGAACCUGGAGGUGACCUGUUGAAUCUAGAUCCAGAUGCAGUGCAUGCAUCCGAGUUCCCUGAGUACACUGAUAUAGUACAUGCUCAUAGAUUGACGUCAAUUUCGUAGUUGGAGGAGUUGUUCAUUGGGUAAUGGUUCGAGAACAAGGCGGGCUGUGUGUUUGCCAUCAAACAUUAAUUAUAGCAUGAAGUUAUCGAUUGAUUACAAGGUUGCCAAGUCUACACCGACAUUAUAUGUUAAGAAAUGCUGGAGAGCCGACGAUGGGUGUGCUUGACGGGUUCGGGUUGCAUUUAUACAGAAGACUCAAUAGUGGCAAAUACGAAAAUUAGAAUGGUGUCAUACAUGCACUGUCGUGCGUAUUCUCAAGAUCCCCAAAAAUUGGAUGCCAAAAUUAUUUGCAACUGCAUCAUGUCACUAAUGAAAGAUAGUCCAAUCAUUCUUGUGUCGACAUAUCAAAUGGAUCGGCACAUCAGGAGGAUCAGCAGCUGGAUCAAACAUGGAAUGAGGCGGAGUGUAUAAAUGUUAUUACCAAACAUAUCAAAUGAUAUCAGUGGUUGCUCUGGGUAAUAUGAACUCGAACCGCCCAUGUCCAGGUGAUAUGAACUGCUCUGUGACUCUUCACAAAAAGCAUCAACCUAUUGGUACGAUAUGUUUAAAGGUUGGUCCUCCGAGUCGGGCUCCGCCAUAUGUUGAUCCUCUAGCUCCCCCAUAGGUUGACUUACAUAUCUAUAGCUGUGUCCGGUACUAUUAUAUGUUGCCCACCAUAUAACUAAAUACGCCAUCGAGUCAUGUACCACUACAUGUAUUCAGUCAAAGGACUGAAGUCAAACAUGCAAAAGUGCAUCUCAGGCCGCUUGUUGUAUCGGGCAUUCCAUAGUACUACAUGUAUCUAUUCUGCUUAUCUGAUUAUGAUAAUUGCAUCUAAUAUGGACUUAGGUCUGAAUCUAUAUUUGACUGUAUAUGAGAUUUUGUGUAUGUACUGCAUGUCUAUUUAUGUUGGGUUAAACACUAAGUUUGCGAAAAUUCAGUUCUGCUUGUCUGUUAUGUUCAGGUAAUCCACAGUCUUAGGCAAAUCGGUGCGGCAGAGUUUCACGGUAACCACAAGUUUGUGAACUAAUUUUAAUUGGUGGUUUUUGUUUAGUUAUGGAUUAUUUCUGGGAGUUUUGUAAUUAAGGGACUCUCCGGACUGUUUGGUUUUAUUUUAGAUUUGGAUUUUCGAAUUAACUCUUCAUUUGCGACGGUUGGCUAAAACCGUGGUUUUUACUAAACAAAGGUUUUUUUGAAAAUGCAAACGGGAUUUUCAAAUAUAACGAUUUCUAAUAUUUCUGCUCAAAAUUAUGUUUUGGAAUAUGAAUUAAUUAAAUAAUGUUUUCAGUAUUAUUUAUAAAACUUGGUUGAUUUAUCGAAAUGGUUCUGAUUUCAAAACCCUUCAUCGCAGCAUUACCAAAUUUGGCGAUAAUGUCUAUGCUGGGUUUGAGGUGUUACACAAAUUGUCACAUAACUCGAUCGGUAUUAUACCACACAAUGGUUGAGAAGUUGAGCACUGGCAUGUUAAUACACCACACAUGGGCUUCUACGUGAACCCACUAAGGAAUAAGGGUUGCAAUGUUCGGUGCUGAAUACAACAUCCACAAGAACUGCACAAUAUAACAUAAUGAGUCAAGUCACAUCACAUACUGCAAGUGGAUAAGUUAAAUCAACGUUACUUAAACCAUGUUAAUAUGUAUUACUUUCUUUCCGACGGAUGCCUCUAUCAUUUGUUGGUAAAUGAUUAAUGUUUAGGUCGCACCAAUUCGCGGAGACGUGGCCCAUCUAAAACCGAAACAAACAUGUUAGCAAUUAAAUGUUAAGUAUAAUUUUGUUUUUACCUAUUUACAAGUGGCGACGAAUAUGGUUGGUGCCUAACAACCACUAGAAAUGGCAUCCUGUAUAGAGCCCAAGAUUGCAGCAGAUUUAGUCAACCAGCCAUGUUACUAACCCCAUGUUUUGUUGCUCGGCAAAGCUCAUGGUACAAUUUGGCCAACACUGCCGAUCCCCAGCUGUAAUUAUCGACACGAGAGAAGUCCUCACAUAGAGGCAAGUACUUUAAGUGGACCCUAUUAGACGUGUUGUUCGACAUAAGUACCCCCGAUUAGCUGCAUAAUAUAUGCUCAAGUGGCACACAUCACCUCGUGCUCAGUGGCAAUGCUUGAUAACUACUUAAAAUUUAGUUUCAACCAUGCCAAUGUCAAGCAUGUGAAAUUAUGUUCCCCACCACUAGGGGACCGUCCAAGCAAUCUGUGGCAUAGUAUUGAAGGUUCCAACACUUUUCUUUGGCCCGUGACCACAACAAUAUCAACUUAUAACCCAAGUUACAUAGCAACAUCUUCCAAUGUGAUAGUACACUCCCCGCACGGCAUAAUGAAGGUGUGGGUCUUCAUACACCACUGCUCAACCAAGACGGAUAUUAAGUUCACCCUCAGGCCAAACCUUCAGAUCAAUGCAACGUCCCCAAAUCCCGCCAAUUGUAAGUAUGGCAUGACUCGCUCGUCCGGAUUGUGCUUGGGAAAAUGAAACCGCAACCUCAGAACCCGAUACCCAUCCUGUAUGGUAAAUUUUUUAUAAAAAUAUGAUAACUCAAUUAUCUAAAGAGUUUUUCAUUUUAGAUUUUAGAGAGGCUUAAAUAAUAGUUUUUCAUUUUAGGAGGUCUAAAAAGUACUUUUCUUUUUAAAGGAGCCACGACCCCUGCCUAGUUUGGUCACCUUCUGUGGUGACGAGAUUCAUUCCAAUGAGAUUAAAAACAGCAGUGAUGAUGAGAUUAAUUACUAUAAUAAUGAGAUUAUUAAAAUCAGUGGUGAGAUGUGUUUUAGAAUUCGAACACAACAAUGGCAGUGAGAUAGAUUAUAGAUUUAUAGUAAAAAGGAAAAAUGACCAUUAUAGACACUAAACUAAAAUUAAACUAAGGAAGUUUACACCAUUCCGUAUAUUUUUGUACGAUUAAUAUUUUAGCGAUAAAAACACCAUAUUUCAUAUUUCAUGUUUUAUGUAAAAUACUUUUAAUCUUUGAAUGAAUGUUAAUACAUGCAAUAUUUUAGAUCGAUAGAUAAAAAUAUAGAAUCAAUUGAGAAUUUACAAUAAUAUCAACAAAUUCAAUGAUUGGAUUGUUAAGUUAAGAAUCAUGCAAAAAUAUAUGAAAUCGUGUAAAAUUACUUUAGUUUCGCACUAGUAUAAGCGAAUUCUUUUUUUUUUAAUAUAAAAAAUUAAUUAUAUAAUUUAAAUUUAUGUAUUUAACAUUAUUUAUAAAUAUAUUUCAUUAUUUAUAAAUAUAUUAUUUGAAAGUAAUGAAAUAAAAUAAAUAUUAUAAAUAAAAUUAUUGAAAUAUAGUAUCUAUUAUUGAAUUAAAUUAACCAUUCUUUAAAAAAAGAGUGAAAAUUAUUUUUUUAAAAUGCAUAGGGUUUUAUUUUUAAAAAAAUUUAAGAUUUAGGUGUAAAAGAUAAUCAAUCAUAAAGUGCAUAGGGCUUUAUUUUUUAUUUUUUAAAUAAUAUUGUUUUUGGCUCACAUGCAGUUUAUUGAGUUAGGUUAAGUAUACCUAACUCAAAAUUUAUAAAAAUGAUAAAAGGCAUGUGAUUUAGUAAUACAAAUAUUUUAUUCUUAAUUUUAAUUCAAUUUUUUUAUUUAAAACAGUAAAGGAUGUAGAUACCUUUAUAAAUUUGCACCUUUUAUUUUAUAGUUCAGUCAUUUCUUAAUUUCAUUUAGAGAUUUAUUGUAUACAGUGACGGAGCAUAGUGGAGAUCCAGGUAGCAUGGCAUCCCUUAAAAUGGUAAAUUUUUUAUUCAAGCCCUUUAUAAUUUAUAAAAUAUUAAAUUAGUAAUGGUAAAAUUGUAUUUUAACCCCCCUAAAGAUGAUAAAGUUUUGAUUUAACCCUUUAAAAAUUACAAAUUACAAUUUAAUUCCAACCCAAAAAAAUUUAGGCUCCGCCACUUAAAUAAUUAUAUCAAAUUCGAUAAAAAUUUUAAACUUCACAGGUAGAAUUGAAAAAAUAUGUGCUUUAUUUAAUAAUAAUACUUUUGAAUGGGUUGAAUUUGGUUGAAUUGGCAAGAGAUAAGGUGUGGAUAAAAUAAUAAAUUUAGUAGAUUAUAUGCAGAACUUGGUCAUAUCAGACUCAGUGCCAUGAACUUCACUAGCAAGCUUGCUAACACAGCUGCAGCAUAAGCUAUUAACUGCUUAAUCACUAUUUUUAUUACAACACUCAAAGAUGAAGAAGAAGAUUCUAUAUUUAAUUUCUUAAUGUUAACCUUGCAUUUGCAUUUCCUUGAUGGCGCUUCUAUACCAACUUUCAAGGAGAAUAAAACAAAAUAAUAAUAACUUUUUAGUUAAUUUGAUGGCAUAAUUGGUAAGGUUUUUUUUUAUUUUUUUAUUUGGGGUCGAUUUUGCAACGAUAUAGACAGGUAGGUAGGCACAUUUUAUUCUGUUGAAUAACUAGUUAUAUGGUAUAAGAGUGGUACCUAAUUGAUUAUUAAUGUCUUAAGGUCGAAUAUCGAAAAAAAAAACAAUUCCCCUUUAGAAAAAUAUUUAUUGGAAUUUAUUAUUUUGAAAACUAAAAAAUUUAAUCAUCUUGCUUCAAUGAAGAAAUCGAAACCCUGUAAGUUAGGGUAUGAUUCUUUGAAGUUCCGAUAACAACAUGAAUUUGCCUUUAUUAGAAAACUUCAUCUCGAGAUAAUAAAAUGUCAUAUCCAAUUAUUUAGGACCCAACGUUUUGAAUCCUCGAGAUAAGCUUUAAUUUUGGAAUUUUUACGUUCUUCGGAAAGAAGGAUACAGGGUUACCUAAAUUCAUCGAGGAAAAUUGAAACCCAGUAAGUUAGGGCACAAUCUUCUCGAGAAUCUUGGAUACCGAGUAUUGUGUUAUUUUGAAAACCUUUGAAUAAAACAAUUUAAUUACUUUAAUUAAGCAUAAUCCUUUAAGAAAAAAAACGAUGGAAUGAUAAUGUAUAACGGGAAAGGAUAGUUUGUAAACUAAAGUGCACACUAAUGAGCGACAAAUAAAUACAAAUAAGCAAUACAAUACACAUGAGAGCAAUCAUCUUUAUACAAAUACUAACUUUAAAAGCUAAUGAAUCAAAAGUCUAUUUUGAAAGAAAUACGAAGCAAAUUAACACAAAUAAAAUGUAACAAAUUUUAAAACAACUAAAAAAACAAAUGACAUGAAAGAAGGGGAAUUAUGUAAAUUUAAAAUAAUAUAUACAUAUAUCAAAGUUUGAAAUAAAUCAAAAACAUAGUUCGAAAUAAAUACUACAUAAAAUAAUAGUAUCCAAAUAAAUUUUAAAAUAAAUAUUAUAUAAGAAGAAAAUCAAAACACACAAAAUAAUAUACAUAUAUUAAUUUAAAAAAGUAAUACAUAUGGAAUGAAAAACUUCAUAAUAAUAUAUAAUAAAUUUAAAAAUAAUAAUAAUGCAUGAAAAGCUUAGAAAAAUAAUACAUAUAAAAUUAAAAUAAUAAUAUACAAUAAAUUUAAACAAUGUUAAUAAUAAAUUUAAAAUAAUAUUAAUUUUAAAAUUAAAUACAUUAAAAAUAAGGGAAUAAUAGAUGCUUAAAUAAAAUUUUAAAAAAAAAUCAAGCACAGUAAAUUAGUAGGGAUUAAAUUGAACUCAAAAUAGAAUUAAAAGGGAAAAAAGUAAAACAAAAUGAAGGGCCAGAGCAUAACGCGCGAAUAACAUGAGGGCCAAACAGGAAAUAUUGCCUUCUCUCAAAACGCUGCAUUUUGAUGUGGACCAAAAUGAUACAAAAAGAAAAUGUCAAGCAAAAUUUAAAAGCCAUUAAAGAAUUGAUUUGAAUACGUUAUAAACGUGGGGGACCAUUUGCACAAAUUCCCCAUGCGCUACAAAAUGCGCGGAUCUUUCCCCGGGUCGGGUCACUACGCGGGUAUACAUGGCGGUAUGGCGUCGUUUUGGAGUCAUUAAAACAGACCCCAAAUGGCGCCGUUUCUUUUAUCAUAUACAAACCAAUUUUAACCCUAAAAUUAGCAGCCAUUUAUGAUUUAAAAAUCAAUCCCUAAAAAAAACUUGUCUCACCCUCUCCGAGCGCCGUUCAACAAUUAGGCCGUUCAAAGGUCCUCCGCCCUUCGCCCGCCUCCGAUUGCGAUGUAGCGAACCAAGGUUCGACUACCAGGUAACCGACUCUUAACUGUUUCUUUUUUCUUCAUUCACGAUAAAUAAAUAAAAAGAUUCAAGAACAGAAAAAAAUUAUUGAGAGAGGAAAAAAAAUGAAAAUCACCUCUGGAUUUCUGUCUUUUAGCAAUUUUUAUUUCUUUUCGUAUCCCCCAUUUACAAAUUUUCAAUGGCUUUUUAUAGCCGAAAUGAAACAAGAAAAUAAAAUAAAAAGAAAUCUAUUCUGUCAUCUGAUGGUCUUGAUUUGCGAUUUUUUAUUUUCUUACUAUUUUUUCCUACCUCUGCUGUUUGUUCCCAUUUUUGUUGUGCAGGUACAACCUCGGAGGGGCGCACGUGCGCGGAGGAGCAACAUGCGCGGGGGGCCUAGGUUCGGCUGCAGCGCAAAGGCAGAAAGCUACUAUUGCUGCUAAGGUUUCUGUUUCGUGGUCUAGGGCUAGGCAUUGGGCCUCUGUAAUUGGGCCACUAUUUAUUUGGUUAAGGAUUUAGAUUGGGUCUUAGUGUAUUUUGUAAUCGAGUUUGGGUUUGGGUUGGCAAUUGGACUGUAUUUGGACUUUGAAUUUUUAUUUGGUAUUUGGUUUUAUUUAUUUACAUACGGGCCAGGCAAAUUGGGCCAAUUAUAGCUGCCCCUCUUUGCUCGUUCUCGUGUAACAGGAACGGAGCAAAGAAUUUAGCAAUGGCCAAUUUUUAUUUCUUUUCGUAUCCCCCAUUUACAAAUUUUCAAUGGCUUUUUAUAGCAAAAAUGAAACAAGAAAAUAACAUAAAAAGAAAUCUAUUAUGUUAUCUGACGGCCUUGAUUUGUGAUUUUUGAUUUUCUUACUAUUUUUUCCUACAUGUGCUGUUUGUUGCCAUUUUUGUUGUGCAAGUACAAGCUCGGAGGGGCGCACGCGUGGGGGGCCUGGGUUCGGCUGUAGCGCAAAGGCAAAAAGCAUCUAUUGCUACUAAGGUUUUUGUCUCGUGGUCUAGGGCUAGGCAUUGGGCCUCUGUAAUUGAGCCACUGUUUAUUGGGUUAGGGAUUUAGAUUGGGUCUUAGUGUAUUUUGAAAUCGGGUUUGGGUUUGGGCUAGCAAUUGGACUGUAUUUGGACUUUGAAUUUUUAUUUGGUAUUUGGUUUUAUUUAUUUACAUGCGGGCUGGGUAAAUUAGUCCAAUUAGAACGUGUUAAGAACUUUCUUAAUGAACAAAGUAAUGCUAUAUUGAUCAAGAAAAUAGGUGAUUUCCCUUCCUCUACCAUUUCACAAUAAUAGAGUACAUGAGUUAGCUAUUAUUUAUAAUUGCUGCUAACAAAUUAAUAGAUUGAUGAGAAUAAAAAAACUAAAUGUUGCCUAUCAAUACUAACAGCUAUUAUUUUAUAUUUUAACAUUAACUUAUCUUUCCGACGGGUAACACCUGAAGAAGACUUUGAAACCGAGCGAAAGAUGAAACAGAUAAAGGCUUAGUAAGAAUGUCAGAAAUUUGAUCGCACGCAAGUAUUUCACCCACAACUAAAGACCUAGCAGCAAAUCUUUCACAAAUAAAGAACAAAUCAAGCUCCACGUGUUUAAACUUAGAAUGUAAAACCGGAUUCACAGCAACUGCAACUGCACUUGAGUUGUCAUACCAUAUAGUAAGGAAAUCAUUAGACUGAAGUUCUAAUUCUUUUAAUAAUGAAGUCAGCAAAAGGACAUCACUCGUUACUGCAGUAAGACUCUGAUAUUUAGCUUCGACUGUGGAAUGAGACACAACUUGUUGUUUCUUUGAACACUAUGACACUAAGUUGUGACCAAAAUAUACACAAUAGCCAGUUGUGGAUCAACUAUCAUCAAGAUCCAGCCCCCAAUUUGCAUCGGCAUAACCAACUAAAGAGAGUUGAGUAGACGAACGAAACACAAUCCCAUAGUCUAGAGUACCACACAAAUACCGCAAUAUGCAUUUUAAAGCAACCAGAUGUAUAGUAGUGGGUGUAUCCAUAAAUUGGCAGAUGCGAUUUACUGCGUAGGCAAUAUCAGGUCGAGUUAGAACCACAUACUAUAGCGCCCCUGCAACACUUCUGUAUUCAGUGGGAUCAAAAAGUCAUUCCCCGCCAUCCUUAGACAAAGAUGAUGAGCUAAUCAUAGGAGUAUGAACACUCUUUGCAUGAGUCAUACAACACCUGUUAAGCAAAUCACGAACGUACUUUUGCUGGCAUUGAUGGAUACAUCCAUCAGAGGAACGAGUCACCUCAACUCCAAAAAAGUAAUAAAGAUCACCCAUAUCUUUAAGAGAAAACUCCUUAUGCAAUUUCUGAACAAAACUUUCAAUACAUGUAGGUACACUUCCAGUAACAAUAAUAUCAUCCAUACACAAGAACAUAUAGAGUGACAGAAGGUAUGACUUGAAUAAAUAAGGACGAACUCGACUUGGAUAUAUGAAAUCCAAUUGAAAGUAGGAAACACUUUAACUUUUUAAACCAAACACGUGGAGCCUGUCACAGUCCAUACAAUGCCUUCUUAAGACGACACACCAAAGGUUCACCAUUAGGACUAAACUGAACAUACCCUGGAGGUUACUGCAUAAACACUUAAUCAGUAAGAUUGCCAUUUAAAAAAAACAUUAUUAACGUCUUGAGACAGAGACUGAUAGUAUAACUCGAAUAGUAGCAUGCUUGACCCCCGGACUAAACGUUUCCUUAAAAUCACAUCCAAGUACCUGAGAACAUCCUUUAGCCACUAACCGAGCUAUCCGACUUGCAAUCGUUCCAUCCAAAUUUUUUUUACUUUGAAGAGCCAUUUACACCUGAUUACCUUUCGACCGCUUGGUGACAGAAUAAGUUUCUAGGUGGAAUUAUGUGUAUUUUGGAAAUACGCCCAUCUCGUGUUGUUCAAAAAGGCAACAAGUUAUUUCUCGAUCAACAGCAGAAGUAGAAUAUUGAACUCUUACUGCCGCCACCAGUGAUAUAAUAUGGUUAGUCUCUCUGCUAACGGAGUUACAACUUCAUUCUGCUGACUCUCCUACUAUUUGGUGUGACAAUUCUAGUGCAGUAGCGAUUGCUGGCAAUCUGGUUUUACACUUCAAGUUUAAACAUGUUGAACUUGACCUUUUCUUUGUCCGUGAAAAGGUUGCUAACAGUUCACUCGUUGUUGGUGAGGUACCAGCCUGUACCAAGUUGCUAACAUUUUAAGGAAACCAUUGUCUGUCUCUUUGUUUACUCAGUUUUGUAAUUUCCUUCGGAUCUUACCUAUUGAGAAGCUGGGUAAAUGUUAGAGUAUGUGAAUGUAUUAGGCUAUUAGUCUGUUAUCAAGACUGGUAUAUUGUUAGUAGGUUAGUUAGUAGUAGUUAGAUCAAGUCUCAUGCAUAUAAGUAUUAUCUCUAUACUGAUAGAAAAAGGUUAACAAUACAAACAAUUUAAUUAGUCUUUUCUUUCAAUAUUUUUCAGUAUUAUAGAGUUAGUAACAUGUUCAUAUUAUUUGUUCCAGUGUUGAUGGUAUUGGCAACUACUGUUUUGUCCAAAAAGCUUGACGUCAUGCUCAUGACGUUGGCUACUGUUUGUAGGCUCCGAUAUAAGGUUUCAAUGGAAAUUCCCCUAGUCCUGUAAUCAAUAGAUGGUGGUAUAGCCCUUAGAGUACUAUGGGGUCCAAUUUGUUCUUUAGUUUUAUCAAUCAGACCACCACUGUGGCAGGAAUCAGAAAUAAUUAUGAAGCUUAAUCCACUUGGUAGUCGUUGAAUCAAGUGCCCCAAGUCGACGUCUGCACAACCAUCGCAACCACCAUAUGACAUGAAUAAUAGUUCGCUUAGAUUGAGGGUGUUUCAAUAAUGUGAUAUAUUUGGCCUCUAAUAAGAAAUCAACAUAUAGAGUGGGUGAUUAAUCCGAAUUGGGAGGAGGACAGGUGUUGUGAUGGACAAAGCGUAAGACAAGGUGGUUUCCGACUGAAGCAAGAAAGCUCUAGCAAAAGGCAGCUAGGUAUUCCUUUUUCACACAAAGACGAAGAUAAAUGAUUAUAACAGCAUGAUAUGAUCUGCUUCGCCUUCGUCCACUACCUCAUCUUUAUGUUUUUGUUUUGGUCGUUACUCACGUCGGCUUUUGUCUGCAAGUGCUGCAUGUCGGUCCUACUAUCGUGAUUGUGUUGCCUAGCUUCUGAUUUCUAUGUAUUAAUAGGGUCUAUUUGAAUGUGCGGUUUGCAGAGGUAAAAUUAGAAAUUUGUUUUUAAGUGUUAAACUUUGUAUCUAUAUAGAUUUAAGAAGUGUUAAAUCAAAAUUUUAUAUUUUUUUACGAUAAAUUGUAUUUAUACAAUGUUUAACUUAUAAAUUUAUUGAUAUUACAGAGGUUUAAAUAAUAGUUUUCCAUUUUAGGGGUAUAAAGAGUAAUUUUCAUUUUAAGGGCGCUACGAUUAGACUUGAUUAUGAGUUGGGUCACCCGUCCAAGUCUAAUGGUUCUCUUGACAAGUGAGAGAGAUUGGGCUAAAAUAUAGCCCAAAAAAACAGACUUGGACAAAAAAUAAUAUCCAUAUUCCAAAGGGGCCGAGCCUCGGGUAAGAUUUUUUUGCUUGGGCCCAACCCGACCCAAAUUUGCUUAAAAAAUUUUCCUUGCUACUGUUAACUAUUGUUUGCUAUUAUAUUGUUACUAUAUUGUUGCUAUUAUUUGUAUAUUGUAUAAUUAUUGUUUUAUUGUUAAUUUUGCUACUAUUUUCAAUUAGUUGGGAAACAUUUAUUUCAACAUUUUUAGUGUAUUUGAUGUAUUAUAUUUUUUAAAAUAAAAAAGUAUAAAAUAUUUUAAUAUAGGCGGGCCGGGCAAGGCUCAGGUUUGGCAUUGUUUAUCUGGGUCAGGCUUGAUAAAAAAUUUAGGCCCAUUUUUUGGUCGGGUAGGGCUUGAGCCUAGAAAACGAGCCUAGAAUCCCAACCCGAUUGAGCCCAUGAUCAAGUCUAGCCACGACCCCUAUCCGCUAUGGUCACCGCCUUUGGAGACAAGAUUAAUUCUUGUGAGAUUGAGAAUAGGGAUGGCGAUGAGAUUAAUUACUAUAGCAGUGAGAUUAGUUACUACAGUGAUGAUGUUAAAAUUAGUGGUGAGAUGCGGAUUCAAACACAAGAAUGGCGGGAAGAUAGAUAAUAGAUUUAUAGUAAGAAAGGAAAAUGACCAUUAUAGACAUUAAAAUAAAUUAGUUUUCACCUUUCCGUAUAUUUUUCUAUGAUUAUUAUUUUAAUGAUAAAAAUGACAUAUUUAAUAUUUCAUUUAAACACAUCGUGCAUAUUUUUAACAUAAAUUAAAAAUUUCUAACUAUUUGUUUUAUUUAAGAAUAUUUUUAAUCGUUUAAUAAAUGUUAAUAUAUAUAAUAUUUUAGAUAGCUAUGACAGAAAUAUCGAAUCAAUUUAAAAUUUUACAUACAUGAAAAGUACAACAAUAUUGAUAAAUUCAAUGGUGGGUGUCACAUCACAAAAUCAGGGUUAAAAAAAUUAGAUUAGCGAAACCAAGUGUGGUCGUGUUCAGUUUUGAUUUGAAGUUGUGAAAAUUAAAAACCAAGAGUACGUUAACCACCGCAUCCCCAAAUAGUCAUAUGAUGUCUCAUAGGCUUCACACCCUCUUAAUAAAAUCCCAUCAUCCUCCUUCAGUGGAUCCAACACCAUUAACCCAUCUACGUAGCGAGUAUUGGGAAUUAUCCAUAUUUAUGGAAAAUCAAAGAUAUGGGUAUCAAAUAAUAGAAAGUCAAAGAUAUGGGUAUCAAAUAUUGGAAAGUCAAAGAUAUGGGUAUCAAAUAUUGGAAAGUCAAAGAUAUGGGUAUCGAGAUAUUGGCAUAAUAAAAUCUGAGAUAUUUGCAAUAUAUGGUCCCUAAUUGUAAAGUGACUUUGCAAGUUGAUCCCUGAACCUCAACUAUAAAUAGGUGCCAUCUCUCAUUCUGUAUCUCAAACUUGCCAUUCUCUACUUAAGGCAUUGUUUUUUCUCUCUCUCUCUUUGUAAAUUCUCACUUGUAUUUUGGAGUGAAAUAUAUUUGGUAGUGCCCGAGGACGUAGGCAAAAUUUGCUGAACCUCGUUAAAUUCUUGUGUUCUUUAUUGUAUUAUUCUGCAUGAAUUGUGUGUGUGAUUGUAGUAAUUUAUUGUGCUAUUAAAUUACGACUGAAGGAUAUUCUGGCUAGGAAAGACCUGGUACUUAAGCGAUCCUUGUGAUCCACCUCUCUUUCCUGGGAAUUGAACUUAGUGUGAUUUUUUAGUACAAUAAUUUUACUCUUUUACACGCUUCCGCACAACAAUUGGUAUCAGAGCUAGAUUCGUACUUGGGGAAUACGAUCGUUCACGGUACUGUUCACGUACUGUAGUUGGGAUUGAGGAGAAAAAAAUGGAAAAGUCAUCGUCAAAGACUACUGUGACCAAUGCGAAAUUUGAAGUAGAGAAAUUUGAUGGUACCAAUAAUUUUGGUAUGUGGCAAUGUGAGAUCCUGGAUGUCUUAUGUCAGCAAGAGUUGGAUAUAGCCCUUGAAGAAAAACCUGACAAGAUGGAUGACAAGGAGUGGGCCAAGAUCAAUAGACAGGCAUGUGGAACAAUUCGCCUAUGUUUGGCCAAAGAGCAGGAGUACUCUGUCAUGAGGGAGUCAUCAGCGAAGAAGUUGUGGGAUACACGGGAAGAAAAGUUUCUAACAAAAAGUCUUGAAAAUAGGCUUUAUAUGAAAAAGAAACUUUAUCGAUUCACGUAUGCACCCGGUAUGUCGAUGAAUGACCAUGUGAACUCAUUCAAUAAAAUUUUAGCAGACUUGCUAAAUUUGGAUGAGAAAUUUGAAGAUGAAGACAAGGCAUUACUGUUGUUGAAUUCUCUUCCUGAUGAAUAUGAUCAUCUUACCACCACAUUGCUUCAUGGGAAGGAUACAAUCACAUUUGAUGCAGUCUGUAGUGCGUUGUAUAGAUCUGAGACUCGAAAGAAAGAUAAAAAAGAUCACAGAGACUACAGAAGUCUUAACAGUAAGAAGUCGUUCGCACAGCAACAAAUCUGGUAGAAGGAGUAAGUCCAAAAAGAGACCUGCCAAAGAUGAAUGUGCUUUUUGUCGUGAGAAAGGGCAUUGGAAAAAGAAUUGUCCUAAGUUACAAAAGGGUAAAGCUAUUUCUGAUGCAUGUGUAGCGGAGCAUGAUGAGGAGUCAGACUUUAGCUUGGUUGGCAUGGCAAUGGCAUGUCAUACAGAUGAGUGGAUUUUUGAUUCGGGAUGUACUUACCAUAUGUGUCCUAAUAAGGACUGGUUUUCUAGUCUUAAAGAACUAGAAGGUGGAGUUGUUUUUAUGGGCAAUGAUAGCGCUUGUAAGACAAUGGGAGUAGGUACAAUCCAAUUGAAGAAUCACGACGGCUCAAUUCAAGUCUUGACAGAUGUUCGCUACAUACCUAUCUUGAAGAAAAAUCUUAUCUCAUUAGGGGUCCUAGAAUCUAAAGGGCUCACAAUCACUUUGAGAGAUGGAUUACUAAAGGUAGUAGCUGGGGUAUUGACGGUGAUGAAAGGCACAAGAAGGAAUAAUCUGUACUAUUUAAAUGGAAGUACAGUUAUUGGAUCAACAUCAACAGCUUUUACGAAAGAUGCAGAUUCAGAGGCUACCAGGUUAUGGCAUAUGCGAUUGGGACAUGCUGGUGAAAAAGCUUUGCAGAGUUUGGCGAAGCUAGGCUUGUUGAAAGGUGCAAAUUCUUGCAAAUUGGAAUUCUGUGAACAUUGUGUUCUGGGCAAGCAGACAAGGAUAAAAUUUGGUUCAGCAAUUCACAAUACAAAAGAAAUUCUGGACUACGUUCAGAGUGACGUGUGGGGACCUACUAAAGUGGCUUCUUUGGGAGGUAUGCACUAUUUUGUUACUUUUGUUGAUGAUUAUUCAAGAAAAGUAUGGGUGUAUCUAAUGAAAAGGAAAAAUAAAGUUUUGGAUGUAUUUCUUAAAUGAAAGAAGAUGGUGGAGACCCAGGCUGGUCGAAAAGUCAAACGACUUCGAUCAGACAAUGGUACUGAGUACAAGAAUGAUCCAUUUCUACAAGUAUGUCACGAUGAAGGUAUUGUACGACACUUCACUGUUCGAGAUACACCACAACAGAAUAGGGUGGCAGAACGUAUGAAUCGGACUAUACUGGAGAAAGUUCGAUGUAUGUUGUCCAAUGCUGGAUUGGGCAAAGAAUUUUGGGCUGAGGCAGUUACAUAUGCGUGCCAUCUAAUUAAUCGGUUGCCAUCAACUGCAAUAAAUGAAAAAACUCCUAUGGAGAGGUGGGCUGGUAAACCUGCUACUGAUUAUGAUUCUUUACAUAUUUUUGGUUCCACUGCAUAUUAUCAUGUAAAAGAAUCUAAGUUAGACCCAAGAGCAAAGAAAGCAUUAUUCAUGGGUAUAACUGGUGGAGUAAAAGGAUACCGUUUCUGGUGUCCUGAUACAAGGAAAAUAAUUUUCAGUAGAGAUGUGACUUUUGAUGAAUCAACCAUGAUGAAGAACAAUGAUUCACAAAAGGAUAACACAACCAGUGGCACUUUGCAGCAGGUGGAGCUUGAAAAGGUUAAUGAUGAUCCAGCUAAUAUUGAAGGAACAAAUGAUGAAGAAGUUUCGACCCAAGAACUUCUACAGCAACAUGAUUCAAUUGCAUAUAGAAGGCCAAGAAGAGAGAUUCGUAUGCCUGCUCGCUUUGAUGAUAUGGUGGCCUAUGCACUUCCAAUUGCAGAUGAUGAUGUUCCUUCUACUUACACAGAAGCAAGAAGUAACUCUGAUAGUGUAAAGUGGAAGCAAGCUAUGAAUGAAGAAAUGCAGUCUCUUCAUAAAAAUAGGACUUGGGAGUUGGUGACACUACCUAAAGGAAAGAAGGCAAUUGGAUGCAAAUGGGUAUAUGCAAAGAAGGAAGGAUUUCCUGAUAAAAAUGAAGUUCGAUACAAGGCUAGAUUGGUAGCAAAGGGUUACGCUCAGAAAGAAGGAAUAGACUACAAUGAAGUAUUUUCUCCAGUUGUGAAGCAUUCGUCUAUUCGGAUUUUGCUAGCCUUGGUUGCGCAAUAUGAUCUUAAACUAGUUCAGCUCGAUGUGAAGACCGCAUUUUUACAGGGUGAUUUGGAAGAGGAAAUCUAUAUGACUCAGCCAGAUGGAUUCAAGGUUGCUGAUAAAGAAAAUUGGGUUUGCAAACUGACAAAGUCGCUUUAUGGAUUGAAACAAUCUCCAAGGCAGUGGUACAAGCGAUUUGAUCAGUUCAUGAAAGGGCAAAGGUAUACAAGAAGUAAAUUUGAUCAUUGCGUGUAUUUUCAGAAGCUACAAGAAGGAUUUUUCGUAUACUUGCUAUUAUAUGUUGAUGAUAUGUUGAUAGCAUCUAAGAGUAAAGUUGAAAUUGAGAGAUUGAAGACUCAACUCAACCUUGAGUUUGAGAUGAAAGAUCUAGGUGAAGCUAAGAAGAUCCUUGGCAUGGAAAUAUGUAGGGAUAGAGCUCAUGGCAGAGUUAGUUUAUCUCAGAAGCAAUAUUUAAAGAAGAUACUACAGAAGUUUGGCAUGAACGAGUAGACUAAAGCUGUAAGUACCCCGUUGGCUUCUCAUUUCAAGCUUUCUGCACAACUAUCUCCUUCGACAAAUACGGAACAAGAAUACAUGUUACAAGUUCCGUAUUCUAAUGCAGUAGGUAGCUUGAUGUAUGCAAUGGUGUGUACAAGACCCGACAUUUCACAGGCAGUUAGUAUAGUGAGCAGGUAUAUGCAUAAUCCUGGAAAAGGACAUUGGCAAGCUGUGAAAUGGAUUCUACGGUAUAUUCAUAAGACCAUGGAUAUUGGAUUCCUGUUCAAGCAGGAUACUACACUUGGUAAAGGUGUUGUUGGGUACGUUGAUUCUGAUUAUGCCGGUGAUUUGGACAAACGAAGAUCAACCACUGGUUAUGUGUUUACUCUUGCUGGAGGACCAAUAAGUUGGAAGUCUACACUGCAGUCUACAGUUGCGUUGUCAACCACAGAAGCUGAAUACAUGGCUGUAACAGAGGCUGUAAAGGAAGCUAUUUGGUUACAAGGUAUGGUUAAAACCUUGGGAUUGAUCCAAGAGCAUAUUAAUGUGUAUUGUGAUAGUCAAAGUGCUAUUCAUUUAGCAAAGAAUCAAGUCUAUCAUGCACGUACAAAGCAUAUCGACGUACGUUUCCGCUUUGUGCGGGAAAUUAUUGAUGAGGGGAAAAUUCACCUUCAGAAGAUUAAGACUGCAGAUAAUCCCGCAGAUAUGAUGACCAAGGUGGUAACAACAAUCAAGUUCGAACAUUGUUUGAACUUGAUCAAUAUUCUGCAUGUUUAACAGUUGAAGAAGGCACUAUCAAGUGUUGUUGACAAAGGCAGAGAGAAUUGUGUGAAGAUAAGAUUACUCGAAUUAAAUCUUCAAGGUGGAGAUUAUUGAGAAUUAUCCAUAUUUAUGGAAAAUCAAAGAUAUGGGUAUCAAAUAAUAGAAAGUCAAAGAUAUGGGUAUCAAAUAUUGAAAAGUCAAAGAUAUGGGUAUCAAAUAUUGGAAAGUCAAAGAUAUGGGUAUCGAGAUAUUGGCAUAAUAAAAUCUGAGAUAUUUGCAAUAUAUGGUCCCUAAUUGUAAAGUGACUUUGCAAGUUGAUCCCUGAACCUCAACUAUAAAUAGGCAUAACCAUUUCUCAUUCUGUAUCUCAAACUUGCCAUUCUCUACUUAAGGCAUUGUUUUCUCUCUCUCUCUUUGUAAAUUCUCACUUGUAUUUUGGAGUGAAAUAUAUUUGGUAGUGCCCGAGGACGUAGGCAAAAUUUGCUGAACCUCGUUAAAUUCUUGUGUUCUUUAUUGUAUUAUUCUGCAUGAAUUGUGUGUGUGAUUGUAGUGAUUUAUUGUGCUAUUAAAUUACGAUUGAGGGAUAUUCUGACUAGGAAAGACCUGGUACUUAAGCGAUCCUUGUGAUCCACCUCUCUUUCCUGGGAAUUGAACUUAGUGUGAUUUUUUAGUACAAUAAUUUUACUCUUUUACACGCUUCCGCACAACAGUGAGGAUGGAAUUUGAGGCUCACAUCUUUCCCGAAGAUUCCGAAAAUCUUUUGGCCAAUAUUUACUGCGUCGUGUAGGAGGCCUGCUGCUGUAUCUAUCGCACCAUGUAUGAUAUCAAAAGGAAGACUCUUAACCUUGACCUUAGACGGUUUAGGCAUGUUGGGAUUUACUGGUGUCGUCAUAUGCUCAACACCAAAUUGUUCUUUCUCUUUUUCAAUGAGACCACCACUGUGGCACGAAUCUGAUAGGAUUGUGAAGCUUGCUCCUUCUGGUAGCCGGUUAACUAAACGGCUGAAGUCCAUAUCUGCAGAAACCAUGUAUAUAUAGGGUAUGAAUAUAUAUUGCUAAAAUAAAUAUUUAAAUUCAAACAAAAACCUACCCGUGACAAGAUUUAAAUCACAAGCCACGAUUGCUUCAUCUUGUUUGAAAGGCUGGCCAGGUUGAAAGAUUGGAAUGCGUGUUCCAUGUCCACUGAAGUAGAAAAAUAGGACAUCUCCUGCUUUAGCAUUGCACGCCAUUCUAUUAAGUGCAUCCCUAAUGUUUGCGCCGGUAGGCAGAACCGACGACCCUGGCGCACCGGUGAGGACAUUAAUAUCACUUUCCUUGAACCCAAAGUUCAGGAUCCCAUCUCCUAUGGUUUUCACAUCAUUGAUGCGUCCAUGCAAGCCGAAUUGGGUCUCGGGGUAGUUGCAUCCCACCAGAACUGCUCUCUCGUACCCUUACCCAUCUUGCUUUGCUAAUUUGACUAUUUUGUGUUGCUUGUACCCUUGUAUUAAUGUGCUUCCACCGUCUCACUAAGACCCUAUAUAUAUACACACUAAUUUACGGCCUGUGUACUGUCGAUUAAGAUGAUCAUAAAGUGGAUAGGGUUUUACUUGUUUUUUCUUUUUAACAAACUAAUAUUAUUUUUGGCUAACAUCCAAUUUAUUUAAAUACGUUAAGUAUACCUAACAUAAAUUUUUUAAAAAUGAUAAAGGCAGAUUAUGUUUUCAUAGAUGUAAUUUAGUCAUACAAAUAUUAAUAAUUAAUAAUAAUUAAUAAACACGUUCAUUUCAAUUAAUUGUAUACUCUACUAAAUGGUAAGAUGUGGCUUAUUAAAUUAAAAAAUUAAGUCUGACUUCCUCUCAACACUAUUCACACACCCUUGUUAUUUAUAUUUUUGCUCUAUAAAAAAUAAGGAUUUUGUGAUAUUUUUUCCUCUUAAAUGAUUUUAUUUAUAUUUUUAAUUAUAUUAAUUAUAUUUUAUAUUAGUUAUUAUUGAUUUAGAGAAUAAUUGGAGAAAAAAAAGAGCUUAAAGUUUAUUUUUGACACGUUUUGCGGGUUGGACUUUCAAUAUUUACAAUACAGUUUAAGUAUUUUGGUAAUAACUUAAGCUACAGGUUUUAGUUUUGGGCUCAUAAUAUACAGAUUUGAAGAAAAUUGACAUAACUAACUAAAUUUGUUUCGCGGAUGAAGCCCAAAAACAUCAAGAAGACAUCAAAAAAUGUCCUGGAAGUUUGUCCGAAAAAUUGCCAAAAUAUCUUGAAAACUUUUGCUUUAUAUAAUUAAUGGUACUUUUGUACUUUCUCUAUUAUAUUAUUUUUCUCUAUAAAUGGACAUUAUUAGGUUAAGACGAGGGGAGACCUAGACCUAGGCGUUCUUAGUUUUAUUUUGUUUUUUUAGUUUGUGGCUUUUUAAACUCUCCAUCUAGUCGAAGGUUUUAUCAGAUUUUGAUUUAAUAAAUUUGUGAGACUUAAUUUUUGCUUUAAUUUUUCUUUGUUCUUUGGUAUUCAUGCAUUUUUUGUUUUAAUUACAACUUUUCAAGUUUAUUGAAUGUUCAGUCGGUAUUUGAUAGCUUAGAAUGAUUGUUUUGUCAAUUAGAAUUCUUAAAUCCAUAAUUGUAUAAUUCAUUCUAAUACUAGUGACAAACUACAUAAUUCGUUUAUGUCGCAGUUUAUAUUUAUGUGGUGUGAAUGUGUGAUAUAGCUAAAAUGAAUCUCGCUAGGAUGAGUUUGUUAGUUAGAAUUUGGACUCUCUCGUUCUUAAUACUGCCGAUAAGUUAAAUCUAGGGCGUUGAGUUACAGGGUUAUUUAUCGAUUAGGAAAUAAUUUCAAACGAGUUUUCUCUUGGCUAUCGAACAAUGAGAGAUGGGUUGCCUUACACUGAGUCAACAACUAGAACUAAUUUAUUAAAGGUAUUGAAGUUAUUUUUGCAUUGAUGAUCGAAUCUUUGAAUCAAACAAAGAUUUUACUUCUAGCUAGAGUUUCUUCUCAUUAAUUUUCUUUUAUAAUUUAUUUUUACUUUGUUUUAAUUUUAAUUUUUAAUUUUAAAAUCUUUUUAUAUUUUUCAUGUAAGUUUUUGUUUUUAUAAAUCUCUACAUCCUUGCAUUACUUCAAUACAACACCAAAAGAACCAAAUGGCAAACACUAUAACUAAAAAUCUUGCAAAAGAGGCCGUUUUAUUUUAUCAUAAAAUUAUACAUGAAAUAGCCAUACAUGGCGAUUACAUAAGCUUGAAGGCCUUAAAACACAGACAUACGAUAGUAAUUAAUAAGCAAACACACACACAGACGCAGUAAUGAAGGCUAACUUCAACUUCGUAGUAGUGCACACCGAUGGAGCACAUUAUUAUUUAGUUUACAGUUUCGACCUCUAGUGAUCGAAAACCCUGGUUCAAAGCCGGCAGCUUAUGCACCCGUAGUGGUGUUGGGUUGGUGGCCAAGAAAAGCUGCAUCAGCAUUCUCAUCACUGCAAUAAAGGCAAGGGUGCUGCUGCCCAAUUCCUAGCUUUAUUAUUUCAUUCCUAGCCUUCACCACAAGCUGUCUAUUGGUUAAUGCACCUAAUUCGCUCUCCUUGAUGACCUUCAGAACUGAAUAGGUAAAGGCCCCAAACGCCUUUCCUCCGGUUUUCUCACUCGCUGGCAUAUCAAUUGAAAGCUCAUUGGCUUGGCACCCACUUAACAGAAUUCCCUCAUCCUCCGUCAGUGACCUCAAAUUCAAAAUAUCACGCUCAUAAUGGGGUAGGAAUUUGAGACUCACAUUGUUCCCAAAGAUUGUGGUCAAAAGAGAGCCAAUACCCGUCAUAUUAUCUGUUCCAGUGUUGAUGGCAUUCCCAAGUGCUCUUGUGGGAAAUAAGUCUUGUGUCGCGAUUAUGACGUUGGCCGCUGUUUGUAGGCACUGGAAUAAGGUUGCUAAGGAAAUGCCCCUAGUCUUGUAAUCAACAGGUGGUGCUAUACCCCUUAGAGUACUAUGGGGUCCAAUUUGUUCUUUACUUUUAUCAAUCAGACCACCACUGUGGCAGGAAUCCGAAACGAUUGUGAAGCUUGAUCCACUUGGUAGUAGCUGAAUCAAUUGCCCCAAGUCCACGUCUGCACACCCAUCGCAACCACAAUAUGAUAUAAAUAACAGUUUGCUUAGAUUGAGAGUAUUUUAAUAAUUUAGUUUACCGAGUUGAUUACGUACCAAAAAUGGGAUUGAGAUCACAAGGCACAAUUGCUUCACCCUCGUUGGGAGGCUGGUGGGGGUCAAUGCGGUGCACAAGUCCAUGUCCACUAAAGUGGAAAAGCAGGACAUCUCCUUCUUUAGCCGCGACCACCAUCUUCUUGAGUGCAGCCAUAAUGUUUGCACGUGUAGGCUUACACGUGGACUCUGGUUCAUCAGUUAGGAGCUCAACAUUUUCGGAAUCAAAGCCAAACCUGCUCACGAUCAUUUCUCUCAUGGCUUUCGCAUCGUUUACGCAUCCGCUCAACUUGUUGAUGGUGUUGGGGUAGUUGCAUCCGACCAGAACGGCUCUCUUCUUACAUUCGGUGGCCAUCUUGCUUCUGUUUUGGGUCGCUUGUCUUGUCUUGUGCUUCGGACGUUGCACUAAACACCUAUAUAUGCACACAUACACACUGUAGUUUACACUAUGCUCACUGACCAUACUCUAAUAAAUAAUACAUCAUGUUGGUAGGUACAACUGUUUUAUUUUAUUUUUUGUUUAGAAAAAAAAGGGCUUUUUUUUAUAAAAACAACCCAAAAAUAAUUAAUUACUUAAAUGACUUAUUUUUUUUGAUAAAAUACGAAAAUAACCUGAAAUCUAUGGAAAAAGUUGGUAGAGCCAAAGUGUGCCACCAACAUGCCAUGUCAGCAAUUUAUAUUAAAAAAUUAAUUUUUGAGUAGAGCUGCCACUUGUAUAAAUACUACGGAAAUAUUAUGAUUUUUUUUCUUUUUAAGUUUUUUUGAUUUGUCCCUUAUAUAUUUUAUUUAUUUGUUUAUUAUUGGUUUUAUAAAAUCUCAAAUGUAUAUUUUAAAUGUUUUAUAAUAUUAUUUUUUAAAAAUUUUAAAUAUAUUUUUCUAAAUUUAAAUAUUAUUUUUUAAUUUUUAAAUAUUAUUUUUUAAUAUUAUAAAAUAUUUAAAAUAUAUUAUUUUUAAAAAUAUGACCUUUCAAAUUUAUUAUUUGUUUUAUAAUAUUUUAAAUAUAUAUUUAAAAAUUUUUAAAUAUAUUUUUUAAAAUUUUAAAUAUAUAUUUUUUAAAUUAUUUUUAAAGAUAUUCAAACAUUUUUUUUAAUUCUAUUUAAAAUCUAAAAAAUAAUAUGUGUUUUUAGAAUGGCUUCACCACUUUAUUACAAGUGUCAUUUUUAAAAAAAUAUGUUUUUUAAAUAUAAAUAUUUAAUAUUUAAUAUUUUAUUUUGGUGGAGCCAUUCUUUAUGGCUCCACCUCUUGGUUCUCUAGCAUAUAUAGAAUGGUGAAAUUGUUGUGUUUAGUAGGAGAGUUCAAAAAUUCUGUUAAAGAUGAAUAAUGAGGUGUUUUGGUUUACGUUCUCUUUUAUGGCGAAAUUGUAGAAGGUGAUGUUGGUUGUGUAUUUCAAUGUCGGCAAAGAGUAGGGUUGCGAUUCAAAAAACUGUAAAGCUGGCAGAAAUGAAAAGGAAGAUUAGUACAAAAAUAGCUAUUUGUUGUGGAAGGGCAAUGUCCAGAUUAUUUUACAAGUUUCCAAUCUCUACAGAUCCGUUCAAAUCUGUUCCACUGCAACGUCAGUGAAAUAACAUCCGUUGGCUUCAGUCUUAACGCAAGGGUGAUAAGACUGGUGUCUUCAAUCCACUCCACUGUAACUUCAGGGAGAUAGGAUUUGUGGUUUCACCGAUCUGUUUUCUAGGGAACAUGACCUGUAGAAUCCUUUUUAUGGGCCUAUUUAUGCCUAGUGAUUAGGAUGUUAUGAUCGGAAUGAAUUAAAAUCUCCUAAUCAAAUAUGCAUGCAUGAAUACAAAAUGUCAUGAAAAUAAUCCCCUAAUGUUUGAGUUGUUAUUGUUCAUUGUUCAUUAAGGAUUUAUUACCAACACAUCAGAACGCCAUCUUGUUCGGCUAGUAAAACUCAUAUCUUACUUAACCAGAUUGCGUCCACUAUAAUCUUCAAGGUUCAAUCCAUUGUAAUCUUCAAGGUUCAAUCCACUGUGCUUUUAGGACAUAAAAUUUAAACUAUCUUCCUCCCACUAUAAUUUAGGAAUAUAAGAUCUGGCUCUUUCUCAAUCCUCUCAUCCUGCAAUUCAAGGAUACAAGACCUGAAUCUCUUUGGUCUAUUACACUUUCCUAGAGUGUCAUACCAAAUGUUUAUGCACAAUUGUAGAACUUUCUUCUCCAAGAAAACAUAUUCUUAUCACUGGGUGAUCAUUGCUUGUUUGUUCAUUGAAGCUUUGUCACCAACACGGCAUCUUGUCAUUUUGUUCAAUCAACAUUUUGACAACAAAAUUUGAAGGGAUAGUCUUAAUUUAGACUUUUCCUUCUUAGAUAUUUCAACCUUUAAACUUGGUGCGUUCUAAACAAUAGUCCUGUUUUAGGUUCUUGUAUUAUUUAGAAACUUCUAGAGUAAUAUGCAAAACUUCCUUUGAGAAAGUAUUAUUAGUCCAUUAAUCAUCAUUCCAAUGCCACAUGCUUGCAAAAGAUCAUACCAAUGGAUAAAAAUAGAAUUGAUUUGGGAGCACGGUUCGAAAUGAAUAAAUUAUCAAAGAUAGUAAAAUAAAAGAGGAAUUAAGUAGGAACAUGUAUCUUGAAAAAUAAUGAAGUAUUCUAAGAACAACAAAUUCAAUAUAAAUAGUAUGAAGACUAGAUGCCCCAAAUAUCGUAGCUUGAGUUUCUCUGUACAAACUUUCUAAAGACCAUUCCGAGUUUGACAUGUGUUUAGGAGAUCUAUAGUACUUUGUCGCUGCCCCAAUAUGUCGCCUACCCUUUCUUGUUGAUUCAGGUAUAAGAAGAUCACCACAUGCCCCAAUUUGAUCAAAAUUUCAGCUGUUCUGAUCACCUCAUGUCCCAUUCUAAUAAAAGAUUUGAGCUGCCCUUUUUGAGUUUUCAACUCAAAUCCCCUUGGGUCUCAAUGCGCCCUUUGCAGGUUUUUACCUUGGCCUCUCCUUUUUCUUUUUUCUUUAUUAUUAUUAUUAUUUUUUAUGACUCAAAGCACCCUUUGUGGGUUUUCACCUUGAUCUCUCUUUUUUUUUAGAACUUAAGGCGCCCUUUGUGGGUUUUCACCUUAGUCCUUUUUAGGACUCAAAGCGCCCUUUGCGAGUUUUUGCCUUUGUCCCUUCUCUUUUUUUCAAGUGAAGUGUGUCUUGAUUGAGUCUAAGUUUACAAGAUUUGACAAGUUUUUACCAUCCAUCUUACUCAAAAUCAAAGCUCCUCCGGAAAAGGCUUUCUUUACAACAUAAGGUCUUUCCCAAUUUGGCAUCCAUUUCCCUCUAAAAUCUUUUUGUAGAGGGAGAAUCCUCUUCAACAUUAGGUCGCCCUCAUUGUAACACCCCUAACCCGUGACCGUCGCUGGAUUGGGUUUAUGAGGCAUUACCGAACCAAAAGCUUAAUUCUAAUUUUAAUUAAUAAAUGGUAAAUCCAAAACAAAAUGAAUCAUGCACUAUGUUAUAUAUAUAUAUAUAGCAUAGCAUAGCAAAAUCAAAUAUAAAAUUCAAGUAAACCAAAUUUGCAUGCUUAACAAUCAAGUGGAAUACAUAGACUAUCCAUUCAAAUAUAGUAAAGGUGUACAUUUAUCAGAUUUGAAUAAAAUUGAUAUUUCACUAUAUUUAUUCAAAUAUAUAAUCUUACCAUUUCCAAGAAACAUUAUAUAUAUUCAUUAAGAUAAUAUAACACUCACUCAAAUUUCAUAGUCAACCACACUUUUUUGGAAUUAAACAUGAACCAAAUAAUCUAUCUGUAUAUACAAUAUUUCCUAUUACCUAUUUAAUAAAUCUCAAAAUCUUAUUCAAAUAUUACAUAAAUUAAUCAAAUACAAUUACAACUUGAAUAACAAAUUAGGUUCUUAUACUAAUAAAUAUAAUAAAUAACAUGAAUUUAACCUUUAACCGAAUAUACAUGGCUUAUAAUAAAAUCAUAUGAUCAAACUAAUUUGUCCUAUUUAAAACCGAAUGCAAACCCAUGCAUAGCAAAUUUUCUUUACUAAAUAAUUAAAUUGAAGUGGCCAAAGUAAUACCAAUUCGUCUAGCGCAUAAUAUGCCUAAAUUAAAUCUAACAUCAAUCUAACCAAAUUGAUCAUCCAAUACCAAAGCAUAUAAAUCAUAUCAUUUACCUGUUUAAAUACAUAUAAUUGAACUAUCUAUAUAAAUGCAUGCGCAUAAAUGCUCAUGCUUAAACCAUUUCCAAAAUAUAUAUUUCAUUACAUUACCUUACAAAACUAAGCAUUUCAUUACCAGUUAUAUAUAUAUAUAUAUAUAUAUAUAUUAUAUGCUAUAAAAUAAAUAUCAAAUUAUAACUAUCGGCAAUUACAUUAAUUAAUCAAACAUAUACACCUAUAAUAUCAUUUAACAUCAAUUCCCAUGAAUUAAACAUACCAUUUGCAAUUUCAUAUCCAAACAAAUCACACAUAACAUUCACAUAUAUAAUACCAUCCAUAAAAUGCUUAAUCAUAAUCAAAAUAUGCCUAAACCAUAAUUCACCCAAACCGAUCACAACAAUCUAAUUAAGCCAUUUUCGCAUGGCUUUAAUUUAUACAUUUAGCAUAUGUAAGUCGAAUAUUUUACUACUAGAAUACAAGUAUAUUCAUCAUCAUCAUCAUAUAUAUAUCACAAUUAUGAUAAUAAGCCAAAAUCACUCAUAAUUUCAAACAUAUUUACACAUUAUAGACUUACUAAAUAAUCUUGAAUCAUCAAUUCAAUAUAAAACUUACCUUAAUUUCUUAACAUGGUAAUAAUACAUACCUGAACUUUUAAAUUUGUUUUCACAUUUGUUCUUAAAUUAACGAUGCCCGUUGAGCCGUUCUGCAUUGAAAAGGAUAUGCAAAUAGUCGGAAAGCUCGUACAAUGCCAACGUCCUAGAUGUGGUCUUACAUGUAUUUACAAAUUGAUGCCACUGUGCAAGACAGGGUCAUACACAUAAACACAAGUCGAUGCCAACAUCCCAGACGUGGCCUUACACGUAAUCACAAGUCGAUGUCAACGUCCCAGACGUGGUCUUACACAAAAUCACAUAUUGGAAAUCCUAUCUAUUCCUAAGGCUCGUACGGGGCUUCUGAUUAUUGAACCUAAUCAAAUCAAACUCAAAAAUACAUAUUUCUAGCUUAAUCAUAUUCGGCCAUCAUCAAAUAAAAUUCAUAAAAUUGAAUUUAUUAUGUGACCUAUGUAUAUAAUUAAAUUUAACAACAUUUAUAUGCUUACAGACUUACCUCGGAUGUCGUCGAAUAAUAAAUCGGCUACUCGACCACUUUUGUCUUUCCCCGAUCCAAAUCCGAUUUCUUUAAUUCUUGAUCUAAACAUAUUUAAAUUAAGCUUAUUUAAACACGAUUCUAUUCAAUUUAGCCUAAAAACACAUGAAUGGACAAAUUACAAUUUUACCCCUAACAUUUCCCACUUUUUACAAUUUAACCCUUUUUGCUCAAAACACAAAAUACACAAAAUUUGACUACACUCUUUAAGGGUCGAAUAUUCCUAGUGUCCACACAACUCCAUAUUUUUCAUUUAUUUAGCAUUUGACCCCUCAAUUUACGCUUUUCUUAAUUUAGUCCUUAAUACACAUUUUUAUCAAAAAAAUUACUAAUUAAAACAUGAAAAUCUAACUACAUAUAUUUAUUUUCCAUCAUCUAAAAACAAAAACAACAAGUUCUCUUCAAUGGCAUCUUACAAAAUACACAACAAAUACAAAAUUUCAAGCAUGGGCUUUAUAGUACUCGAAACAACGAUAUUAAAAACAUAAAAAUUAUCAAAAAUCGAAACAAAAUCUAACCUUAAUUAAGACUUGUAAUUGCCGAAUGUUCAAAGCUUUUUCUUUCUUUAUUUCUUUUGUAGUUUCGGUGAAAACAAAGAUGAACAAUAGCAUGGUUUUCUUAUUUUAUGUUUUAUUUUAUUAACAUAUAAUAAUAACAAACUAUUAUGUUACCAAAAUAACCUUUAAUAAAGAAUAUACAAAACAUAUAAUAUAAGGUCAUUCUUGACCAUUGCCAUCCACUAACUUAUAUAAUGUGCUAAUUGCAUCAUAGUAUAAAGACAACAACAAUUAGACACUUUCAUAUUUAACCACUAAAUUUUCAUUUUACGCGAUUAAAUCCUUUUUCUCAAAUUAAGCACUCAAACAAUAAAAUUAAUUCACGAAACUUUCACACAUGUAAAUUCACACAUAAUAAACACAGAAUAAAAAUAUUAAAAUAUUUUUUAGACUCGGAUGUCUGGUCCCGAAACCACUGUUCCGAUUAGGGUCAAAAUCGGGUUGUUACAACUCUCUCCCUUUAGGGAUUUUCGUCCUCGAAAAUCUUACCGGUGAAUAGCUGUGGGUAACAUUCUUUCAUUGCAUCCUCUGGCUCCCAGGUUGCUUCCUCAACUCUGUGCUUAUGUCACAGUACUUUGACUAACGGAAUUUUCUUAUUUCGUAAUUCUUUAACCUCACGAGCCAGAAUAUUAAUCGAUUCUUUUUCAUAUGACAUAUCAGACUUAAUUUCAAUCUCGGUAGGACUAAUCACAUGCAAAGAACCGGAUCUAUACCUAUGAAGCAUCGAAACAUGGAAUACAUUGUGAAUCUUUUCUAACUCAGGUGGCAGCAGCAAUCAAUAAGCAACUGGCCCGACACGCUUUAUAAUCUCAUACGGUCCAAUGAAUCUCGGACUCAAUUUGACUUUACGACCGAAUCUGAGUAUUUUCUUCCACGAUGAUACUUUUAAAAAAACUUUAUCUCCAAUCUGAAACUCUAUAUAUUUUCUUUUCAAGUCUGCAUAUGAUUUCUGACGAUCCGAUGAUGUUUUCAGAUUAUCGCGAGUCACUUUCACUUUCUAUUCAGUUUCUUUAAUCAAAUCGACCCUGUGUAUCUUAUUUUCACUGAGUUCAGUCCAAUACAAUGGUGUACGACAUUUACGACCGUAUAAAGCCUCGUAAGGUUGCAUUUUGAUACUAGAUUGAAAGCUAUUAUUAUAUGACAAUUCAAUCAAAGGUAAGUAUUGUUCCCACGUACCUUCAAACUCAAGAAUGCAACUUCUCAACAUAUCCUCAAGUAUCUGAAUGAUUCGUUCGACUGUUUCUGGAUGGAAAGCUGUGCUAAAAUGUAGUUUCGUACCUAAAGCAUCUUGUAGUUUCUUUCAAAACCGCGAUGUGAACCUCGGGUCUCUGUCCGAAACAAUAGAAAUAGGCACACCAUGCAACCUCACAAUUUGAGAAAUGUAUAAUUCAGCAAGUUUAUCAAGUGAAUAAUCAGUAUGGACUGGAACAAAGUGAGCUAAUUUUGUCAAUCUAUCAAUAAUAACCCAGAUUGCAUCUUUCUUGCUCGGUGUCAACGAUAAACCAGAUACAAAAUCCAUCGUGACUCGGUCUCAUUUCCAUUCAGGUAUCAUGAUCAGCUGAAGCAACCCAAAAGGUAACUGAUGCUCGGCUUUUACUUGUUGACAUAUUAAACAUUGUGAAACAAAGUCAGAAAUAUCUCGCUUCAUACCGCGCAACCAAUAGUGCUAUUUUAGAUCAUUAUACAUUUUCGUGCUACCCGGAUGAAUAGAUAAUCGACUAUUAUGAGCUUCAUUCAAGAUCAUAUGAAUUAAGUCUGAAUUUUUCAGAACACAUAGUCGGUUUCUGAAUCUCAAACAAUCCUCAGCAUCAACUAGAAACUCUGAAUCAACAUUCAAAUCACACUGAGCCCGUUUUGCAAUUAAAUCAUUAUCAUCUUUCUGAGCUUCACAAAUAUAUUGAACAAAUAGCGGUUUUACUUUCAACUCAGCUACCAUUGCACCAUCAUCAGACAUAGCUAUAUGCGCGUUCAUUGCACGCAAAGCAAAUAAUGAUUUUUGACUUAAGGCAUUCACAACAACAUUAGCCUUUCCCGAAUGAUAAUCAAUCACAAGCUUAAAAUCUUUUAGCAACUCUAACCACCGUCGCUGUCUCAAAUUUAGGUCCUUCUGAGUCAUCAAAUAUUUCAAGAUUUUGUGAUCAAAAUAAGCAUGACAUUUUUCACCGAAUAAAUAGUGGCGCCACAUUUUCAAACCAAACACAAUAACGGCCAAUUUGAGAUCAUGCGUCGGAUAGUUCUUUUCAUGUGGCUUCAACUGUCUCGAGGCAUAAGCUACAACUUUGCCUUCCUGCAUCAAAAUAUAGCCCAAACCGUUCAAAGAUGCAUCACUAAAAAUAACAAAUUCUUUACCUGUCUCUAGCUGAACUAGUACUGGAGCUUCGGUCAAAAGGACUUUCAACUGAUCAAAUCUUUUCUGACACUUUUCUGACCACUCGAACUUAACAUCUUUUUGUAGCAACUUCGUCAUCAGGGUCGCAAUCAUAGAAAAACCUUUCACGAACUGUCUAUAAUAACCAACGAGUCCCAAAAGACUUCAAACUUCAGAGACAUUUCUCGGAGGUUUCCAAUCAAGUAUAGCUAAAAUUUUACUUACAUCAACCCGAAUACCCGAUGCUAAUACAAAAUGGCCCAAAAAACUGACUUCGCAUAACUAGAACUUACAUUUACUAAACUUUGCAUACAAUUGUUUAUCUCGCAAAGUUUGUAACACAAGUCUUAGAUGUUCAGCAUGUUUGAUUUCAUCACGAGAGUAGAUCAAAAUGUCAUCUAUGAAUACUACCACAAACUGAUCCAGAUACUAUCUAAAGAUUCGAUUCAUCAAAUCCAUGAAAACAGCAGGUGCAUUAGUAAGCCUGAAAGGCAUAACCAGGAAUUCGUAAUGUCCGUACCUCGUUCAGAAAGCUGUCUUUGGCACAUUAGAGUCUUUAACUCACAACUGAUAGUAACCCAAUCUCAAAUCUAUCUUCGAAAACAUUGAAGCCCUUUUUAGCUGAUCGAACAAAUCGUUAAUACGUUGCAAUGGAUAUUUAUUAUUUAUAGUCACCUUAUUGAGCUGCCGGUAAUCAAUACACAUUCUCAUCGUUCCAUCUUUCUUUCUCACAAAUAGUACUGGUGCACCUCAAGGAGAGAAACUCGGUCGUGCGAAACCUUUAUCUGUCAACUCUUACAACUAUUCUUUCAUCUCUUUUAAUUCAGUCGGUGCCAUACGGUACGGAGCUGUCAAAAUUGAAGUCGUCCCUGGUACUAAAUCAAUACCAAACUCUACCUCUCGAAUAGGUGGCAAACCCGACAAUUCUUUGGGAAACACAUAUGAAUAGUCACACACAAUCGGCAAGGAUUCAAUCUUUUUUCAGUCACUUUACUAUCAAGAAUAUAUGCAAGGUAAGCUUUACAACCUUUUCUCACAUACUUUUGAGCCAACAUCGAGGAUAUUACUGCUGGUAAACCAUUUAGAUCUUUAGAUUCAAUCUAAAUAAUCUCGUCGUUCUGGCAUCUUAAAUCGAUAGUCUUUCUUUUACAGUUAACCACAGCAUCGUGUAAAGUCAACCAGUCCAUACCCAAAAUAGUAUCGAACUCGUCAAAUGGCAACAACAUCAAAACAGCCGUAAAACGUAAAUCUCGAAUCAUCAACGGACAAUUCUUACACACUUUAUCAACCAAAACACACCGGCCCAAGGGAUUUGAUACUCUAAUCACAAACUCAGUAGACUCAACAAGCAAAGUCUUACUAGAUACUAAAGUCUCACACACAUAUGAAUGAGUCAAACCAAGAUCAAUCAGUCCAAUAACAUUAGUAUCAUAGAGAGUGAAAGCACAGUAAUAACGUUUGGGAAUGAAGCCUCUUUACGAGCGCGUAUAGCAUAUGCUCUGGCAGGUGCGUUAGCCUCAGAUCUAACAGUUGUAUCUUUGGUCCCCCUCUGACUGCCACUCAUAUUACCUGUGUUUCUGGGUGGUCUACCUCUAGCUGCAGUGUUACCCGAUCUCGUAUUUUGUACCGAAUUUUGAUCCACUAACUCUGGGCAUUCACGAAUGAAAUGAUCCCUCGAUCUACAUUUAAAAUAGGCUCGAUCAUGUAAUCUCUAACUACCAGAAUGUCGUUUACCACAAUGUUCACACUCGGAUUGAUUUGACCUGACAUUACCCACACUCGCUACUGAAGUAGCUCUCGAGCUCACAGGUGGUCUAUCCAAAUCCCAUCGUGAAUACCCCACAACAGUCUUUGAACGGCUAGUAUCAUCUCGAAACUUCUUUGAGGUCGACUGAAAUGGCUUACAAAAUAACCUUUUACAAAAAUCUCUGGCUUCAAAGUCAGCUUUUCUCUUCUCUUUCCCGAGUUAUUCGGCUUUGUAAGCUCGUUUAACAAGUACCACAAACUAUUUUAUCUCAAGUAUGCCAACUAACAGUUUAACAUCUUCAUUCAGCCCAUCUUCAAAUCUUUUACACAUAAUAGCUUCAGUCGAAACACACUCUCGGGCAUACCUACUGAGUCUCACAAAUUUCCGCUCAUAUUCUGUCACUGUCAUCCGACCCUGUUUCAAUUCAAGAAAUUCCUUGCGUUUCUGAUCAAUGAAUCUCUGGCUGAUGUAUUUCUUACGGAACUCAGACUGAAAGAAUUCGCAGGUCACUUGCUCUUUCGGACCCACUGAUACUAGUGUAUUCCACCAGUGAUAUGCAGUGUCCCGUAGCAAAGAUAUGACACAUUUUAAGCACUUGUCAGGGAUGCAAGAUAACUCGUCAAACACUCGAAUAGUAUUAUUUAGCCAGAAUUUAGCUCGCUGAGCAUCAUCAUCAUCAGUGGCUCUGAACUCUUUGGCCCCGUGUUUUCGGAUUUUAUCAACAGGAGGCUUUAGUAAUCUCAACGAAUCACUCACUUGAGGUAUAACAGGAAUCAAAGAUGGAUUAAUCGAGGGUGGAGGGCAAUCAUAUAACUACAAAAAAUACAUAAAACAAAAAAAAUAAUGUCCUAAAAAAACAUAGGUGGUAUAGGUAAUAUAAAUAAAAAAAAGACUUAUUUUUAUUGAAUCAAUAUCUAUAAUAAUAUAUAGAGUUUUACAUAUAAUAUAAACUAGGCAUAUUCAAACUCAAAAUUUUAUCUACAUAUGAGAACUUUUAUAAAAAAAAAUAUAUUCACUCAUUAAAGACAAAUGUAAAUUUUUUGUACCCCACAAAUGGAACUAAGCACAAUAACAAUGCAAAAUUAAGCAGAAAGGUCGUCAUAUUAACAAAAUUAAUAUAUAAAUUUAUGAAUGUGUCAUAAAUUUAAAAUAUAUAUAGCUAACAGGAAAAGAUCAAUUUCAUGCAAAAAAACAGUUAAAAAGGGAUAAUAACAACCAAAUAGAGAUCAGUUUCAUGCAAUCAAAAUGAUUUCUUAUUUAAUUUAUAAUUAAUUUAAAUGUUUCAUUGAUACUCGAUGAAGUGUAAUCCGUAUUUGCUCCAGAAAGCAUUUUGAUAUCUGCAUAAUUUAAAAAAAUUACAUAAAAUAAAUAUAAUUAAUUACUAUAUUACAAUAACUAUAAAAUAUAAAAUUACAAAAUAAAAACUAUAAAUAACUUACUUUUUUUUUCUCUUUUCUUCCUUCCUUUUACAAAAUAUUUGAAGGGGCGACCAAACCCCACCUUCUUAAAUAGAAUGUUCUUCUUCUUAAAUAAUGUUCUUCUUCUCUUUUUUUCUUUUUUAACUAACAAUUAAGCUAAUGACUAGUCACAUCGCUAAUGUCACUUAGAGGUGUGCAAAAUUUGGGUAAAAUCGAAAAAAUUCGAUUAAUCUAUCGAAUUCGGUUAAUCGGUCGGUUAACCGAAUUUUUUCGGUCGAGGCUCGAUUAAUUAUUUUUUAAUUUUUCAGUUAACGGUUAAUUCGGUUCAAAACCGGUCGGUUAACCAAAUUUUUUCAGUUUAACCGAAAAAAUUAAUAAAUAAAAUUAUAAUAUAUAAAUAAGCCCACUAUUCACCUAAAUCCAAUCCAAACCCAAGUAUCCAACCUAACCCAAUUACCCAAUCAUAAAAAUUACAAAUAAAUUAAUAAAUAAAAAUAAAAAAAUAUAAUUUUCGGGUAAUUCGGGUAAUUCGGUUAAUUCGGUUAAUUUUUAACCAAAAAUAAAAAUAUAUAUAAUUUCGGUUAACCGACCGAAUUAACCGAAAAAUUUUGGUUUGAUUUAUAUUUUUGAAUAAAUUUCGAUUCGGUUAAUGUUAUUUUAGGUCAGUUAACCGACUGAACACCCCUAAUGCCACUGACACGAUGUGACCAGUUAAAAUAUAUAUUUUUUUAUUUUCUAAUAUAUAAAAAAUUUCUAAUAUAUAUUUUUAAUCCUUUUUUAACCAAUAAAUUAUUUUUUUAUUUUUUCCAAUCAAUUCAAUUUUCACUUUUUUAAAUAAAAUAUUUUUUAAAAAAAUUUAAAUAGAAUUUUAGAAAAACGUUUGAAUAUCUUUAAAAAUAAUUUUAAAAAUCAUAAUUUUAAAAAAUAAUUUUAAAAAAUAUAUAUUUAAAAUUAAAAAUUAUAUUUAAAAUUUUUAAAAUAUGCAUUUAAAAUAUUAUAAAAUAAAUAAUAAAUUUGAAAGAUCAUAUCUUUAAAAAUAAUAUAUUUUAAAUAUUUUAUAAUAUUAAAAAAUAAUAUUUAAAAUUAAAAAUAAUAUAUAGUUUUAAAAAAAUAAUAUUAUAAAACAUUUCAAAUAUACAUUUCAAAUUUUAUAAAACCAAUAAUAAAUAAAACAAAUAAAAUAAAUAAAUAAAGGACAAAUAAAAAACUUAAAAAGUAAAUAAAUAAAAAGUUUAAAAAGAAAAAUGAAAAAGGACAAAGAAUCAGAGAAAAAGAAGUAACGAAUGAAAAAAAAAUAUUUAGGUUGUUUCAAUAGGACAAGGAACCCGCUAGUAUCUUAGAAUUUGGUAGCAUAAAUUUAUUUGGAUCACCAGAAAAGGAUAAAAUUGCUUAAAUAUUUUACUUUUAAAAAUUAUAAUAUUUCUCUAAUAUUUAUACAAGUUGUGUUAUUUUACAUGGCUCCACUAAAAAAAAUGAUUUAUUAAUGUAGAUUGCUGACGUGCAAAACACUUUGGCUCCUCUAACUUGUACCGUAAAUUUUUUAUUAUUUUCAAUUUUUAUGAAAAAAGGGUUAUUUAAGUAAUUAAUUAAAUUUUUGAGUUAUUUUUAUAAAAAAAGAGCAUAGUAAUUAAUUAAGCUAGGUAUUCCUUUUUCACACAAAGAAGAAAAAUGAUAGAAAAUAUAGGGUUGUGGUCGUAGAUAAAUGAUUAUAACGUGAUAUGAUCUGCUUCGCAUUAGUCCAUCACCUUAUCUUUAUGUUUUUGUCUUGGUCAUGAAUCACUUUGGCCUUUGUCUGCAAGUACUGUCUGUCCUACUAUCCUGCAUCUGAUUUUCUCUGUCUUUUGGGUCUAUUUGAAUCAUGCUGAAGUAAGAAAACUGUUUUUAAAGUAUAAAAGUUGAUAAUUAUAUUAGUUUAUUUCUUUAUAAUUUUUUAAAUUUUUAGAGAUAAUAAAUUAAAAUUUUAUAUUUUUGAGGAUAAACUAGAAUUUUAUAAUGGCUUAAAUAAUAGGUUUUCAUUUUAGGAGGUCUAAAGAGUAUUUUUCUUUUUAAAGGAGCCACAACCCUUGCUUACUUUGGUCACCUUCUAUGGUGACCAGAUUCAUUCCAGUGAGAUUAAAAACAAUAGUGGUGGUGAGAUUAAUUACUAUAAUAAUGAGAUUAUUAAAAUGAGAUAGAUUAUAGAUUUAUAGUAAAAAGGAAAAAUGACCAUUAUAGACAUUAAACUAAAAUUAAACUAAAGAAGUUUACACCAUUCCGUAUAUUUUUGUACGAUUAAUAUUUUAAAGAUAAAAACACCAUAUUUCAUAUUUCAUUUAUAUAAAUCAUGCAUGUGAAAUUUCACGUAAAUUAAAAAAAUUUAACUAGUUGUUUUAUGUAAAAUACUUUUAAUCUUUGAAUGAAUGUUAAUACAUACAAUAUUUUAGAUGGAUAGAUAAAAAUAUCGAAUCAAUUGAGAAUUUACAAUAAUAUCAACAAAUUCAAUGAUUGGAUUGUUAAGUUAAGAAUCAUGUAAAAAUAUAUGAAAGCGUGUAAAAUUACUUUAAUUUCGCAGUAGUAUAAGCAAAUUCUUUUUUUAAUAUAUAAAAUUAAUUAUAUAAUUUAAAUUUAUGUAUUUAACAUUAUUUAUAAAUAUAUUAUUUGAAAGUAAUGAAAUAAAAUAAAUAUUAUAAAUAAAAUUAUUAAAAAAUAGUAUCUAUUAUUGAAUUAAAUUAACCAUUCUUUAAAAAAGAGUGAAAAUUAUUUUUUUAAAUGCAUAGGGUUUUAUUUUUAAAAAAAUUUAAGAUUUAGGUAUAAAAGAUAAACAUAAAGUGCAUAGGGCUUUAUUUUUUAUUUUUUAAAUAAUAUUGUUUUCGGCUCACAUGCAGUUUAUUUAGUUAGGUGAAGUAUACCUAACUCAAAUUUUAUAAAAAUGAUAAAAGGCAUGUGAUUUAGUAACACAAAUAUUUUAUUCUCAAUUUUAAUUCGGUUUUUUUAUUUAAAAUAGUAAAGGAUGUAGAUACCUUUAUAAAUUUGCACCUUUUAUUUUAUACUUUAGUCCUUUCUUAAUUUCAUUUAGUGAUUUAUUGUAUACAGUGACGGAGCAUAGUGAAGAUUAGGUAGCAUGACAUCCUUUAAAAUGGUAAAUUUUUUUUAUUUAAGCUCUUUAUAAUUUAUAAAAUUUUAAAUUAGUAAUGGUAAAAUUGUACUUUAACCCUCCAAAGAUGAUAAAAAUUUGAUUUAACCCUUUAAAAAUUACAAAUAUAUAGACUAUUAAAAAUUACAAAUUACAAUUUAAUCCCAACCUCCAAAAACAGUUAGGCUCCGCCAGUUAAUUAAUUAUAUUAAAUUCGAUAAAAAUUUUAAGUAGAAUUGAAAAAAUAUGUGUUUUAUUUAAUAAUAAUACUUUUGAAUGGGUUGAAUUGGCAAGAGUUAAGGUGUGGACACUACACCAAAACAGGUCUUUAGCGGCAUAUUUUGUGGCGCUUGGACGAAAAACGCCGCUAAAAACCGAUCAUUAGCGGCGCAAAGACCUAAACGCCAUAAAAGAACAUCAUUAGCGGCGUUUACCACAAUGCGCCGCGAAAUCUCUUAACCAAAACGCUGUGUUUUCGUCUUGAUGUAUCUUAAAAUUAGUGGCGUUUACGCGAAACGCCAUUAAAGGACAGUAAUAGCGGCGCUUUCUGGAAACGCCGCAAAAUAGCUUAACCAAAACGCAGAGUUUGGUCUUGAGGUAUCUUAGAAUUAGUGGCGUUUAUAGGAAAACGCCGUUAAAGUACAGUAAUAGCGACGCUUUAUGGAAGCGCCGCAAACUAUCUUAAGCGAAACACAUCGUUUUGGUCUUGAUUUAUACUAGAACUAGUGGCGCAUAUGGUCAAACGCCGCUAAAGAAUAGUAUUAGCGGCGAUUUGUAGCUAGCGCCACAAAAUAUCUUAACAAAAACGCAGCGUUUUGAUCUUAAUGUAUAUAAAAUUAGUGGCGCUUACGGUAAACCGCCGCUAAAGAAUAUUAAUAGCGGCGCUUUGUGAGAAGCGCCGCAAAAUAUCUUAACCAAAACGCAUAAUUUUGGCCUCGAUGUAUAGUAGAAUUAGUGGCGCUUAGUGAAACGCCGUUAAAGCAUAGUAUUAGCGGCGAUUUGUAGCUAGCGCCGCAAAAUAUCUUAACAAAAACGCAGUGUUUUGAUCUUAAUGUAUAUAAAAUUAGUGGCGCUUACGGUAAACCGCCGCUAAAGAAUAUUAAUAGCAGCAAAAUAUCUUAACCAAAACGCAUAAUUUUGGCCUCGAUGUAUAGUAGAAUUAGUGGCGCUUAGUGAAACGCCGUUAAAGCAUAGUAUUAGCGGCGCUUGGAUAAAAGCGCCACCAAGUAUCUGAACCAAAACGCAUCGUUUUGGUCUUGAUGUAUACUUGAUUUAGUGGCGAUUUCGGUAAAACGCCGCUAAAGCAUAGUAUUAGCGGCGAUUUGUUGAUAGCGCCGCGACUUACCAUAAACAAAACGCAACGUUUUGGUCUUAAUUUAUACUAAAAUUAGUGUCGCUUUGUUGAAAGUGCCGCAAAAUAUCUUAACAGAUUUUUGGGUUUUAACCAUGCAUUAUGUAAUGUAGGUUACUAUAUAUUUAGUUUAUCAUAUUUGGUUUAGGUAUAGGGUAUUAGGGUUCAUUAUAUAAUGUUUAGUAUUUUUGGAUUACAGUGUAAAGUUUAAAGUUUAGGGUUUACGAUGUAGGUUUAAGGUUAGGGUAUUAGGGUGUUUAGGGUUUAAGGUUUAGGAGUCUGGGGUAUAAGGUUUAAAGUUUGGGGUUUAGGCUACUUUAGUCAUGUUAAUAGGUUAAUAUUGUUUCGGAUUUUGGGGUCUGGUUGUUGGUUUUAGAGUUUAGGGUUUAACGAUUUAGUAGCUUAAGAUUUUAGGGUUUAAAAGUUUAGAGGUUUAGGGUUAAAUCCUAAAAGCGUGCAUGAACAACAGUUUAAUGUUCAAUUGUAUACAUGAACUUUAAUUUGAUCUAAAUAUUGUAAAAUAUUAACACAAUUAUUGAUAUAAUUAACAUCAUUUUAAUUUACGUAUAUUGCAUACAUAAAUAUUUAUAUUUAUUCAAUAUAAAAAUAUAUUUUGAUGUAAAAUUUUUUAUAGAUCAUGAAAUAAAUUUUUAAAAAUGCAUUAUUCUCCCAUUUUUUAUUAAUUGAUAAUUUCAUUUUAUAAAUUUUGUUUUAAUUUUGGAUCAAUUUGGCUUGAAUCUUGGAUGAAGGCAUUAGCGGCGCUUGAGCAAAAGACGCCGCUAAAGGUGAUGUAUUACCGGCGUUUUAUGAAGAAACGCCGCCCAUUUCCUUAAGUGUAACAAAGACACGGUGCCGUUUUUUGUUUUCAUUUAGUGGCGCAUUUGGAAAACGCCACAAAAAUUUAUAACGAGUUGAGGAAACGGCGUCGUUUCCUAUUUUUAUUAGUGGCGCUUUUGCUAAUGCGCCGCAAAAAUGUUACGGUAUAUAAGUGAAAACGGCACUGUUUUAUUCUGAACUUGGAAUUUUAGUGUCGUUUUUAUUUAAAACGCCGCAAGUGUGGACUCAAUAACGGCGUUUGUUCUCAACGCGCCGCAAAUCUGACUUAAAAAUUUCUUAAACGGCGUCGUUUCUUAAGGGGACAUUUAACUUAAUACCCUUCUCUCGUCCUCCAAAAACAGAAAGAGUGAAUUUGCAGACCUCAAGUGUCGAAAGGGAACAAAUUUCAGACUUCUUACAAAGGAAAAAAGAAGGUUGGGGUCGGUCUUGAAAGAAGUUUGGCACAGCUGCGAGAUUUUUCGAUUAAAUAGGUAAGGCGUUUCUGUUAUUUUUGGAUUAAAUUUUUAGGGUUUUAGGUCAGUCAUAGUUAUUUGGGGUUUUAGGGUUUCGAUUAAACAACUUCAACAAUGUACUAUUCCGAUUAAAUAUGUAAGGCGUUUCUGUUAAAUAGGUAAGGCGUUUCUGUUAUUACAGCCACUUAUGGAUUUGAGUUUCAUAUUCUGAUUUCUGGUAUUGAUUUGUGGUAUUGAAAAAAUUUAUAUUACAGCCACAAUAUUGAUUUGUGGUAUCAAUUUACUAUUCUGAUUUAGAUUAUAGCACAUGAGAGGGUGGCAAAAUUUAUAUUCCGAUUUAGAUUAUAGCACAUGAAUUGGAAGGGAUGGAUAAAAAUAAAUAAAUGAAUUGCUAUGGAUUCUCUUGAGGAUGUAAAAUCCGAAUUGGUUGGUCAAUUAGAAUUAGAUUAUGUUGUUAUGUGCAGAAAUAAUUGAGUGGAUUUGAAAUAAUUUGUUUUUGAUUAUGUUGUUAUGUUCUGAAAUAUGCUUUGGAUUUGAAAUAAUUUCUGAGUCUGAAAUAAUUUGUUUUUGAUUAUGUUGUUAUGUUCUGAAAUAUGCUUUGGAUUUGAAAUAAUUUUUGAGUCUGAAAUAAUUUGUUUUUGAUUAUGUUGUUAUGUUCUGAAUUAUGCUUUGGUUCUGAAAUCUGGAUCUGGUUUUUGUCUGCGUUGCUUUCUUAGCUUGCUGGGUUGGAGCUCGUUUCAUUGCUGCCAAAUUUGGAUAUUCUUUGGCGUGGAGGUAAAUUUUGUAAAGGCAAAUUUUAUGUUGCAAAUAAAAGGUUUUUAGUUAAUCAUCUUUAGUUAAUCAUCUUGCUGUUCGUGGUAGUUAUAUACCCGUUGCAUUUUGGUCAGCCUGUCAUGUAUUAUGCAAAUCCCGAAAUGGUUUUAAGCAAGUGGACUUUGUUUAUUUAGUUAUGCACAUAAUACUUUCAUAUUUUAUUUGUUGUAGAAGUUGGUAUCUCACAGUUUCUCAUCAAAUGUAUGCGAGUAGUAUCGAAUGCAAAUUGUUUUAACAGCCAUUUGAUCAAUUGUUCUGUUUUUUUCUAAUAUUCCUUUAUAACAUAUUGGAAGAUAUGUUAUGUUUUAACUUAAUAUAUUUGAAACAUAAUAUCUUAUGCCUCACAAAAUCCAAUUUUUGAUGAUUGUCUUAUUUUAAAUAAUGCUUCCAAUCAAUGGUAUGUGUAUUAUUUAAACAAAAUCCACGAAAUAAAAAUUACUUACUAAAACUUGUAAUUCAAAAUUUAAUUUCAAGUCCAAAUUAAUAUUUUACUUAAAUAUAUUACUUACAAUUUAAUUUAACUUAUUAAAUAUAUAUAUUGUUAAGUAAUAAUUUUUUGAAAUUUAUAUCUUAGAUUACUUAAAUAUAUAUUUUUAAGUAUAUUUUACAUGACUUACAUUACUUACUAAAACAUAUUUUUUACUAAAAUUUACUUGAAUAUAUUAAUUAAAUAAAUUACUAAUAAAGAUUGCUUAUGUAAGCUAUAUUUAAAUUUUAAAUUUAAUAAAUUAUUUAUAACAAUUAUUUAAAUUUAAUAAAUAAUUUAAAAAUUAUUUAAAUUUUAUUAAUAAUAAAUUUAUAACUUAAAUAAGUAUUACUAUUUUUUUAAUAUUAUACAUAUAUUCAUUUAGGUAUGUAAGCUAUAUUUAAAUUUUAUUAAUAAUAUUUAAACAUAUUUUGUUGUCAAAUUAGUGACACAUAUACCUCUCCACGAAUUAUUCAGUGGAAGAUUAGUUUAAAAGCAAAGAUUGCUUAUAUAAGCUAUAUUUAAAUUUUAUUAAUAAUAAAUUUAUAACUUAAAUAAGUAUUACUAUAUUUUUAAUAUUAUACAUAUAUUCAUUUACAUAACACAUAACUUACAUAACUUUCAUAAUACACAACUUACGCAUCUUACAUAAGACAUAACUUACAUGUGUAAAUAAUACAAAAAUUACAUAACUAACAUAAGACAUAACUUACAUAAGUUUCAUAAUACACAUCUUACGCAACUUACACAACUUACAUAACUUACAUAAGUUUCAUAAUACACAUCUUACGCAACUUACACAACUUACAUAACUUACAUAAUGUAUAUCUUGUUGUCAAAUCCUAAACCCGUGCAAUUUAUUGUCAACGUCAGACUUCAAGAAUUAAAAAAUGGACCGGUCUUGGAUGAAUUUGUCAAGGGUAAGCGACGGUUAUCGAAAUGGGGUGCAGAGUUUUCUAAAUUUUGCAUUUCAAUAUGCAAGCCAAGAGAACAUGAUUCUUUGCCCGUGCAAGAAGUGUGUCAACAUAAAUUGGCAUUAUCGUGAGGUUGUAUACGAGCAUCUAAUUGUUGAUGGGUUUGUUCGGGGUUAUAAACAAUGGUUAUUUCAUGGUGAAUGCCCGCGUAGUACUUCCUCUUCAAGUAUGGAUGUAACUUAUCCUGAUACUGCUUACCAUCAGUCUGGUAGAGGGGAUGACAUGGAAGGUAUGUUGCGGGAUGCAUUUAAUAUGCACAAUCAUGGUGUUGAAUCAUUCCCAGCGGACUUUAUGGCCUCUGAUGAUUGUAAUAUUGGUGGAAAUACUUUUACCGAACCGGGAAGUAGUGUACGUCAUGAAGAGCCGAAUGGAGAAGCGGCGAAGUUCUACGCGCUACUUAAUGACAUGAACGAAGAACUGUAUGAGGGAUCAAAAUUUUCAAAGAUGUCCUUCUGUGUUCGUCUUUUUCAAUUAAAGUGUUUGGGAGGGUGGACGGGAAACUCGUUGACGAUGCUGUUAGAGUUUUUGAGAGAAAUGUUCCCGCUUGCAAAAAUCCCUCGGUCCUGCAAAGAUAUGAAGAAGAUGAUAAAAGAUUUAGGCCUUGGGUAUAACAAAAUCCAUAGUUGCCCAAAUGACUGCAUGUUGUAUUGGGGCGAUCGGAGAAACCAACAGUGCUGUCAUGUAUGCGGCCACUCUCGUUGGACAAGUAGAAACACAGAAGAUGGGAACGACGAUGAAAAUGAUGCACAGUCACGGAAGAAGCCAGCCAAGAUUUUACGGUAUUUUCCGUUGAUACCAAGGCUUCAAAGGCUUUUUUUAUUGUCGAAGACAGCGGAGUCAAUGACAUGGCACCAUGAUGGACGAACCGUUGAUGGAUUACUAAGUCAUCCGGCAGAUUCUUUAGCUUGGAAAUCAUUUGACAAUAAAUUUACAAGCUUCGCAAGCGAUCCUAGGAGUGUGAGGCUUGGGCUAGCAUCUGAUGGAUUUAAUCCUUUCAAGAUCAUGAGUACAAACAAAUAUUGAGAUCUCGUUUGCGCUCCCGAAGAACACAACAUCGAGAUAUCAAUAAGUUGUUUACAGAAUCAUUUUAUGAAUGGUUAAGCCAAAUGGUAUGCAGUUCGAGCUUCCGCUUACAAAUAAUAAUAUUUUCUCAUAACAAAUGAAUUACUCAGUUUACUUUCCAUUCAAUAGGUUUGGAGCGGGAAGAACAUAAACGACGAUGUUAAAUGGCUCUCCCAAGGUCCAAAUCGAGUGGUUAAAAGAUAUAGUGCGUUCCUCAUCAACGGAUUCAGAUUUCAUACAAAAUAUCGCGAGAGGUUGAGGAGAACGCAAAAUUGUGGAAUUGUUGUCAAUUCUGCAAUUACGAGUUAUGCUAGUGCUAGGGACAAUAAUCCUGUCGAGGGAAAUGUGGAAUAUUUCGGACAACUUACUGACAUAAUUGAGUUGGAUUACUACGGCAAAUGGAAAGUUGUCUUAUUUCGUGGUGAUUGGGCCGAUGUUAAUACAGCUCGUGGAAUUAAGCAAGAUCAAUUUGGUUUUACAAUGGUGAACUUUGACCGAUUGAUUCACACAGGACAACAACUGAUAGAUGAGCCGUAUGUAUUCUCAUCUCAAGUCAAACAAGUUUUUUACUCAAAAGAUCCAACUGAUGAGGGUUGGUACGUUGUACUCCGUAACAUCCCUAGAGACUUGUUUGAUAUGGGCAGUGGAAGUAGAGAUAACAUCGAAGAUAGAUCAGUAACUUUACCCUUUCCAGAACUAAACUUAAACGAUAAUAUCCCUAGUACUAGUGCACAAUUUGGAUGGGUUCGUCAGGAUACCGAUGAAGAUAUUUACGAAUAAUGAUGUAGACACAUUUUACGAUUGUUUAAUUAUAUAUAAUAUCAUAAUUUAAAUCUUCGUCUUAUUAUAUGUUUCAACUGUUUUAUAUGUGCUGUUAUUGUUGUAAUUAGCUAUUAAGUUAUUAACUAUUUUAUGUGUAUUGUAGAUAAAAUGCCUAGAAGAAAAAUUCUAAGGGGAAGCAUUGUUCAAAAUAAUCCAAACUCGACAGAAACUAAUAGUACUGAACAACAGACAGCAGUUGGAUCUUCAAAUGUUCCGAUUACAGCUGAGGAUCCUACAGAAGUUCAAAGUAAUUUUUCAUUUAAUUUACAUGCGUGUUUCUGUUAUAGUUGAUUUAUUUUUCAAAUUCUUAUAUUAUAAUAUACCAUUUGUAGCUGAAAAUGGUGGGACGCGCAGAGGUCGAGGACGUACGCUACUUAGAGAGUUGUACGAGUUAGAUUCAGUCGAGCGUGUCAAAGUUGGACGAAACAGUUUUGGUCAGCCUGUUGGAUCAGAAGCUCGACUUUUAGCUGGAUACAUGGGCAUUUUAGCACGAAAUCCGAAUAUGUUACCUAUAAACUACGAGUCAUGGCAUCAAAUGCCCGAUAGCAACAAAAACCAAGCCCUCGAUAAUAUUAAGGUAACAAAAUGUUAAUGUCAUCUAUAAUGCUUGGGAAAUAGUUUCAUUUAUAUUUAUUUUAUUAACUUGUGUUUUUUGUUUUUUGCAGGCGAGGUUUGCUUUAGAGGUCUCGGAUGCUUAUGUAAAGAAGGCAUUGGGAAAAAGAUGGAGAGACAACAAAAGUACUUUGAAGAAAAAUUAUUAUAAGACAAAAACAACCCUCGAUGAGAAAUUGCAAAAUGUCCCGCUGGGUAUGUUGAGGUACCAAUGGGAAGAUGCGGUUAGAUUUUGGCAUUCGAAUAAAGGCGAGGUCUUCUAAACUAUUGUAAUUAUUUUGGUUUAUAGUAUUUUCUAUUUACGUACUAAAAAAUUUCAUAAUGUAGGAUCGUGAUCAAGUUGGAAUAAGCAGCAGGCAGAAACAAAAAUUCACCCACACAGCCGGGUCGAGAAGUUUCGCAUGUGUAGCUGAGGCGGAGGUAUUUUUAAAUUUUUUAAUAUUGUCGAAUAUGUAUAACUUUCUAUUAAAUAAUAUUUAUACUACUAUAUUGUAGGAACGGUCGUCCGGUCAAAAAGUUGGACGCCUUCAACUUUUUGAAAUUACACAUAGGAAGAAAGAUGGAUCUCCCAUGACUCCUGAAGCUGCUGAAAUAAUGGUACGUUUACUUAAUACGAUUUGACUUAUUUUAGUUAUUUAUAGUGUUUAUUUUCUAAUGGUUUAAUUCAUUGCAGUUAAUGCGACUAUUGUUAUGUUGCAUAUGUUUUUCAAUAUAUAAUAUUGUGUUCCUAACUAUGUGAUAUAUUUAUUAGGAAAAACUAAAUGAUAAAAAGGCGGAGUACGAAGCAAUUGCUUCUAGUGAUAGUUCGGUUCAUCUUGAAGAUAUUGAUAAUCGGAUUAUUACUGAAGUUUUGGGUCCUGAAAGGUAUGGUCGGGUUCGAUUUCAAGGAUCUUUUGUUAGCCCAACCCAAUAUUUUGGAUCCAGCUCCCACAAAUACAUGGCUUCGGGGAGUCAGGCUCAAGCUGAAGUUCAGAGGUUAAAAGACCAAAUGGCUCAGAUGCAAGCGACUACAAUUGAGGUUCAAAGGAAAUAUGAAGAACUCCAGCUACAACUUAAAGCAGAGGCGGAAGCGAGGGAAGCAGCGACUGCAGCGAGGGAAGCAGAGGCUGCAGCAAGAGAAGCAGAGCAGAGCAAAAAGUACGACGAACUUCAGCAGCAGCUUCAGAUUAUGAUGAAGAUGUUUAAGUCGCAACUUCCACCUUCAUAGUGUAUGACAUAAAUAUUUUUAUCAUUUUAACAUUUAACAUUUAACAUUUUUUGCAAAAACAAUAUGAAUUCACUUUUAUUUAUUGAUAUUAAUAUUAUUUUAUUCCCUUAUGUUGAAAUAUUAUAUAAAUUUAUUGCUAUUGGUUGCUUUUGAAAUGUUGCUUUUGAAUUUUUGCUACAGGAGGGCAGAAAAAAUGAAAAAUUUAAUAAAAAAAAAUCCCCAAAAUAGUGGCGUUUUUGUAUAAAAGCGCCACUAAAGAACAUGUUCUUUUGCGGCGUUUUUAAAAAAUGCCACUAAAGAACAUGUUCUUUAGCGGCGAUUAGAAAAAAAACGCCGCUAAAGAACAUGAUCUUUAGCGGCGUUUUCCCUUAAGCGCCGCUAAAGAACAUGUUCUUUAGCGACGUUUUUUCCUAAGCGCCGCUAAAGAACAUGGUCUUUAGCGGCGUUUUUUCCUAAGCGCCGCUAAAGAACAUGGUCUUUAGCGGCGUUUUUUCUAAGCGCCGCUAAAGAACAUGAUCUUUAGCGGCAUUUUUUUCUAAGCGCCGCUAAAGAACAUGGUAUUUAACGGCGUUUUUGUUUGUAAACGCUGCAAACAUUUGCGACGUUUUCGUUAGCGGCAUUUUUUUCCGGCGCUUGAAGAAGCGCCGCAAAUAUCUUUAGUGGCGUUAAAAAGCACCGCUAAAGGCCUAAAAAAACGCCGCUAAAAACCUGUUUUGGUGUAGUGUCCUAAAAUAAUAAAUUUAGUAGAUUAUAUGCAGAACUCGGUUAUAUCAGACUCAGUGCCAUGAACUUCACUAGCAAGCUUGCUAUCACAGCUGCAGCAUAAGCUAUUAACUGCUUAAUCACCAUUUUUCUUACAACACUCAAAGAUGAAGAAGAAGAUUCUAUAUUCAAUUUCUUAAUGUUAACCUUGCAUUUGCAUUUCCUCGAUAGGGUUUUUAUACCAAAUUUCAAGGAGAAUAAAACAAAAUAAUAAUAACUUUUUAGUUAAUUUGAUGGCAUAAUUGGAUAAGGUUUUUUUUGGGGGGGGCGAUUUUGCAACGAUAUAUACAGGUAGGUAGGCACAUUUUGUUUUGUUGAAUAACUAGUUAUAUGGUAUAAAAUAUUUGGCUCGUGGUCGAUUUUUAAUUUAUUUAAAACUCAACAUGCAUGAUUUAUAAGAAUGGAAUAUUAAAUAUGAUGAUAGGAUUAUUAAAAUAUUAAUUAUAUAAAGAAUUACAGAAGUACAUAAAAACCACUUUAAUUUUGUAAGUAUUUUGGCAAGGCAACAAUGGAAAGGGCUCUUGCGAUGAAAGAAGUGAUUAAGGGCUACGAAAGCAUGUCUGGACAGAUGGUGAAUUUUAACGAAUCCCUGAUUUAUUUUAGCAUAAAUACAAGUGAGGAAGACAAUGUGCAAAUUGGGAGUUAGAAUGUCUAAUAAUCCAGAGAAGUAUCUUGGGUUACUAACGAUGGUCAGAAGAACAAAGAAGAACGCAUUCGUCAAUUUAAAGGAAAGGUUCAUUAAUAUAAUAAAAGCAUGGAGUGUACGCAAUCUAUCAAUAGGGGGAAGGAGGUAUUUAUCAAAUCCACUUUACAAGUCAUUCCAAUUUAUGCAAUGCAGUGUUUUUUUAUGCCAAUUUCUUUAUGUUGAGAAUUAAGAGAUUAUGAUGUGCAAAUUCUAGAUACGCAAUUCGAAAACAAAUAAAGGAAUUCAUUGGUGCAAUUGGCGUUCUAUAUAUAUGUACCCCAAAGGCACAAGGGGGAAUUGGUUUUAGAGAUCUUUCAAUUUUUAAUAAAACCCUUUUAGCGAAGUAGGGUUGGAAACUAAUUACCAAUUCUACCAGUUUACUUGCACGAGUAAUGAAAGGUAAGUAUUAUCCAAGGAGUGAGUUUAUGAAUGCAGGUUUAGGAUAUCACCCUUCUUUUACCUAGCGAAGCAUUUGGGGUGCUCGUAGCAUUUUGGAAGAUGGUACUGGCUGGAGAAUUGGGAAUGGCAUGACAAUGAAUAUAUAGAAGAUGCUUGGAUUCCAGGACCUGGAGACAGAAAGGUAAAAAUUAAGAAUAUUGACAUUAGAUGCUCGAAGGUUGCAGACGUCAUUAAUAGUGAAACUAAUACCUGGAAAAUGGAUCCAGUAGAAAGAUUGUUCAUGAAGAAGCAAGCCGAGUUGAUUUUAACCAUCCCACUGGUGAACAACUCUUAUCAAAUGCUUUAAUCUUAAAGGGUGAUAAUACGGGAGAAUACUCGGUCAAAAGCAAGUACAAGUGGUGCAUUUCUGGUGGCCAAGACGGGACAGAGGACGAUAAUAAUUUACAAGACAUUGCUACAAAAAAAACUAUUACACAAAGCUCUGGAACCUCAAAAUUCCAAACAAAAUCAUAAUACGCCUAUGGAAGGUUUCUAAAUAAUUUUCUUCCUUUGCUAAGUAAUCUAAAGUAUCGAAGACUAAGGGAGGAGGCCCUCUACUCGAUCUGUAAGAAGGAAGACGAAAUGGUGGACCAUCUCUUUCGAGACUAUGCUUUUAUGAAACAAGUGCUUCAGGAGAUAGGAAUGGUACCCUUGCACACAAACACAAAUCAAGGAUGGAAAAUUUGGUUUGUGUAUGUUUUCGGAAACUGUAACAUUUUGCAAAACAUAAACAUAACCAUUGCAUAUUAGGCCAUUUGGCAUAAUAGAAACAAGUUAUAUCAUGAAGGUAAAAGAGAAAGAGUAUGUGAAGUUGUCAGUUUCAUUAAGGCAUACAUUGUCGAGUUAAAACAGUUAAGAGGAAAUCUCACUGAUCCGAAAUAAUAUUGAAGAAAUACAGUGGAAACCUCCAAAGGGAGAUCAAAUGAAAGUUAAUUUUGAUGCCUCUUUCCAACAGCAGUGUUGGUGCAAGAGGCAGCAGCAAGCUUGUUUCUACUUUGCUUGGACAGCAAGUGUCGAGCCUUGCUGAAGAAACUAUCGAAGAAGAAAGGAAGAAAAAAAAGAAAUUUGCAAUGGAAAACAGAAAAGAAAGAGAUAAAUUUGAAUGAAAAUGAGUUGAAUUUUCAUUAACCACUUCACAAGGCAUAAUGCCAAUACAUAUAUGAGAUAACAACAGCAAAACAAACAAGUUACCACCUAAUAACAUACCUAACACCACUAAAUUGCCUAGUAACUUGGUAAACUUGUUUGAACAUAUAAGCAACUACCUAAACUUGUCAUUCAGGACCUAAUUACAUCAAAAUGCAGCUACCAACUAAGUUCAAAACAAACUAAAAUACAAAAUGUUCAUUUGAGUAACCAAAUGAAACAAUGCAGUUUCGGUUUGAUGUUGAAGCACGUUCCCUGCAUGCCCACCUUGCAUGGCCACCUUGGCUGCUGCAUGGGGGCUGACUUCAACACUCCUCCUCAGCUUCUAUGCAGUAGACUCCUAGUUGCUUCCUUAGGUUUAGAAAUCUCGAUGUACCAAGUGAUUUUGUGAAGAUAUCGGUAAUCUGAUUUUCUGAGCUGCAAUGAAUCAGCUCGAUCUCUCAAGCUUGUUCCAUUUCUCUUAUCACAUGCAGUUUAAUGUUGAAAUGUUUUGUCCUGCCAUGGAAGAUAGAAUUUUUAGCAAUAGCAACUGCUGACUUGUUGUCAUAAUGUAUCACAGCUGCUUCAUUCUGCUGUAGGUUCAAAUCGCUCAAAAUUUUUCUCAGCCACAUAGCUUGAUUAAGAGCAUUGGCAGCUGCUACAUACUCAGCUUCAGCUGUCGACUGAGCCACCAUUGUUUGUUUUCUUGAACUCCAACAAAUCAUAGCUGAGCCAAGUGUAAAAGAAUAACCAGAGGUGCUCUUCAUGUCAUCUUUUGAACCAGCCCAAUCGCUGUCAGUGUAGCCAAUCAGUUUCAAUUCUUUAGCCCUACUGAAAUGUAUUCCAUGGCUCAAAGUGCCUUUGAUAUAUCUCAGCACCCGUUUUCUAGCUUUGUAAUGCUGCUGGUUGCAGCAAUGCAUGAAUCUUGAUAGCAUGCUCAUAGCAAACAGAAUAUCAGGUCUUGUUGCUGUCAGAUACAGCAAACAACCAACAAGGCUUCUGUAAUCAGUUUCACAGACAGAUUCAUGGUCUUCUUGGCUCGAUAGCUUCAUGCCAACAGCCAUAGGUGUGCUGGUUGGUUUACAAUUCUCUAUUGAGAAUUUGGCUAGAACUUUCAAGGCAAAUGAUUUUUGUCUCAAGAAGAUUCCUCCUUCUACUUGAUUUACUUCCAUUCCUAGGAAAUAUGUCAUCAAUCCCAGGUCUGACAUCUCAAACAUUUCCUUCAUUUUUGUUUUGAAAUCAGCUAACAUGAACUUGUCUCCUCCAGUCACUAGAAGAUCAUCAACAUAGAGUGAGACAAUGAGCUAUGUUUCAGCUCGAUUUCUUUUAACAUAAAGUGUUGGCUCACUAGCACUCCUUUAAAAUCCCAAACUGACCAGGUAUGAGUCAAUCCGAGCAUACCAGGCUCGAGGGGCUUGUUUUAGGCCAUACAAGGCCUUUCUUAGCCUAUACACCAAAUGUUCCUUACCAGGCAUUAUGAAUCCUAGAGGUUGCUCGAUGUAUAUCUCUUCUUCCAAGAAUCCAUUGAGGAAUGCAGACUUGACAUCCAUUUGAUGGAUUGUCCACUGGUUCUGAGCAGCUACAGCAACCAGCAAUCUGAUUGUAUCGAGUCUGGCUACUGGAGCAAAUGUUUCCAUGUAGUCCAGACCAUAUCUCUGACUAAAGCCCUUCACAACUAGCAUGGCUUUCUACUUGUUUAAACCUCCAUCUACAUUAUGCUUCAUUCGAUAGACCCAUUUUACACCAAUGGUCUUUAUGUUAGUUGGCUUUUCAACCAACUCUCAUGUUUGGUUCUUCUCAAUCAUGUUGAUUUCAUCAACCAUAGCCUGUUUCCAACCCUCAUUUGCCUUAGCCUCUUCAAAAUAGGUAGGUUCAGCUAUAGCAACCUGUGCCCUUUCAUAAAUCUCACCUAGGGGCCUUGUGCCUCUCACAGGCACAUCAUCAACAUCCAUCUCAGGACCAAGCUGCUCGAGUUCAGCUUGAUCAGGCACCAGGUCUUUUGAAGCAGCUUCUGGUUCACUCUUUUCCCAAUUCUAGCAAGCUUUUUCAUAAAAAAUGACAUCUGUGCUCACCUGGACUGUGCUUGUCAAGGGAUCCAAAACCCUGUAGCCCUUCUUGACUGAGCUAUAACCCACUAGGACACCUGGUUGAGCCCUUUCAGAUAGCUUAUCCCUCUUUGCUGCUGGUAUUUGUGCAUAGCACAGGCAACCAAACACCUUCAGAUAUGCCAAGGAAGGCUUGAAUCUAAACCAAGCCUCGAAAGGUGUCUUGGAUGCAAGAGCUUUGGUAGGAAGCCUAUUCUGAAGGUAGACAGCAGUGUUUACUGCCUCAGCCCACAUGGUCUUGGGAAAUUUCUUCUCAAACAGGAGACAUCUGGCCAUAUCCAUCAGACUUCUGUUCUUUCUUUUAGCUACCCUAUUCUGCUGAGGUGUGUAGACAUUUGUAAGCUGGUGUUUGAUGCUAGCAUCAUUGCAAAUAGCUUGAAACUGAGCUGAAGUGUACUCAGUGCCAUUGUCUGACCUUAUCGAUUUCAGCUUGCAACCUGUUUCUGUCUCAACAGCCAUUUUAAACUUCACAAACACUUGAGCUACCUCAAACUUGUGUUUCAGAAAGAAAAUCUAGCAAAACCUUGUAAAAUCAUCAAUAAAGAGAAUGAAAUACCUAUUUUUGCUGAGUGAUUCAGUUCUCAUAGGUCCACAUACAUCAGAGUGCACCAGCUGCAGUCUUUCAGUGGCUCUCCAUACUGAGUUUGUAGGAAAUGGCAGCCUUGCCUGUUUUCCCAUUUGGCACACUUCACACACAUCAUCAUGCUCCAUUGAGCUGGUGAAGUUCUCUACCAAGCCUUCUUUGGCCAUUCGAGCCAUUGAUCUGAAGUUGGCAUGCCCGAACCUUUGAUGCCAAAGGUUAGAAUCAUCAACAGAGGCUGUGUAUGCUAACUUUAAGUCAUUUGGCCAAUGAACCUCAAAGCAUUUGUCAGUCAUUAUGACUGUCAUAAGGCUUGAUCCACUUGGAUCAGUAAUGUGGCACUGUUUUUCAUUGAACACAAUAGAGUAGCCUUUCUCGAGCAAUUGAGCUAUGCUGAGAAGGUUUCUAUCAAUCUCAGGCACCAAUAGCACAUUUGGAAUGAUCUUGUUGCCUGUAGGAGUACAUAUCAGCACCUCUCCUCUUCCUUCAGCCCUUAUGAAUUGACCAUUUCCAACCUUGGCCUUGGUUUUGCAACUUCUAUCCAAGGUUUUAAACAAGGAGGCAUCUGGUGACAUGUGGUUAGUGCAGCCACUGUCCAAUAACCAGUCUUUUGAACAUUUCUUCUCAGCAGCUAAGCAAGAAACAGCAAAGACCUGCUCUUCUUGGUCACUACUGUCCUCAGCUACUCGAGCUUCAACCUUUGGUUGUUGAAAUUGACUCUGCCUCGGCUUGGUUUUGUUUUUGCAAACCCUUUCAACAUGGCCUUUCUUCUUGCAGUGUUGACAUACUGCAUCUAGCCUGAACCAGCAUCUGUCUUCUUGAUGACCUGGCCUCUUGCAAGGUCUGCAGGGCUGGUCAUUGCUCCUUGCAGCAUCAGGCUUAGGCCUGCUUUUCUAAGGCUUUUUGCCUCUUUGAGCAUUGAUGCUCGACACUUCUCUGGCCUUGGCAUGAAAUGCACCUUCCUGGUGAUCUUCAGCUCUGCUAGCUCUUCUUUGUUCCUGAGCAUAAAAAGUGUUAAUAAGCUCGGUCAAAGAGAUGCUAGCUAGGUCUCUUGAAUCCUCUAGGGAGGAUAUCUUGGCCUCAUAUCUCUCAGGCAAACUGGAGAGGACUUUCUCCACUAUUCUUGCCUCAUCAAAGUGCUUACCAAAGAGCCUUAUAUUGUUAACCACUACCAUGAUUCUAUCUGCAUACUGCUUCACUGUUUCUUCUUCCUUCAUCUUCAGAUUCUCAAAAUCCCUUCUCAAAUUCAACAGCUGUUGUUGCCUUGUCCUCUCAGUGCCUUGAAACUCCUCCUUAAGCUUGUCUUAGGCCUGUUUUGGAGUCUCACAGGCCAUAAUUCUGGUAAAGAUGACAUCUGACACAUAGUUCUGAAUGUAGGACAUGGCUUUGUGCCUUUUGGUCCUCUCAUCAGCAUGUUGCCUGAUCUGAGCUACUGUGGGAUUGGCCCUCAGUGGUGCUGGCUCAACAUCUGUGUUGACAACUUCCCACAGAUCAAAGGCCUGUUGGUAAGUCUUCAUCUUUACCAGCCAUAUGUGAAAGCCUUCUCCAUUGAAGACUGGUGGGGUUGCUGGUGAAAAUCCUAAAGAAGCCAUCAGGUUCCUUGGUUUGAAGCAACAGGUCCACUAAGACAAGGGCUCUAGAUACCAAUUGUUGGUGCAAGAGGCAGCAACAAGCUUGUUUCUGCUUUUCUUGGACAGCAAGUGUCGAGCAUUGCUGAAGAAACUAUCGAAGAAGAAAGGAAGAAAAAAAAAGAAAUUUGUAUUGGAAAACAGAAAAGAAAGAGAUAAAUUUGAAUGAAAAUGAGUUGAAUUUUCAUUAACCACUUCACAAGGCGUAAUGCCAAUACAUAUAUGAGAUAACAACAGCAAAACAAACAAGUUACCACCUAAUAACAUACCUAACACCACUAAAUUGCCUAGUAACUUGGUAAACUUGUUUGAACACAUAAGCAACUACCUAAACUUGUCAUUCAGCACCUAAUUACAUCAAAAUGCAGCUACCAACUAAGUUUAAAACAAACUAAAAUACAAAAUGUUCAUUUGAGUAACCAAAUGAAACAAUGCAGUUUCGGUUUGAUGUUGAAGCACGUUCCCUGCAUGGCCACCUUGCAUAGCCACCUUGGCUGCUGCAUGAGGGCUGACUUCAACAAGCAGACUCACAAAUCUAUUUUAGGAUUGGUUAUGGGCUCAUGCAUUUACCCGAUUAAAAAUUUCUAAGACCCAACAACAGAAGAAGCACAUUCAUGUUUAGAAGCAGUUAUCUUUGCGGAAGAAAUGGGCUUUGGAGAUGUUUGUAUAGAAGGCAAUGCACUCACAGUCCUAAAAAGAAUCAAAAAAUCAGAGAUUGAUAGAUCAGUUAUAGGCAACAUUAUUAUUGAGAUUACGGAUAGAGUAACCAGGUUUUGAAUUUUUACCUCUCGAUACGUCCUGCGAGCGGCAAAUAGAGCAACACGCGGAAUGGCAGCUUGGGGAACACGGCAUGAAAGGCCGAUCUACUAGGUAGAAGACGUUCCACUGGACGUUGAAGCCAUAGUCACAAAGGAGCAACGAUAGUAAGAGAAGAUUUUUUUUCAUUCUGAGUCUGGAGUGUUUGUUUUCAGUUUUGAAAACUCCAAGGAGCUCAGAAAUCUGCGGAGUUGGGAUGAAAUAAGAGACAUUUGUGAAACGGGUGAGGGUUUCAACUCCCACAGAGGAAUUCCUCCAGUGUGUCGGGAGUGGAUGAUUUUGCAGGGAAGAUUUAGAGGUGCUCAUAGGCCGGGCCGAGCCGGGCCCAUAAAAAAUUUUGGCCCAGGCCCGGCCCGACCCGAAAUAUGGGCCUAAAAUUUUACCUAGGCUCGGCCCGGGAAAAAAUUAUAAGCCCGGGACCGGCCUGGUGUUGACACCAUUUUUUGGAUGAAAACGGGGUCGACUUGGAUUUUGGAAAAAAAAGAAUGAAAAUGGGAGUCGCCACCAAUCCUUUUUUGAAGAGGUGUGAUUGGGUCACCUCAAAAGGUGGUUGUUUUUAAUAAAUGAUUUAAUUUUAUUAAAACAACGAUUUUGGUCUACGAAAUUCAGAAAAAUGAGUUCGGGAGUCGGUUACGCACGAGGAAGGAUUAGCACCCUCGAUACGCCCAAAAUUGGUACCUAGUUGAUUAAUUAGUGUCUUAGUGUCGAAAAUUUGAAAACUUGAAAGAAUUUAAAAUACGAUCCCUCUUUGUAAAGAAAAUGCUCAAAUGUUAAGGACCUUCUCGUCUCACAAUAUAAAAUGUCACAUCCAGUAAGUUAGGACACGACAUCUUGAAUUUUCGAGAACGAGCUUGCCUUUUAUAUAAAAAUUCGUGUAUUUCAAAAGGUUAUUCAGUUAGUUAAGGUGAACGAGGAAAAUCGAAACCCAGUAAGUUAGGGCACGUUUCCUCGAAUUCCCAAACACCGAAUAUUGCCUUUACUUGCAAAAAUCUUAUUUCGAGGUAACGAAAUGCCAUACCCAGUAAGUUAGGGAACAACACCUCGUAUCUCCGAGAAUAAGCAUUUUUCAAAACUCAUGUCACGAUUUAAAAGAGUAUUCCGUUAUUUAGGUUAAAGGAGAAAAAUUGAAACCCAAUAAGUUAGGGCACGAUUGUCUCGAAUUACCAAAUACGGAAUAUUACUUUUAUGAAAGAAUUAUUAUUGGGUUGGAUAUAAUGAUAAUAAGAAUAAUAUUAAAGUAAAGUAAACAAUAAUACUAUAUAUAAAUGUAUAUAUAUGUAUAUAAUAGAAAUACACACUACUAUAUAAUAAUAAUAAAUAUAGAAAUACUAAAAGCAAAUAUAAUAAAAAUAUUAAAUUAAAGUAAUAAAAAAUAAUACUAUAUAUAAAAUAUAUAUACAUAAAAAUAUACACUAAUAUAUAAUAGUAAUAGUGAUAGCAAAAAUAAUAAAAAUAUAAGUAAUAUUAAUAAUAUAUUAGAAUACAAAAGUAAAGUAAUAACAAUAGGAGUGAUAAUAAUAAUAAUACAAACAAUAAUACAUAUAUAUAAUAAUAGUAGUUAGAAAUAAAAAAUAAUAAAAGUAACAAUAAUGAUAGUAAUAAUAUAAAUAAAUAUGGAGAGGGCAUAUAUAAUAUAAUAAUAUAAAAAAAAUAAUAUAUACAUGAGAAAUAAUAAUAAUAAUAUAAAUAAUAGUAAAAAUAAUAAAAUAAUAAAACAAAGCUCUCAACUCUCUUUCUCCCUCUUUUCUAAAUCCGGCCGUUGGUCCGGCUUUGCUUCGGUCAUGGACCCCCACGGGCCGCCAUCGGCGCCACCGUACACGGCGGCCGGACCUCAAAAAAACCUUUUUCGAUAAUGAAAAUAUAGGUAAGCUUCUUACUUUUAUUUUUACUUUCGUAUAAAAAAACAAAAUAAAAUUGAAAGGAAAACAAUAAACAAACAAAGAACUAAAGAUAAGAAUAGACAAAAGAAACCUCUUUUGCUUUGAUCUUUGAUUAAUCUCCAAAAACUAGCCUUUCCAAGAAACAAAAAUAACCUUUUUUACAAAAAAACACCUCCAAAAAACAAAAAAAACCUCCUCCAAAACAAAGAACAAUCCUUCUCCAAAAAACCAAAAACCCACCCCUAAAAACAAAGUCUUGAAUGGCUUUUAUAGCCAAAUUUUACAAGUGGAGUGGUUGGGGUGGUUUAGGUGGCCAAGGGUGGUGGAGUUGGUGGCUAAGGUGGGUGGCCAACAAAGGUGGUGGAGUAGGUGGCCAAGGUUUUUAUUUAUUUAUUUAUUUAUUUUUUGUGUUUGGGUUGGGAUUAGGUUGGGCCAAAUUGGGUUUGGUUAGGGUUGGUUUAAGUUGGGCCAAAAUUGAGCCUUUACAGCUGCCCCUCUUUGCUCAUUUUCGUGUAACGAGAAUAGAGCAAAGACAUCAAAAGGGCCAAUUUUGCCCGGUCUUGCCGAGUCUUGACUUUUUGGUGCUCAUCUUCUUCCAGUAGCCUUAUUCCAGUCUGCUACGUCUUGUUGCUUCGAUCCACUCUACUGCAACUUCAGAUACGCCUUGUAGCUUCAAUCUACUCUGCUACGACUCCAUGGGGAUGAGAUUUGUGUUUUUAGUCUGCUCCACUACUACUUAGGGAGAUAAGACUUGAUGCGAUCUGCUUCACUAUUUCUUAGGGAAAUAAGAUCUGUGGUUUUAUCUGCUCCACUACUGCUUAGGGAGAUAAGACUUAAUGCGAUCUACUCCACUACUGCUUAGGGAGAUAAGAUUGUAAUCUUCGAUCUAUUCCACUGUUGCCCAAGGAGAUAGAACUACUGGCUUUAAUGUACUCCACUGUAAUCGGAGAGGUAAAAUCCGCCAUCUUCGACCUGCAAUCUAUUCCACUGCUAAAUACAGGGAAAUAGAGUCUGUUUUCAAUCCACUUCCUACCAAUAUAGGAAGGCAGGAUCUACAAUCUUCAAUCUAUUCCACUGCCAGAUACAGGGAGAUAGAGUUAUCGGCUUCAAUGUACUCCACUGUAGUCACAGGGAGGUAAAAUCUGCCAUCUUCGAUCUGCUUCACUGCCUAAUACAGGAAGGCAAGAUCUGCAAUCUUCAAUCUAUUCCACUGCCAGAUACAGUGAGAUAGAGUUAUCGGCUUCAAUGUACUCCACUGUGGUCAGGGAGGUAAAAUCUGCCAUCUUUGAUCUGCUUCGCUGCCAAAUACAGGAAGGCAAGAUCUGCAAUCUUCAAUCUACUUCACCACCAGUAUGGGAAGACAAGAUCUGCAUCUUGGAUCCACUUCCUAUCAAUAUAGGAAGAUAGGACCUGCUAUCUUCGAUCUACUUCACGCCAAUACAUGAAGGCAAGAUCUGCUUUCUGCGAUCUACUUCGCCACCAAUAUGGGAAGACAAGAUCUGCAUAUUGGAUCCACUUCCUAUCAAUAUAGGAAGAUAGGACCUGCUAUCUUCGAUCUACUUCACACCAAUACAUGAAGACAAGAUCUGCUUUCUGCGAUCUACUUCGCCACCAAUAUGGGAAGACAAGAUCUGCAUCUUCGAUCCACUUCCUACCAAUAUAGAAAGAUAGGAUCUGCUACCUUCGAUCUACUUCACGCCAAUACAUGAAGACAAGAUCUGCUUUCUGCGAUCUACUUCGCCACCAAUAUGGGAAGACAAGCUCUGCAUCCUGGAUCCACUUCCUAUCAAUAUAGGAAGAUAGGACCUGCUAUCUUCGAUCUGCUUCACGCCAAUACAUGAAGACAAGAUCUACUUUAAUGACUUCAAUCCCUCCCAUUGCAACUUCAAGGGUAUAGGAUCUGUUUCUUUGAUCUGUUCUCUGGGGAAUAUGACCUGUAAAAUCCAUUUUAUGGACCUAUUUAUGCCUAGUGUUUAGGAUGGCAUGAUCAGAAUGAAUCAAAUGCUUCUAACUAGAUGUGUAUGAAUGAAUGCAGAAUGUCAUGAGAAUGAUCCAUUUUUAAUGUUUGAGUUGUCAUUGCUCAUGUUUUAUCACUGACGUGUUACAACGCCUUCUUGCUCGGCUGGCAUAUCCAAAGAAACACUUAGUCAGAUUGCCCCCACUGCGAACGUCAAAGUUUAAUCCACUGGGACAUAAAAUUUGUACCAUCAAUCUCCCACCGUAAACUAAGGGUAGAAGGAUAUGGCUUUUUCUCGAUCCUCUACUAUCACAAUUCAAGGAUACAGAAUGUGAAACUCUUUGAUCUCCUACACCAUUCCCAAGGUGUCAUACCAAAUGUUUAUGUACAAAUGCAAAAUUUCCUUCUCCGAGAAAACCUUUUCUUAUUACUUGGUGAACAUCGCUUGUUUGUUCAUUGAAGCUUUGCCACCAACACGACAUCUUGUCAAUGUUUGGACAACAAAAUUUGAAAGGAUAGUCCCGACUUGGACUCUUCCUUUUUGGACACUUUGAAUUUGGUGUGCUCUAAACAACAGUCCUGUUUCAGGCUCCUUCAUUAUUUAGAAAUUUCUAGAGUAAUAUGCAAAACUCCAAUUGCUUGAACAUUCAGUUUAUUAAUAGUUAUUCUAAAUGUUUUUCGAGAAGGUUACCACAACGAACAAACAAAUGUUAUUAAGAACAAAUCUCGAGAUGAAUGAGUUAAUCGAGAUAGCAAAUUUUGCUAAGGUAAAAAAUGAAAUAAGACAAUAGACAAGAAUGAAAUUUUAUUGGGGAGCAAAGCUUGAACUGAAUACAAUAAUCAAGACAACAAGUUUUGCCAAGAUUCAAAGUAUAAGAUGACAACAGGUGCCCCAGAUAUCACAGCACGAGCUUCCCUGCACAAGUUUUCUAAAGACCAUUUAAUAUGUGUUUGGAAUCUACAGUAUUUUGUCGAUACCCCAAGAUGUCACCUACUCCUUCUUGCGAUUCAGGUGUAGUAAGACCACCACAUGCCUCAGAUCCUGCUCAAAAAUUCGAGCCGUACCUCACGCUUCAAAAUUCGAGCCGCCUUUUUCAGGUUUUCAACUCAAAUCCCCUUUGGUCUCAAGGUGCCUUUUGCGGGUUUUCACCUUGGCCUCUCCCAUUUUUUUUUUUUUUAAGAAUGCCCCCUUUUUAAGUGAAAUACUUCUUGACUGAGUCUGAAUUUACAGGAUUUGACAGGCUUUUACCAUCCAUUUCGCUCAGGAUUAAAGCUCCUCUUGAAAAGGCCUUUUUUACCACAUAAGGACCUUCCCAAUUUGGCAUCCACUUUCCUCUAAAAUCCUUUUGUAGAGGAAGAAUCUUUUUCAGCACCAGGUCCCCCUCGUAAAAUUCUCUGGGACAAACUUUUUUGUUGUAAGCUCGCAUCAUUCGUUUCUGAUACAUCUGACCAUGACGAAUAUCUUUUAACCUCUUUUCUUCUACCAAGUUUAACUGGUCAUAUCUGGAUUGAAUCCAUUCAGCCUCAUCCAACUUUAGUUCAGUUAAUACUCGGAGAGAAGGAAUUUCAACUUCUAUGGGUAAAACUGCUUCCAUCCCAUAGACUAAAGAAAAUGGUGUUGCCCCGGUAGAGGUUCUAACAGAAGUACGAUAUGCCAGGAGAGCAAAAGGUAAUUUCUCGUGCCAAUCUUUGUAGGUUUCAGUCAUUUUUCCUAUAAUUUUCUUGAUGUUUUUGUUAGCUGCUUCCACGGCACCAUUCAUUUUUGGACGGUACGGUGACGAAUUGUGGUGUCUGAUCUUGAACUGACUACAAACUUCCGCUAUUGAGUUGUUGUUUAAGUUCAGCGCAUUAUCGGAUAUGAUCCUUUCAGGCAUCCCGUAUCGACAUAUGAUCUCUUUUUUCAGAAACUUGCUAACUGCCGACUUCGUGACAUUUGCAUAUGAAGCCGCCUCCACCCAUUUAGUGAAGUAAUCAAUAACCACAAAGAUAAAACGAUGCCCAUUGGAAGCUUUUGGAGAUAUUGGCCCGAUAACGUCCAUUCCCCACAUGGAGAAAGGCCAUGGAGAAACCAUAACAUGAAGGGGUGAAGGUGGUGCGUGCAUUUUGUCACCAUAAAUUUGACAUUUAUGGCACCUCUUGGCAUAAUUAAUGUAAUCCCCUUCCAUGGUGGACCAAUAGUACCCAAAUCUCAUAAUUUGUCUGGUCAUCGUGAAGCCAUUGGCAUGCGUUCCGCAGAUACCUUCAUGCACUUCUUCCAAAAUUUCCUUUGCCUCAACAGCAUCCACACACCUUAACAGUACUUGAUCUUUUCCUUUUUUAUACAAAAUUUCCCCAUCAAGGACAUAGUCAAUGGCUAAUCUCCUUAAUGUCUUCUUAUCAUUUUCUAUCGCAUGGUCAGGGUACUCGCGACUCUUCACAUAUCGCAAUAUGUCAUGGUACCAAGGGUGAUCAUCCUUUCCCUCUUCAUUGUCAAUGUGCAACAAUGGGCUGGAACCUCAUAGAUGCUGAUCUGGAUAGGCUUCAUAUAUUCUAAUUUGUUCACUUUAAACAUGGAGGCUAAAGUGGCCAAAGCAUCUGCCAUCUGAUUUUCAUCUCGUGGGAGGUAACUAAAGGUGACACUAUCAAAUUCCUCGAUCAAUUCCAUAACCAAUUUUCGAUAGCGAACCAACUUCGGGUCUCUUGUUUCCCAUUCCCCCUUGAGCUGGUAAAUUACUAAUGCAGAGUCCCCGUAUACCUCUAGCACCUUAAUUUUCCGCUUUAUGGCUGCCCGAAUGCCCAUAAUGCAAGCUUCAUACUCAGCCAUAUUAUUUGUGCAGUCAAAGUCCAAUUUGCUAGUGAAAGGAUAAUAAUCUCCACUAGGGGACACGAGUACUGCCCCAAUUCCGUUGCCUAUAGCAUUUGAAGCUCCGUCAAAACUCAACUUCCAAGGACCACCUUCUUGGAAAUCUUUCUUUACGGUUGCGGCAUACAUCAAAUCCUCAUUUGGGAAAUCGAAGUUCAAUGGCUCAUAAUCAUCGAGAGCCCUACUUGCUAGGAAUUCCGCUAUUGCACUCCCUUUGACCGCCUUCUGGUUCACAUAGACUACGUCAAAUUUAGAUAGAAGAAUUUUCCAUCGAGCCAUUCUUCCAUUCAGAGCGGCUGACUCCAUCAAGUAUUUCAGAGGGUCUAAUUUGGAGAUUAACCAGGUCGUAUAGUACAACAUGUACUGUCUCAGUCUCCGAGUUGUCCAAAUUAAAGCACAACAUAAUUUCUCGAUUGGCGAAUAUCUUAUUUCGCAUUCGGUGAACUUCUUACUGAGAUAGUAGAUCGCUCUUUCCUUUCGUCCUGAUUCGUCAUGUUGACCAAGCACGCAUCCCAUGGAAUUUUCAAAUACUGCCAAAUACAGUAUGAGCGGUUUGUCUGGGCAGGGUGGCAUCAGUACUGGGGCGUUGGAUAAGUAAUGUUUGACUUUUUCAAAAGUUUUUUGACAUUCCUCAUCCCAUACACCUGGAUUAUGUUUCUUGAGGAGGCGAAAUAUGGGGUCGCAUUUCUCAGUUAGCUGUGAGAUGAACCGAGCAAUAUAGUUCAGCCUUCCUAGAAAACCUCGAACCUCCUUUUGAGUACGCGGCGGGGGUAAUUCUUGUAUUGCUCUUACUUUGUCAGGAUCAAUCUCAAUUCCUCUUUCACUGACCACGAAUCCAAGUAAUUUUCCUGAUCUGACCCCGAAUGUGCAUUUUGCUGGAUUUAGCUUUAGCUGAAAUUUCCUCAAUCUCGUAAAUAAUUUCUUAAGGACCUGCACAUGUUCCUUUUCUGUUUUAGAUUUUGCAAUCAUGUCAUCAACAUAGACUUCUAACUCCUUAUGCAUCAUGUCAUGGAACAGUGUUCCAUGGCCCUCUGAUACGUUGCCCCUGCAUUUUUCAACCAAAAUGGCAUCACCUUAUAACAAAAAGUUCCCCAUAGGGUUAUGAACAUAGUUUUCCUCAUAUCCUCGGGAUGCAUCUUAAUUUGGUUAUAUCCCGAGAAGCCAUCCAUGAAAGAAAACAGUGAAUGUCCUGCUGUAUUGUCUACCAAGGCGUCGAUAUGCGGCAAGGGAAAGUUAUCUUUUGGGAUAGCCUUAUUUAGAUCUCUAUAAUCCACACACAUUCGUACCUUCCCAUCUUUCUUAGGGACAGGAACAAUGUUAGCUACCCACUCGGAGUAUUUGACCACCUUCAGGAACCCAGCGUCAAAUUGCUUUUGCACCUCUUCUUUUAUUUUUAACACGAUAUCAGGCCUUAUUCUUCGGAGUUUUUGCUGAACUGGUUUGCAAUCCUCCUUUAUAGGAAGUCGGUGAACCACGAUGUCAAUACUUAACCCCGGCAUAUCUUGGUAUGACCAUGCGAAGACAUCUUUGAACUCUCGCAGCAAUUCAAUGAGGUAUUGUUUUACUUCUUCAGCUAUGCGGAUACCAAUCUUUAACACCUUUCCCUCUUCCAAGAUCACUGUCUCUAUCGUCUCUUCGUGGGGUAGAAUCUGUUUCUCUUCCUGCUCUACCAUUCUCAACAAGUCCGGAGAUAGGUUGCAAUCUGUGUUAUCUUCAAAAUCUUGAGAUUCCUCUGGACACAUAUCUCGUUCAAAAAGAUUUUCUAAGUCCAUAGUAGAGUCACUCAUAUCAUUGAUAUCUUGGGACCUGUUAUAGGUAUCAAAGAAUGUACAGGGAAUGUAUGAAUUUAAGGAUUCUUAUUUAGUAUGACCAUGAAUGUAUGAAAAAAAGAAUUUGAAAAGAAUAUAUACUCAAAAUGCGAAGAUAUAUUUCAUUGAAAUCACAAUGUCCACAUAUAAGCCUAUUUCAGUUCACAAAAGUUUUCAUUUUCUCUAGGCUUAGAAUAAUUAAUGUUUUGAAUAUUACUCUGGAAAAGCUCUAAAAACUUCAGGCAUUUCUUCCGCAGUCCAAUUGUUUAAAACACUCCCAGGUUCAACGGGAUAGAUGCCUGACGUACUUCCUCCUUCAAAUUCUUCUUCACAUAUGGCAUUGAUGCUUAAGUUUCUUAACAUUUCCUCUGCGGUCUUCUUUCUUGGAGCCCUCAGUUCAGAAUACAUAGUUCCUCCCGACAUGAAUGUCCUGGAUAUGUGGGGGAAAGCCAUAGGUUCCCAGUCGACUUCUUUUCCGUUCAAACGCGCCUUCCUUCUAUCUUGUCUCUUUUCUAACUCUUUCCUUCUCUGUUUGGUAUUUGGUUUAAAUCCUAAACCAAAACGAUCUUGUUUGUAUUUCACUACUGGUGCCCCCAUCCUUCCCUGAAGGCAUCUUCCAAGUCCUCUUCCAGGCACAGCUCCUUUCCCAACUGUCGCUUGUAAUCCCAUCCUUGUGGCUUUAGACAUGCUGGGCGUCGGAAUCUUCUUUCCCCCUAUGACAAAGGUUGCAUUUACGAACUCCAAAGAUCGAAAAGAACAUUCAACUGCCUCGUCGUCUAUUCCCAAAUAUGGUGUAUCAUUGGUUACCAAUGCAAUGAUAUCUUCCUCGGCGUCAAUUGUAAUUAACCGGCCUUCUAUUACCAAUUUUAACUUCUGGUGCAAUGAUGAAGGCACCGCCCCUGCCGAAUGAAUCCAGGGUCUUCCUAAUAAGCAAUUAUAUGACGGCUUGAUAUCCAUCACUAGGAAGUCCACAUCGUAUGUAUUUGGGCCAAUUAAAAGAGGUACUUCUAUUCUUCCUAUCACCUUUCUUUCGGUACCAUCAAAUGCUCUCACUAUAUUUUGGCAUGAUCUCAUGUGAGAGUUAUCCACCGGUAACCUACUUAAGGUAGAUAGGGGUAAAACAUUCAAGGCUGAUCCAUUGUCAAUUAGCACUCCAGCUAACAUAUACUCCCCGCAACGAGCAGUGAUGUGUAAUGCUUUGGUAGAUCCUCUUCCCCCUGGCGGUAUUUCAUCAUCAUUAAAAAAGAUGAAAUUAUUGGCAUUGAUAUUAUUAACCAAGCGGUCUAACUUAUUCACCGAGAUAUCUUUAGUGACAUAAGUUUCAUUUAGCACCUUAAUCAACGCAUUACGAUGUAUCUCUGAACUUAUAAGCAACUCAAGUACGGAGAUACGAGCCGGUUGCUUAUGUAAUUGUUCUACCACGCUGUACUCGCUAUGUUUCAAGAAUUUUAGAAAUUCAUUGGCUUGAUUUUCAGUUACCGGCUGAUUGACACUCGAUUCAAUUUCGUCUGUUUUUGUUUUUCCUAGCUCAACUGCUAAAGCUUUUUCUUUUCCAGAUUCCACUAUCGCGUCUGCCGGAUCAUAGCGCUUUCCACUUCGUGUAUAGAAUCCUUCCUUCUUUUUUGAAGCAUUUACCGAGCUCUCUUUUCCUGGAAUCGUCACAUUGCAAUCGUAACUCCAAGGAACCUUUUUGUUACCCUUGUAAGGAAAGGAUACAGGUUUUUGGAUUAUAACUUUUGGCCCUAUUUGUAUUCCAGAUUCUUUGUUCAUUGGCUUUGAAAUGAUAACCACUGGAUGACAAAGCUCUUGGGUUCUCCUUGCAGAUCCUUCUCCUGUAGCACAAACUUCUUCCUCUUUUAACCCUUUGAUUUCUUCAUAAAACUCCAUUUCUUUGCUAUCCAUAAAGUUUUGCACCACGAUUCUGAACUCGGUGCAUUCCUGGAUGUCAUGAUCUUCUUCUGCGUGGAACUUACAAAAUCUCUUUGCUUGUUCAGGCCUUUCUAUCGAAUCUUGCUUGAUAAGACCUCUUUUUACCAUUUGUUUCCAAACCCAUCCAAGAGGGGUUUUUAUCUCUGCCACGUUGGCUUUGACUCUUCUUCCUUCAUUCUCACUUAUCGCGUUUACCCUAUUAUCGUCAUGAUUGGGCAACGGAUUUUCUGCUACAUUUGGCCCUGAUGAGUCGCCAAUCUUUACGAUCCCCAUAUUGAUAAGUUUCUCCACUAACUUCUUGAAUGCAGUGCAGUUCUCAAUCGAGUGCCCCUUAAUCCCCGCGUGGUACUCGCAUUGGGAGUUUAUGUCAUACCAUUUGGGGUACGGAGGUUGCAUGGGUUUUAGGUAAAAUGGAGAUACCACAUGUGCAUCAAAUAAAUUCUGAUACAAUUCUUUAUACGUCACCGGGAUGGGUGUGAAUUGAGGUCUUUCUAUAUUUGGCCUUGAAUUGGACUCCCGUCUCGAAGAACCUUGCUGAUUAGUGGUUGUUGCUCUGGCUUGUCCCACCGUGAUUGAUCUAGAAUGGUCCUUGUUAAACAUGUUUGUGUUGUUUAUCUCAUGCUCCUUCUUUCUCAGUGCUGACCUUUUAGCACUUUCUCCUGCUUCUAUCUUGCCACUCCUUAUGGCAUUUUCUAUCAUUUCUCCAGACAUCACUAUGUCUGAAAAGCUUUUGGUGGCACUACCCAGCAUGUGAUUGAGAAAUGGAGCUUUCAAAGUAUUGAUAAAAAGCAUGGUUAUCUCUUUUUCUAAAAGUGGUGGUUGAACUUGUGCUGCUACCUCCCUCCAUCUUCGAGCAUACUGGCGAAAGCUCUCAUUAGUUUUCUUUUCCAUAUUUUGCAAUACAAUUCGAUCGGGUGCUAUGUCCAUCACAUGUCUGUAGUGUUUUAUAAAGGCCUGCGCCAAAUCUUUCCAAGAGUGGAUUUCAGCUCGACUCAAUUGAUUGUACCAUCUAACAGCUGACCCGAUCAAACUAUCCUGAAAACAGUGAACCAACAGCUGCUCAUUGUUGAUGUACCCGGUCAUUCUUCGGCAAAACAUAGUGAUAUGAGCAUCGGGACAACUUGUCCCGUCAUAUUUUUCAAACUCCGGCAUUUUAAACUUAGGAGGGAGGAUUAAAUCAGGCACCAAGCUCAGAUCUUUAGCAUCCAUUCCUCGGUGGUAAUCAGCACUUUCCAUGGCCUUAAACUUUUCCUCCAGCCAUUUACAUCGGUCUUCCAAUUGCUUUGAUAGAUCCACUUUCGUAUUUUCCACUUCUGCCACGUCAUCGAGGUCAGGGACUAUGAGAUUGGUGGGAUUCUCUCCGGAAUUGUUACUUAUUCCGAUUGGAGGACUCGUUUGGAAUUGUUGGGGUCUAAUUGUAACAGAGGGUCUUUGUUGAUACAUUUCAGCUUGAGUAUGCGCGUGCAGAGGGGUAAAGCCUGGAGGGUAAAGGGGUUCAUCACUAUUUCCAUCUUCAACAUUAACAAUAGGGUCCUUUCCCUUGUCUUUUCCUCCUUUCAACAGUUGCGUUAACUUUGCCAUCAUGUCGUCUUGGGAUUCUCGCAUCUCUCGCUGAAUCUUUUCCAACCGCUCUUCUAUCUGAUCUUGCAUAUCUCUUUGGAGCUGCUCAAGUUUUUCUAGUCUUUGAUCCAUGUUUCUUGACUUCGCUCGAGUUCCGUAAGAGUGACGGUUUUCCAGGUUAACUGAAAUAAUUUUAUUUAGUUAGGGUCUUUUAAUGGUCAUUAAUGCAUAUAAUGCAAUGCAUGAAAUGAAUGCAAAAGGCGUUAAUUCUAGUUCAAUUUCAUUAUGAAAACUUUACUAGAAAAUAAACUUUUUUACAUAAGGUGGAUUACAUAUACGACUUAGCCCUAAAACUCAAAAUUCUAAUCCUCCUAAGCAACGAGUCUAGCUCCUGUCCUCGACUCGACUCUAAUUCGUACUUCACGCUUAACACAUCAGCUUGUACUGCUAACGUCUGCAAGUGAUCAGCCACCUCUCGGAUUUGAAGCACGGCUUCUCCCAUGAUUUGAUCUCUAUCUCUUACUUGGUUCUGAAAGUAGUGCAACUGCUCGGUUUGACGAUCUUCAUUAGAUCUCAUGUGCUCAAUCCGCAUCUCGCAACUUCCCAAUGCUGCUUCUAACUCUUCAAUUCUUCGUUUCAUCUCUUCAAUUCUACUUAGGCUUACUUUUAAUUCCAUCACAGAAUUUCGAUUUCGAUGCCGAUAGAGAGAUUCUUCUAACUCGGACACUCUAUUUUCUAGUUCCCCUUUUUCUUUCUGAUUCUCUGACAGACUCUUCUUUAAAGUCUCGUUCUGGGUUUGAACUUCUUGAAACCUUGUUUCCCAUCUAUCAGCUUUGUUCUUUUCUUCUUGAACUUCCUUGCGCCAUUGUUCAGAAGUCUUUCCCAACCCGGCGGUUCUCAUUGAUGAUCGCAACUUCUUGUAAUCUGUUUUCAGACUGUUCAGAUCUUCUUCAGCCCUAGCUUUUCCUUUUCUUAAUCGCUCCAUCUCGAGCUUCUGGACAUCUACAUCCAACCUUAAGUUUGUUUUUUCUUCCUCCAUUUGCUCUAUCUGUUUUUCCAACUCUGCAUUUCUUCUUUCAAAAUCUUGCUUCAAAAUUUCUAGUUCAGAAAGGAUGACCCGUAAGUGCUCCUCUAUCGAAUGACUGCCUUCGAGGCUUGAUUUGGGGACAUUGUCAUUGAUUCUUCUGACCCUCCAUUCUUUAUAUUCGGGGGUUGUCAUUGGUCCUACAGCUAAUCGCUUCAUUUGGCGAGUCUGAUUCCACGCAUUGGAUAUCUCUCGAAUCCUCUUUUUGUAGCCAUCACCCCCAUACGAGAAUUCACACUCGGCCAGCCCCUGGGUUGCGGGUAUAAACUGUCUUGAUCUGUACUGUCUGAGCACUAAUAACGGGGCAUAGCCAAUAGCUCCCCAGAUUCCAAGCAAAGGGACCCAAUCAAAACUACCACAUCGGUACAAAAUUUCGUCUGGAAGUAACCACGGAGCUCUCCAUUCAAUGUCUUCUUCAUGCAAGUUUUGAAGAAUUGCCAUCCAUUUUUCCAUUGAAAUGUCGUCCCUUCUCGGUGUAGCUAUCGUCUCCUUUAGCGGCGAAUAGUUUUCAGAGAAGACCCGAUAUGACACCUUAUCCACUUUCCAAAAAUGACUGUGGAACCACGCAAGUAGCAACUGUGCACAUCCAAUGAACCUGCCUUCGCCCGCUCGCCGACAGGUACUCAAUGAUCUGAAUGUCUCCGCUAAAAUUGCUGGAAUCAGGGUAACUCCUUUAUCAAGGCGGUCGAACAAAUCAGUAACCGCCUCAUCAAUAUGCCCCAAAGCUCUAGGAAAGAUAACUAAGCCAUAUAUGCUUAGGGCGAAGAUAUCUACCCUAUUUUUUAUAUCCGGGUGCACCAAAGCCACAUCUUUCAAACUCCUCCAAGAAAUGCACUUGUUAUCCCCUUUUUGUUUAAUUCGGGCCGUAACCCACUGCUCACUCAUGCCUGUUAUGUUCAUUAACCUUCUCAAAAAGGGUACAUUUGCGGCUCUUGAGUAGAUUCUGUCGACUUGACUCUUUGAACACCGAAGUAAAGCCAUAUAUUCUUCUAUCGUAGGCACCAAGUCAACUUUCCCGAACGAAAAACAACUAUAGGCGGGAUUCCAAAAUUGUGCGAGAGCCCGGAAUAGGUGCUUAUCUACCUUCAUAUCUAGCAGGUACGGCAAGUCCCCGUAAUGGGAAUAAAACAACUGUCUGGCCUCCUCGUCCCAAUGGUCCCAAAUUCCUUUCAACUCUUGUAAAUCGUUCUGGGUUAUGCUAAUGCGGGUAAAGUCCCAUAGCUCUGAUAUAUAUCCUUCAGCCAAACUAUCCCCUUUCUCUUGUUGUGUCGUUUCCGACCAAAUUCGGACUGCCGCAUUAUCUUCCACCUUAUCAAGAAACCUUCUUUCCAUGAUAAGCUUUCUUUCUAGAAACCGAAUAUGAACCAACGCCUUGAAAUAAUGAAAUGCCAUGCAGUUGAAAUGUCAUGCAUCCAAAGUAAAACAACAAAUAUCAGUACCAGAUAUAAACAUAUAAUCCAAGAUAAUUCAAAAAGAAUAAAAGCACAUCAGGGUAUUUACUAGGGUUUGGUGUAGUUCUACUUAAGGUGAGUUCCUAAGGUUUACUACAUGGGGUUUGGUUCUAAAGCAAAGGUACCCGAACCAGCAGAUUCCUCGAUCUUCACCCAUUAUAGUCUCAUAUAGACCGAGUUCGGUUUAGGGGAAUACAUUUCCCUAUGGCUGCACGGAGAUGAAAAUCUCACGAAGACAUAGGUACGGAUGUAUCCCGAAAGCGAUCCACUAUCCUGCACGGAGGUGAAAACCUCACGAAGGAGUAGCUUCUCACUCCCACUUAAAAGGUGUGACCAACGGUCAUGCAAUGCAAUGCAAAGAUAUAAAAGUUUAAAAUACGAAACAUGAUGAAAACUAUAGCUCAAAACAAAUGAAAUGCAAUGAGAAGAUCGUAUAUUUAAAUCAAAUUUUCAACUUUCGACAAAAAGACAAAAAAUAAUCAACUCGUGGCUUGACUCACUUAUUUUGAAAAAGUCCCCAGUGGAGUCGCCAAGCUGUUGACACCAUUUUUUGGAUGAAAACGGGGUCGACUUGGAUUUUGGAAAAAAAAGAAUAAAAACGGGAGUCGCCACCAAUCCUUUUUUGAUGAGGUGUGAUUGGGUCACCUCAAAAGGUGGUUGUUUUUAAUAAAUGAUUUAAUUUUAUUAAAACAACGAUUUUGGUCUACGAAAUUCAGAAAAAUGAGUUCGGGAGUCGGUUACGCACGAGGAAGGAUUAGCACCCUCGAUACGCCCAAAAUUGGUACCUAGUUGAUUAAUUAGUGUCUUAGUGUCGAAAAUUUGAAAACUUGAAAGAAUUUAAAAUACGAUCCCUCUUUGUAAAGAAAAUGCUCAAAUGUUAAGGACCUUCUCGUCUCACAAUAUAAAAUGUCACAUCCAGUAAGUUAGGACACGACAUCUUGAAUUUUCGAGAACGAGCUUGCCUUUUAUAUAAAAAUUCGUGUAUUUCAAAAGGUUAUUCAGUUAGUUAAGGUGAACGAGGAAAAUCGAAACCCAGUAAGUUAGGGCACGUUUCCUCGAAUUCCCAAACACCGAAUAUUGCCUUUACUUGCAAAAAUCUUAUUUCGAGGUAACGAAAUGCCAUACCCAGUAAGUUAGGGAACAACACCUCGUAUCUCCGAGAAUAAGCAUUUUUCAAAACUCAUGUCACGAUUUAAAAGAGUAUUCCGUUAUUUAGGUUAAAGGAGAAAAAUCGAAACCCAAUAAGUUAGGGCACGAUUGUCUCGAAUUACCAAAUACGGAAUAUUACUUUUAUGAAAGAAUUAUUAUUGGGUUGGAUAUAAUGAUAAUAAGAAUAAUAUUAAAGUAAAGUAAACAAUAAUACUAUAUAUAAAUGUAUAUAUAUAUAUGUAUAUAAUAGAAAUACACACUACUAUAUAAUAAUAAUAAAUAUAGAAAUACAAAAAGCAAAUAUAAUAAAAAUAUUAAAUUAAAGUAAUAAAAAAUAAUACUAUAUAUAAAAUAUAUAUAUACAUAAAAAUAUACACUAAUAUAUAAUAGUAAUAGUGAUAGCAAAAAUAAUAAAAAUAUAAGUAAUAUUAAUAAUAUAUUAGAAUACAAAAGUAAAGUAAUAACAAUAGGGGUGAUAAUAAUAAUAAUACAAACAAUAAUACAUAUAUAUAAUAAUAGUAGUUAGAAAUAAAAAAUAAUAAAAGUAACAAUAAUGAUAGUAAUAAUAUAAAUAAAUAUGGAGAGGGCAUAUAUAAUAUAAUAAUAUAAAAAAAAUAAUAUAUACAUGAGAAAUAAUAAUAAUAAUAUAAAUAAUAGUAAAAAUAAUAAAAUAAUAAAACAAAGCUCUCAACUCUCUUUCUCCCUCUUUUCUAAAUCCGGCCGUUGGUCCGGCUUUGCUUCGGUCAUGGACCCCCACGGGCCGCCAUCGGCGCCACCGUACACGGCGGCCGGACCUCAAAAAAACCUUUUUCGAUAAUGAAAAUAUAGGUAAGCUUCUUACUUUUAUUUUUACUUUCGUAUAAAAAAACAAAAUAAAAUUGAAAGGAAAACAAUAAACAAACAAAGAACUAAAGAUAAGAAUAGACAAAAGAAACCUCUUUUGCUUUGAUCUUUGAUUAAUCUCCAAAAACUAGCCUUUCCAAGAAACAAAAAUAACCUUUUUUACAAAAAAACACCUCCAAAAAACAAAAAAAAACCUCCUCCAAAACAAAGAAUAAUCCUUCUCCAAAAAACCAAAAACCCACCCCUAAAAACAAAGUCUUGAAUGGCUUUUAUAGCCAAAUUUUACAAGUGGAGUGGUUGGGGUGGUUUAGGUGGCCAAGGGUGGUGGAGUUGGUGGCUAAGGUGGGUGGCCAACAAAGGUGGUGGAGUAGGUGGCCAAGGUUUUUAUUUAUUUAUUUAUUUAUUUUUUGUGUUUGGGUUGGGAUUAGGUUGGGCCAAAUUGGGUUUGGUUAGGGUUGGUUUAAGUUGGGCCAAAAUUGGGCCUUUACACCUGGCCCGGCCCAUUUUUUUAAUAAAUACCAUAAAUUUAUUUUAAAAAUAAUAAAAAAGUAUUUUAAAAAUAUUUUAAAAUUAAAAAAUAAAUAUAUUUAUUAUAUCGGGCCAAGCCGGGCAGGACCCGGGCCAAAAAAGUGGUGCCCGAGGCCCGGCCCGUUUUUUAAACGGGCCUCGUUUUUUUAUCCAAGCCCAUAUUUCGAGCCUAUAUUUUUACCCAAACCCUCCCAUAUUUCGGGCGGGCCGGCCCGGCCCAUGAGCACCUCUAGGAAGAUUGAAGGACUUGGGUUUUUUUCUUUGCUUUUUGUUUAAAAGUUUUUUGUUUUUUAGGUUUUUCAUUUUAGUGCUUUAAGUUUUCUCAGCCUUUUUAGGGAUACCCGAGGCACCACCCAUUAGCAGCAAUAGGCUUCUGCCAGCUAGCUAGUGGGCUGAAACAUUGCAGGGUUUAGGAUUGUGUUCCAUCCUUUAAUCUUCAAUUUUAAUGAUUUUACUUCAAGUUUUUUUUAAGUAAAUCCCUUCCCAUAUAUAUAUUAUGCAUAUAUUAAAGUUAGUUUCUAAAGGGAAAGAGUUAAUAUUCCAUUUGGUAUGUAGGGUUUUUUUUUAAAAUUUAAUAUAUGAGUUUUACUUCAAUUUGGUAUCCAUACCAAACAAAUGUGCUUAAUGAAUACUUGGCACGUAUGUUCUAGUAAAAAAAUAUAAUUACCCACAAAACGAUCUGAUAAAAUUGUCACCCUGAAUUACCUGACAACGAUGACUCAAGUAUGAAAUUACCACCCAGAUUUCCGAGCAACGAUGGUUUCCAAAUAAUAACCUGACCCUAUGUACGCCAACUAACUCGGUCCGACAAAUAAUAGGGUAACCAAAUUUCAAUUUCAAUAUACAACCUGAUUCAUGUUUAUUCAUUUUGAUUUUCAUCAUCAGUUUACCAAUUCAAUACAUAACUUAUAUAUAUAUCAACCGAAUUUCACAUAUCAAGUAAGUCAUAAAAUUUUCUAUUCUAUUCAAUUUAGUCCUUGCUUCGAUAUUCAAUUCAAAUCAUAUCAAUUUAGCUCAAAAAAUUAUCAAUAACUAACCUCCAAUUCCAUAUAAUGUAGAAUGAUAUAAAUAUGCAACAACUAAAUGGUUCCCAAAUCAUAGAAUUACAAACCAAAAAUUUUGAUCUAAUUAAUAGCUUUGGAUUUUCCUUUUCCUCUCGAUGAAUCUAGGUCGACGUUAGUUAUGGAUUAACAUAAACACAUAACACUAUCAAUAAACAACCAAUUCACAAUCAAUUGUCAAUUUAUACAAAAAUUUCAAUUUAUUCAAUUUAGUCCCUAAAACUGAGACUAACAUAACUUUCAAUUUAAAACUCCAAAUUAAAAUUUGAUUUCACUAUGGUCCAUUAGAGACCUCCUAUUUCUUAUUUAUAUAAUCAAUUUUACAUUUAAUUCAGUUUAGUCCUUAUAAUCUUGUGUUUGCGAGUAAUUUUAGGGUUGCUUUUGUCGUUGUGCCCUCUAGUUUGGUGGAUGCUCAGUUCUUUUGUCGAUUUAUGCUCACUGUUUUGGACCAUCCGGGGUUGAUUUCCUUAUUGUAUUAAGUGCUUGCAAUCACUCCUUAUGUUGUGCUUAAGUUGUGACAGAGUCGAUUGUCAACGUGCCAUAAUGUUCUAUUGAUGUUGAAGCUAAAGCUUUUGUUAUGUUGAUGGAGCUUGUACUUUAGCGCGUUCAAUGGGUGUUUGUUACUUUUUUCCCCUGAAUUGUAUGGUCUUAUUUAUUGAAUGAAUUAAUAAAUUUCUCUUUAAAAAAAGAAAUAAUUUAUAAUAAAUAAUUAAAUGUAUUAUUUAAAACUAUUUAAUAAUAGCGCAUUAAAUAUGUAUGCUAUUAAAAUGAAAAAAAAAACAAAUUAAAUUGUUUAUCAUAAUAUUGACACUUUUCAUCAAUCUUGAGUCAAUAUCGAGUUAACUUGUGACACCAACUCAGCUAAAUAUAUUAUUAAUAUAUACAAUGAUGGGGCUAAUAAAGUGUGCACAAAAAAAUUAAAAUGUAUAAAAAUAUCAAAAUAAAACUUUAGUUGAGUAGUAAAUAUAAAUUUUAUUAAUGCAAUUAGCAAGAGUUCGAAUCUCACCAUAUACAUAUUUUAUUGGCUUUUUUUAAGUUAAAAGAUUAGAAUAUCCUUGAAUAAUAUUGUUUAGUUUAAUUACAAAAUGACAUUUUCUUAACUUUUUAAUCGAGUUGGUAACCCGAUUAAAGGUGACAUUAACUCAAUCAAGAACUUAGAUAAAUAUUAAUAUAAAAUAUAAGUUUUUGCUAUAAAAUAAAAGGACAGAAAGUAAAGAACAAAGAAAAUGAGAAAGCAAAGAGAGAGCGUAUUUUAUUGAUCAAUUGAAAUAUUUACAAAGUUUCUCCAAAAUUUCUAUUUAUAGACAUAAGAAGUAUAAAUGAAGUAUAGACCUACUUCUAAUGGCUAUAAGAAUUUAAAGUACAUCAAAAAUUAUCUUGAUCUUGAUGGACAUCCACUUAAUAAGAUAUUCAUAACACCCCCUUGGAUGUCCAUUGGUAGAUAAUGUGCCUCGUUAAAACUUUACUAAGAUAAAGAUCUUGUGGGAAAAAAUCCUAGUGAAGGAAAAAAGUAAACAUAUCUAAAUGCGUAUAUUAUGCUGCACCAUUAAAAACUUUACCAGAAAAACCCAAUGGGAUAAAACCUCGGUUAAGGGAAAAAUAGUACAAUGCAUAGUUACUCCCCUUCAUAAAAACAUCAUAUACUUUCUCAUAUUCUAUUGAAUUGAAUACUAGUUUUCAAAUGACUAUAUUAAUGAAUUUGCUAAGCAUUUAUAUCACCGUUCUUUUGGAAGUCAUGAGUGGGGAAAUUUUAGGGGAAAUAUAUUUUGAUCUCUUGAAGAGUCUCAACAAUUUUCAUAACAAACUUUAAUCAUAAUUCCUCUAUAAAAACACAAAUAGGUAUUUUGGAUCAUUUUAUAAUCCUCCUUCAACUACUAUUCGCUGAGUCAAAUUUACCACAUAUGUUCCAAUUAUUUCAAUUCAUAUAAAUGAACAAUUUCCCGACAAUUUCGAUAUGCUUCUAUCAUCCUAAAUCCUUCAAGGAUUUGAAUAUAAAUUUUACUAUAUAGUGGUUCAUAAAAAGGUUGUAACAACAACCAUUAGACAUAAGUUAAAUCUUCUAUGAAUUGUCAAAAUAAUAUAUCUAAAAAUUAUUGCAUCCACCACAAAAAAAAUAUUAUUUCUUUUCAUAAUAAAUGCCAGGACUUAGCAAAAAACUUCAUAUUAUAAUUUUGCUUUUGCAAAACUACUUCAUUUGCACCCUCACUGGCUUUAUACCUUGAGAUAUUUGGACUACUGGUCCAAAAACUCCACAAAUUUAAUUGUACUUGAAUUGCAUCUUUCUAUUUUGAUUAAUUUAUUCUAUAUCUAUAUUUCUCAAUAGAUUUAUUAAAGAUCCUCCUUUUGUUUCAUUAUAUCAAUAAUAACAUUGCAUGCAAAAUUAUUGUCAACCACUUUUAUUAUUUGGUUUCACAUUUUCUCGAAUUGGCAUAACUUAUUAAGAUCUAUUAUUUUAAUCUUCAAUUUCAGGUACCUGAAUCUCUUCUGGAGUUUUACUUAUUAGUUAUGUCUUGGGUCUCUUUUGGAGCACUUGUCUCCACUAUUUGACCAUCUAGAAGAAUUUUCAUCUUUGGAAUCGAUCAAUCUAUUAUUUAUUCUAACUGAUUGUCCUGCCGGGACUUUGAUUCAAAUUAAAAUAUUAGAUGUUAUAUAAUAUUUGGUUAUUCUUAUUAAGUUUUUAAAUACAUCUGACAGUUAACUUGUAAUGAGUUUUCCUCGUUGAGCUACUAGUUCAAAUUACGUUCCCCCUAACUCAUUACAAGUUGUUAUUUCUCUCCCCCUCAUGUUGGGAAAACUAUCGAAUCAAAAUAGUAAUCACAAAUCAUGUCAUAAUUGAAUCUCCAAUACAUACAAAGAGACUUGUAAUUAAUAUAUAUUCCCAACUCUAUUUGAGGAUUGACUCAUCUUUUUGCGUUGUGUCGGAGUAAUUGGAAUAUAUACACACAUACAAAAAUUCAAAGAUGAGAAAUAUUUAGCUCUUAAUAAAAAACUUAUCAUAAUGGGAAGUAUUUAUAACUUAUUGGUUUGAUGCGUACAACACGUAAAUCAACAUAAUCUCAUGUUGAAAUAGGAAGUUUAGUUUUCAUAAGUAAUGGUUUAGGCAUUAAUCAGAGGCAUUUAAAAAAUAAUUUCUCUAAACUAUUAUGUGCAUAAAUAACAAACUUUUACAAAAGUUUUUCAAACUUCAUCAAUAAAAUACUAAGAUAUAAAUUCAUCAGUAUUAGCAAGAUGAAUUAUCUUAAUUGCAUGAUCUGGAAUUAAUUAUUUAAAUAAACAAUCUUGCAAACGAUAGGUUGCAAGUUGAUAACACAUACGUGAUUAUUUUGUAGAUGCAUCUACCAAAAUCAUAUAAUAUCAAAAUCAUUCACAUAAUGGAUGAAUGGGCCCAUAUUCAUUUCAAAAAUGUAAGACAUUAAAUCUCAACUUUAGCUAGUGAGUUUCUAACAAUCAAUUUUCAUUGAGAACAAGCAUCAAAUGAGAAUUCUUUAAAUUAAAGAAUAUUAUGGUUCUUUAAUAAUAUCAUAUGAAUUCUCAAUUAAUUUUCACAUCAUAUUUGAUCUAGGAUGGUUUAACUAGUCACGCCAAGUAGUACUUGCAUUUGUAUUAGUAAACUUUUAGUUUACUUUAACAUACGUUUCAAUUGUACUAAAUUGUAACAAAUUGAUAAUUUUACUAUCAUUCAUUUUACUUUGUAUCUACAUAUAGGUACUAUCGUGACAUUUACUACUGUAAAUGUCUAAAUCAAUGUGAAGUCUAUAAUGUCACUAAGUCAAUAAAUAUAAUUUUCAAAUAAUUAUAUGCAAUAUUUGCUUCAGUGAAUAUGCCAAAAUCUUGAAAUGAAGGGCAUUUGGUCUAGUGGUAUGAUUCUCGCUUCAAAUGCUAAAAUUCUUGAGUUUGAUUCAAAAUACUUUUAAAACCCUUUUAACAAAAUUUUUGCAUAAUCAGUUAACUACCAAAAAUAACUACCCAGGUCAUGUAUAAAAACAAGUCUAUACUAAAUAUAUCAAUAAACAUCACAUCUCAAGCAUAAAAAUAUGACAUAAUGAAAAACUAGCAAUUUUUUUCAUAAUCAUCAUCAUAAACAUGCAUGGAAUUUAAAUCAAAAUCCAACCAUUCAAGCUCAUAGAACUUUUCAUUUACAAUUGCUCAUGUUAUUUCCCUAAAUAAUUAGCAAAUGAAAUAAUAUAAAACGUAUGAACUACUACCUUUAACAAUUCUUUGAACUAAACCAAAUCUGAAUAACCAUAAAAUUCAUUGGUUUGUUAACAUAAAUUUGCAUACUAGAUAUGUUUUAAUCAAAUAUAUUAUUUAAUUAUAAAACCUACUAUAACGAUAUAAAUAAAUCAAUUAAUUUUCAUUUUCAUAAACAAAUGAGAUGCUUAAAACAAUAUGUAACACAUUUAAUCAAAACUUAAAAAGAAUUACAGUUAUUAUUGUUUGUCCCCAUCCUCGUUGUUUGGUUUCCAAGUUGUGACCCAAAGUCGAGAUUGAUUUGGUUGUUUGGUUUCUAAGUUGUGACCCAAAAUCAAGAUUGCUUUUGAAUUUUUGGUCUGUCUCCAUUGUAAAGCACAUCAAACAAAGAUACAAAUUGAUACAACUAUUCUCAAGUUCAAAUAAAGCAUUAUCUUGUUAGGUAGAGUGAAUAAAAUCACUAAGUUAUUUUUUAUGUCAAUUAAAUUUAUGGUUUUUUUCAAUUAGUUGGAUUGAUUAAAUAUUAAUAAUUUAUAAACACAUUCAUUUAAAUUAAUUUUACACUGUAAUAAAAAGUAAGAUGUUGUUUAAUAAAUCAAAAAAAAUUAAGUGAAAAAUAAAAAAAGGUGUUAUUUAAUAAUUCAUAAAUUGUACGAGAGUGAAGUGUUAGAUAUUUUUGGAUAUGUUUAAUGUGCUUGGGUUAGGAUAGAAAUUUCAAAAUCCGAGAAAAUAUAAAUAGUCAAACAUAUAAAUCAAAUCCAACUAAAAAUGCUAGAAAUUUGAUUUAUCAUACUCCUAUUAGAAAAAGAUAGAAAUGACGUGAAAUCACAAUUUCAUACAACCCUUUCUCCUCACAGUGAUUAUUGUUUGUCCCCAUCCUCAUUGUUUAAUUUCCAAGUUGUGACCCAAAAUCAAGAUUGACUUUGAAUUUUUGGCCUUCUGUCUCCAUUGUAAAGCACAUCAAACAAAGAUACAAAUUAAUACAACUAUUCUCAAGUUCAAAUAAAGUAAUAUCUUAUUAGGUAGAGUGAAUAAAACCACUAAGUUAUUUUUUAAGUCAAUUAGAUUUAUGAUUUUUUAUUCAAUUAGUUGGAUUGAUUAAUUUGAUAAAAAAUAAAUAUAAUUUUAAUUUUAAAUAAGUAUUAAAAAUAUUAAUAAUUUAUAAACACAUUCAUUUAAAUUAAUUUUACACUGUAAUAAAAAGUAAGAUGUUGUUUAAUAAAUCAAAAAAAUUAAGUGAAAAAUUAAAAAAAAUGUUUAAUAAUUAAUAAAUUGUACGAGAGUGAAGCGUUAGAUUUUUUUGGAUAUGCUAAUAAUUAAAAAUAUUGUACGAUGCUUGAAAGUUAUCUGAUACACAUUGUACCAAAUUUCAAUACCACAUAUAUGUUAUAAAAUCUUAUGAUGCUCUAAUCAACUAUUUAUAAAUUCAAUUUAAAAGAUAUUAUACAAUAAUUUCAAGCAUAUUUAAUAACAAUAAUUUAAUCAUAAAAACUUUUAAUCAUCCAAAUAUCAUACAUACUAUAAUUUAAUAAAAGAAUCUUAGUUUAAAAGAAACUAUAAAUUAAUAAUAUUUUUUUACCAAAAAUCAAUCAACAAAGGAGAAAAACAUACCACUUAAGGAUUAUAUAAUUUUUUCUGUAUAAUAAUUACCCAUAAUGUGCAGGCCCCAAUUGAAGACUGAAAUAACAGUAGCUCUAGAAGGCAAUUGGCAACAGCUUGAGUAGCAAAUUUGAGUGACCGACUAUUGCAUUGGUUGUUGCUUGAAAGGGGUAAGGCUUUGUGAAAGGGAAAAAAAAUUGUGACUUAUGGAGAAAAACAAUUAAAAGAAAACUGUGCUAAUAAGGUGUUAUAAAAUAAAAGGACAGAAAGUAAAUAACAAAUAAAAUGAGAAAGCAAAGAGAGCAUAUUUUAUUGAUCAAUCGAAAUAUUUACAAAGUUUCUUUAAAGUCUCUAUUUAUAGGCAUAAGAAGUAUAAAUAAAGUAGAGAUCCACUUCUAAUGACUAUAAGAAUUUAAAGUACAUCAAAACUUAUCUUAAUCUUAAUGGACAUCCACUUAAUAAGAUAUUCAUAACAAAUUUAUUAUUUUAUUAUUUUAUAAACAAUAAUAUAAGCUUUUUGGACAAAUUGAGUCGAGUUUAAACUUAACCUAAAUUUUUAAAAAAAAAGAGUCUAGGCCCAAUUUAGCUCAUGAAUAUCUUUAAUGGUUAAUUAAUUAUUUAUUUUAAUGAGUUUAUCUAAAUGUAUUUUAGUUUAUUAAUUUGAGUUUAGUGAUUCAAUGUAAUUUUUUUUAUAACUUUUAAUACAACUAUAAGAUGUAACUUAAAAAAAAUAUUUAUAAUUAUAAAUAUAAUUAUCAUCAAUUAGUUACUAAUAUGUUAUUUUGUUGUUCAUUAUUUACCAUUAAUUUUUUCAUAAUUUAAUAGUGUUUUCUAUUUAAAUAUUUUUAAAAAAUAUUUAUUAUAAUAUGCUUUUUGGAAAGUUAUCUUAUAGAAUAUGUUUUUUUUACCUCAACACCUAUAGAUCGAGUUUAGUGAUGUUUAUUGUACCACCAAGUUUUUGUGUCAUUGAAAUUAGAAUAAUUAUUUUGAAAUUAUUACAACACAUUAACACCCAGAAUCUUAAACCGUAAUAAUAUGAUUUAAUUUUCUAAUAGCUUUGGAUAAUAUUUAAACAAAACUCGGACAUUUAUGGAUGUUGAAUUUUUUUGUAAAAUUAAAAAAAACAUAUAUAGUAAUUCGUAACCAUUAAUUAAAUUUUUUGUAAAAUUAAAAAAAACAUAUAUAGUAAUUCGUAACCAUUAAUUAAAAAGGAGACACAAAAAUUAAUUGAUCUCGCUGCCCACGAGAAUAUUUAAAAAAAUACUAAUAAAACUCUAAUUUUUAUAGGUUUUAAAAUGAUUUUAAUUUUCAUAAAAAAUAUAUAAUUUAAUUAUGACUUUUCAAAAAACAAAUUCUUACAUCACCCUCAUUCCAACUAAAAAAAUUACCCGAAUAUAAAAAAACAAAAAAGGAUAAUCAAAGGAGGAAAGUUGUAUAAAAUGUAUGUGGUAGCGGGGAAGAUAAUGGUGGUGACGUUGAGGGAUUAUAUAUUUAUAAUUUUAAUUUAUGUUUUACUAUUUAAUUUUUUAUUUUACAUUUCGUUAAUUAAAUGAAUUAAAUAAGAUCAUUUUUUCUAUUAAUUUUCAGUUUUUUUUUAAAUUCAAAUCUAAUUAAAAAUACUAAAAAUCUGAUUUAUCAUCCUCCUAUUAAAAAUAAAUAGUGAUGAUGUGAAAUCACAAUUUCAUACCAUCUUUUUUCCUUACAGUUAUUGUUGUUUGUCCCCAUCCUCGUUGUUUGGUUUCCAAGUUGUGACCCAAAGUCAAGAUUGAUUUGGUUGUUUGGUUUUCAAGUUGUGACCCAAAGUCAAGAUUGAUUUUAAAAUUUUGGUUUGUCUCCAUUGUAAAGCACAUCAAACAAAGAUAGAAAUUGAUACAACUAUUCUCAAGUUAAAAUAAAGCAUUAUCUUGUUAGGUAGAGUGAAUAAAAUCACUAAGUUAUUCGGUUAACUGAAUUAACCGAAAAUUAUAUGUUUUUUUAUUUUUGGUUAAAAAUUAAUCGAAUUAACCGAAUUAACCGAAUUACCCAAAUUAACCAAAUUAUCCGAAUUAUCCGAAUUAUCCGAAUUAAUCGAAUUAACCGAAUUGAAUCACUACAUAAUUAAAUUAUUUUUAGACUUUUAGACUUUAGUUUUAAUUUUAGUUUUAGAAUUUUAUUUUUAUUUAUUAAAUUAUUUGUAAUUUUUAUGAUUGGGUUGGGUUGGGUAAUUGUGUUGGGUUGAAUACUUGGGUUUGGAUUGGGUUUAGGUGAAUAGUGGGCCUAUUUAUAUAUUAUAAUUUUAUUUAUUAAUUUUUUCGGUUAAACCGAAAAAAUUUGGUUAACCGACUAGUUUUGAACCAAAUUAACCGUUAACCGAAAAAUCAAAAAAUAAUUAAUCGACCCCUGACCAAAAAAAUUCGGUUAACCGAUCGAUUAACCGAAUUCGAUCAGUUAACCGAAUUUUUUUGGUUUUAUCCAAAUUUUGCACACCCUUAGGUUAAUGUACUUGUGUUGUUGUUUCGACACCAUAAUCAAUUCAGUUUUGCUUCAUCCAUAAUAAUUGUGCACAACUCUCAAGUACAAAACUUAAACCGUGGAUUAUGAGAUAGAAUUUUAUCUUUGUUUUUUGUGGGCAAAUAACCAAUAAAAGCCCCUUUAUUUUUAAAUUUAUCGAAAUGGGCUAGGUUCUGAAUUAAUUACCGAAAUGGACCAUUUCUCCCAAAAACGCGUCCAUGUCAGCGCGUUGUCAGGGGAUCAAGCAAGAAAACGCUUCCUCAAGGAAAAAAAUUAGAUUUAGGGUUUUUGCAAUUAGAUUUAGGGUUUUACGGUUUUUGAGUUUUUAGAUUUUAGGGUUUUAAGGAAAAAAUUAAAUAAAUAAGGGUUUAGGGUUUCUUAAUUAAAUUAAUUAUAAAUUUAAAAAAAAUUAGAUUAGGGUUUAGUGUUUAUGGUUUUUAAGGAAAAAUUAAAUAAAUUAGGGUUUAGGGUUACUUGAGUAAAUUAAUUAUAAAUUUUAAAAAAAUUAGAUUAUGGUUUAGUGUUUAGGGUUUUUAAGGAAAAAAUCAAAUAAAUUAGGGUUUAGGAUUACUUGAGUAAAUUAAUUAUAAAUUUAAAAAAUUAGAUUGGGGUUUAGUAUUUAGGGUUUUUAAGGAAAAAUCAAAUAAAACUAGUUGUUAUUCGUUAUAUAUUUUAAACUCUGGCCCAUUUCGGAACCUGACCCAUUUCGGUAAUUUUAAAAAUAAAGGGGCUUUUAUUGGUUAUUUGCCCAAAAAAUAAACUAAUAAAAUUAAAUGUUUUUAGUAAAAAUUAAAUUUAUUAAAAGAAUUUUUUAAUAAUAAAUUAAAAAUAAAAUAUAUAAUGAAUUUUUGUAUUUUCAAAUUUUAAAAUAAAAAAGAGUUUUUUUUAUAAAAACAUAAAAAGAGUUAAAAGUUUAUAUAUAUAUUAAAUUUAUCUUUUGCUGUAAUUUUAAAUUUAUAAUAAAUUAAAAAUAUUAAUAUAAUAUAAUAUGCAAAAAAAUACUUGAAAUUUAAUAUAAUACAAUCAUAUUAAUAAUAGAAUAUUUUAGGGAUAAUAAUUCCUUAAUUAAGGUCUUAAGAUCAUGGGUAAAUAUUUUAUUGAUUGUUAGUGAAUGAUUUACAAAAAAGUAUUAUUAAUUUUAUUUAAUGGAAUUUAACAUAAAUUUUAAUAUUUUAAUAUUUAAUAUAUAUAUUAAAUUGUAGAAGUUUAAAUUUAAAAUUCGAGAAAAAAUAUAAUAAUUGUAAUUAAUAUUUAACUAUAUUUAAACAAAGUUAGACUUAAUAAAUAAUUUUUAAAUAAUUUUUAAUUUUUUUAAAAUUUAUAAUUAAUUUAAUUAAGAAACCCUAAACCUUAAAAUCUUAUUUAUUUAGUUUUUUUCCUUAAAACCCUAAAAUCUAAAAACUCAAAAAUCCCAAAACCCUAACUCUAAUUGCAAAAAACCCUAAAUCCUAAAAAACAAGGAAAGCGCUUCCUUGAGGAAGCGUUUUUUGUCCACGUGGACAAAGCGCUUCCUUGAGGAAGUGUUUUCCUGCUUUAUCCUCUGACAACGCGCUGACGUGGACGAGUUUUUGGGGAAAAUGGUCCAUUUUGGUAAUUAAUUCAGAACCUGGCCCAUUUCGGUAAUUUUAAAAAUAAAGGGGCUUUUAUUGGUUAUUUGCCCAUUUUUUGUAGUGCUAUGAAAUUUAGCUUAAUAGAUAAUAGCAAAUUUGUGGAAAUACAAAAACUUAGCUUAACAUAUUUAAUAACUAGUGAUUGGGUUAGGAUAGAAAUUUCAAAAUUUGAGAAAAUAUAAAUAAUCAAACAUAUAAAUCAAAUCAUGCAUUCUAAGGCAUAAAUAAUAAACAAGUUCUCGAUGAUGUGGUAUUUAAUAUCUAUCAAUUUUGUACGAGAGUAAAGCAAGUAUAAAGACUUAAAAAUGAUUAAAUUAAAGUAAAAAAAUAAUUCUACAACUUGUACCAACGGAAGAUUUUUUGAUUAGGUGAGGGAUACAGUUGGAUCCGUUAUCUAGUGGCUGUCCAUGGUGUGAUAGAGUUAUAGAAAAUGUUAAUCAUUUGUAUUUUCUAUGUCCUUUUAUUAAUAUAUAGUUUUUGGUCUCGCAUUUCUAAUUGGUAGAGUUUUGAUUGGAAGAAUGUGGUGAAUUUUGAAGAAUUCUUUACUUUGUACUGGAACAUGCCCCUGAUAGGUCUGCAAAAAAGCUUUCGAUUAGUGGCGAUUGCGGGAUCUUGUUGGAUAGAAGAUAUCAGAUCUUGUCUUCCUGUAUUGGCAGUGAAGUAGAUCGAAGAUAGCAGAUCUUGUCUUCCUGUAUUGGUAGCAAAGUAGAUCGAAUAUAGCAAAUCUUGUCUUCCUGUAUUGGCAGGGAAGUAGAUCGAAGAUAGCAGAUCUUGUCUUCCUAUAUUGGCAGGGAAGUAGAUCGAAGAUAGCAGAUCUUGUCUUCCUGUAUUGGUAGGGAAGUAGACCGAAGAUAGCAGAUCUUGUCUUCCUGUAUUAGCAGCGAAGUAGAUUGAAGAUAGCAGAUCUUGUCUUCCUGUAUUGGCAGCAAAGUAGAUUGAAGAUUAUAGAUCUUGUCUCCCUAAGCAGUAGUGGAGCAGAUCGAAGAUGAUAAAUAUUAUCUUCCCAAGGUAGUAGGGAACCAGAUUUAAGCCACCAGUCCUAUCUCCUUGAGUAGCGGUGGAGUAGGUUGAAGAUCGUAGAUCCUGUCUCCCUAAGCAGUAGUGGAGCAGAUCGAAGGCAGCAAAUCCUAUCUUCCCAAGGUAGUAGGGAAGCAGAUUUAAGUCACCAAUCCCUUCUCUCUGAGUAGCAGUGGAGUAGGUCGAAGAUUGUAGAUCAUGUAUCCUUAAGCAAUAGUAGAGCAGAUCGAAGGCAGCGAAUCUUAUCUCCUUGGCGUUACAGUAGAACAGAUUAAAGCUCAAGGUAGCGAAUCUUGUUUCCAUAGCAUUGCAGCGGAGCAGAUCAAGACUGAAGAUAACCAACCUUAUCUCCCUGAAGUUACAGUGGAGCCGGUUGAAGAUAUCAAUCUUAUCUCCCUGAAGUUGCAGUGGAGUAGGUUAAACGAAGUGAGCCUUAUCUCCCCGAAGCUACAGUGGGUCAGGAAGAGGCUACUUGAAGAAGAAGCAUACCAAUGUCCAACACAACCGGACAAAAUUGGCCUUCUAAUUUAGUCUUUGCUUCAUUUUCAUUACACGACAAUGAGCAAAGAGGGGCAGCUGUAAUAGGCCAAUUUAGCCCGGGCUCACAAAAAAAAUAAUAAACUCAAAAUAAUAAAACAAAGUCCAAGUCCAGUCCAAAAUUGUAUCAUUUGGCCCGAUCGGAAUGACCCAUUACUUGAAAAAGGAUAUGCAAUCUUAGAUAUAAUAUGCAAUCUUAGAAGAUAAGAUUUUGUAAUCUUAGAUAUUUAAUUUGUAGAUACCAUUUAAAUCUUAGCCGUUGAUGUAAUUGAUCUAUACCGUUGGAUUUAGGGAGGCUCAACUAUAAAUAGAGACCUCUCCCUUCAUUGUAAAACACUGGAGUUGGGAGCAAUAAUAAUUCUUAAGAGCAUUCACUCAAAUUUCUCCUUCUCUUGUGUUCUUAUUUUCUGUGGCCUGUUCUUAUUUUGUUUUUUGUUCAUCUUUGUUUCAUUUUAAGUUGCUUUCAUUUGAGUUGGAUUUUGGUGGAAGAAUUUCGUUGAAUCUUCAUAUUGUGGGAGUAAGGCUGACUUAAGUGUUUUUUUUAACCUUUUUUAUUUAUCCAUUUAAUUGUUUAAUUAUUAAUUAUUCUUUUACUUUUAUUCGUUUAUUUAUCCAUCAACUUUCUUAUUUACAUAUCGUUCAUUCAUUUAACCAUUCUUAUCAUUCUUUUAUUUUUUCCAUUAAUUAUAUACUUUAUUUGUUUUUAAUAUUAUGUCACACAUGUUAUUUAUUUUUUAAAAACUCGUGUUAUAAAUCAUCUAUUUUAAAUUAUUUGAUUAUUUGCUUUAAAUUUUUUUCCAUAUAUUAUCAAUUGCAAUUUAUUUUUUAUACUAUCUAUUUUUUCCAUAUUUUGGCCCUCAGUUUUGUUUUAUUCUCAUUUUUUCCUUUUAAUUCUGUUUUAAAAUCAAUUUAAUCCUCACUAGUUUGAUUUAAUUUGCUUGUGUUUUAUUUAUUUAAGUAUUGAUUAUUAUGAUUUUUAAAAUUUUAAAUAUGAUAUUAUUUGAAUGUUUAUACUUAUUAUUAUUAAAUUAAUCAUUAAUAUUAUCUAAGUGUAUUGUAUAUUAUUAUUUUAGAUUUAUCAUGUUUUGUUAUUUGUAAUUUAUCAAUAUUAUUAUUUUAAAUUCAUUGAUAACAUUACUUUAAAUUUAUCAUGUAUAUCUAUUUCAAAUUUAUCAUUAAUAUUUUUAAAUUUAUUAUAUACUAUUAUUUUGGAUUUAUCACGUAUGAUUAUCCUAGAAUUAUCAUCAAAAUUUUUAAAUUUUACAUGUAUUAUUAUUUCAAAUUUAUUAUAUAUUAUUUAUUGUAAAUUAUCCAAUUCAUUUCAAAUUGUAGAUAUUGUUUGUUUUAAUUCAUGUAUUGUUUUAAACUUCAUCCAUAUACAUACUAUUUAUUUUGGAUUAUACAUAUUACUUAUUUUCUAAAUUAUUUUUAUUAUUUUUCUAUAUAAUGUAUAUUCUAAUUUUUCUUCAUAUUUCAUUUGCUUAAAUAUUUUUGUAUAUUGUGUUUUAUUAGUUGUUUUAAACAAUUUAUUAAAUGAUUUAUUUCAAUUCAUUUCAUGUAUUCAUUUUAUCUUAAUUAAUUGAUUUACAUAAUAGAUUUUUUAGCAUAUUACUUACUUCAUGUUGUUUCAUUUAUGUACCAUUUCUUUGGAAUUAAGUUUGUUUUAUAUAUUAUUUCGAGUUCGAUAAUUAUUAUGUGUGUUUGGGGUUUAUACGCGCAUAUUAUUUAGUAUUCUGCCCAUGUAUAUUAUUCCAUGUUCAUACAUUUACUUUUCAGUUCCGAACAUUACAUCAUGGUUAAUUUGAUUAUUUCAUUUCUUUUCAUUUCGAAUAAAUCAAAUUUAUAUCAUUGUUAAUAUUGCAUUAAACCUUCGCUUUAAUCCAAUUUCGUAAAAAAAGGGAAAAAGAAGUUUGCAAUAUGUCGUCUUUGGAACGAUGAGAAAUCGUGCUCUAACUUACAGGGUUUCGAUCUUUCUCAUCGAACUAAAAUGGCUAAAUAUCUUAGUUGUCAAAUAUACAAAGUUUCAAUAAAGAUUUUUUAGCUUACGCUCGGGAAUUGAAAUGUUGCAUCCUAACUUACGGGAUACGAUAUUUUGUCGUCUCGGGAUGAGAAGGCUUUUUUACAUUCGUUUAAAUUUAUCCAAGUACUAUUUUAAGAUAUGUUAUUAAUAAAGGGGGAUUGUUUUUAAUCUUUUCAACUUUACGACAUUCGACUAUAAGACAUUAAUAAUCAAUUAGGUAGCAAUUUUGGGCGUUACGAGGGUGCUAACCCUUUCACGUGCGUAACCGACUCCCGAACCUAUUUUCUCAAAAUUCGUAGGCCUAAAAUCGUUUUCAAGGUGAUCCAAUCACACCUCAAUAAAAGAUCGGUGGCGACUCCAUUUUUUCGUUUUAAAAGUCGACCCCAUUUUUUCAAAAUAAAAAAUGGUUUCGACAAGUAGUAUUUUGAUUAUGUUUUUAUAGAUGUAAUUUAGUAUUACUUUAUUCUUUAGCCAAAAAAGAUUUUUUUUAUAAUUUAAUUAAAAUUUACUAUUAUGAUUCAAUUUGAUGUAGCUUCUAGAGAUGACAAUAAAGUCGGGUGAGAGCAGAUAUUGCUAAACCUAUUACCACUCCAUCAUUUGCAUGUUGUAUACAUCCAUCUAAUCCCAUCCCAUCCCAUCCCACCCUGCAUUAUCAUAACUGCUUCGUACCUAUUACCCAAAAGAAAAAAUCCACCCCGUUCAGCCCUGCAUCCACUUUUCAAAAAAAAAAUCUAUUUCAAGCGAAGCAAUUCAAAAUGUAUUGGACAAUUUGAGUUGUCAUACCUAAUAACUUUAAUCUGAGUUCAUAAUUGAAUACUGAGUUUAGAUGGUAAUUUGUUUUCCAAACUUUUUGAUGUCGUGUUCUUCGACAUGCCUAUGAACCGUUUCAUCAUUUGCCUCUUAGAAAAUUAAAAAUAAGUUGUUUAUACUAUGUGAUGUAGUUUUAAAACCGUUUCUUUUUUUUUUAUUUAUCCGUUAUUUAUUUGGUGUAGGCGAAAAAUAUUUUAUGGGUUUGUGUUUUUAAAAAAAGAGUCAAAUUUUAUUUUUUAAUCACCAUUAUCAAAUGUGUUUAUUAAUUUAGCGUAAAUAUUUUUCAUAUUUAUCAUUAAAUAUUAUUAUAAUUGUUUCAUGUUACUUUACUUAUUUUUCAUAUUUUUCAACUUAAUAUUAUAAUUUACUAUAGGUAACAAUAAUUAAAAAUACAUUAUUUAAAAUUAAUUAAAAAUUAAAUACGUAAAAUCAUAGGCAUGUGACAUUAGAAAUUACUUUAAAAAUAUAUAUCAAACAAAUUUUAUAAUUUAAAUUAAAUAUUUAAUUUUUUUAACACUUACUCUCUUUUUUUUUUAAUUUAUCAACCAAUUUUUAAGUCUAACCUAAUUCAAACCAAGGAAACUUACUUGGAUUUUAUGUUGGGAAUUAAAUAAAAAAGAGAAAUAUUUUUCACUUCAAACUUAUUCAGUUUAAUUACCAAAACUCCAAAAUAUUUUUUUGAAGACACCCAAAAAAACCCCUCUAUAAAAAAUAAGGAUAAUUUGUGAUAUUUUUCCUCUUAAAUGAUGUUAUUUAUAUUUUUAAUUAUAUUAUUUAUAUUUUAUUUUAUUUAUUAUUGAUUUAGAGAAUAAUUAGAGAUAAAAAAAAGCUUAAAGUUUAUUUUUGACAAGUUUUGCGGGUUGGACUUUCAACAUUUACAAUAUAGUUUCAGUAUUUUGGCAAUAACUUAAGCUACAAAUUUUAGUUUUGGGCUCAUAAUAUAUAGAUUUGAAGAAAAUUGACAUAACUAACUAAAGUUGUCUUGUAGAUGAAGCCCAAAAACAUCAAGAAGACAUCAAAAAAUGUCCUAGAAGUUUGACGGAAAAAUUGCCAAAAUAUCUUGAAAACUUUUGCUUUAUAUAAUUAAUGGCACUUUUGUACUUUCUCUAUUAUAUUAUUUUUCCCCUAUAGAUAGACAUUAUUAGGUUAAUACGAGGGGAGACCUAAACCUAGCCAUUCUUAGUUUUAUUUUGUUUUCUUUAUUUUGUGGCUUUUUAAACUCUCCAUCUAGUCAAAGGUUUUAUCAAAAUUUGAUUUAAUAAAUUUGCGAGACUUAAUUUUUGCUUUAAUUUUUCUUUGUUCUUUAGUAUUCAUGCAUUUUUUGUUUUAAUUACAACUUUUCAGGUUUAUUGAAUGUUCAGUCGGUAUUUGAUAGCCUAGAAUGAUUGUUUUGUCAAUUAGAAUUGUUAAACCCAUAAUUGUAUAAUUCAUUCUAAUACUAGUGACAAACUGCAUAAUUCGUUUAAGUGUAGUUCAUGUUUAUGUGGUGUGAAUGUGUGAUAUAGCUAAAAUGAAUCUCACUAGGAUGAGUUUGUUGGUUAGAAUUUGGACUCUCUCGUUCUUAAUACUGGCGGUAAGUUAAAUCUGGGGCGUUGAGUUACAGGGUUAUUUAUCGAUUAGGAAAUAAUUUCAAAUGAGUUUUCUCUUGGCUAUCGAACAAUGAGAGAUUGGUUGUCCGACACUGAGUCAAUAACUAGAACUAAUUUAUUAAAGGUAUUGAAGUUAUUUUUGCAUUGAUGAUCAAAUCUUUGAAUCAAACGAAGAUUUUAGUACUUCUAGAGUUUCUCCUCAUUAAUUUUCUUUUCUUUUGUUUUAUAAUUUAUUUUUACUUUGUUUUAAUUUUAAUUUUUAAUUUUAAACUCUUUUUAUAUUUUUCAUGUAAAUUUUUGUUUUUAUAAAUCGCUGCAUCCUUGCAUUACUUCAAUACAACACCAGAAGAACAAAAUGUCAAACACUGACGCUUAUAGAUAAAAAUCUUGCAAAAGAGGCCGUUUUAUUUUAUCAUAAAAUUAUUCAUGAAAUAGCCAUACAUGGCAAUUACAUAAGCUUGAAGGCCUUAAAACACAGAGACAUACGAUAGAAAUACGCAAACACACACACAAACGAUAGUAAUAAGCAAACACACACAGACGCAGUAAUGAAGGCUAACUUCAACUUCGUAGUAGUGCACACCGAUGGAGCACAUUAUUAUUUAGUUUACAGUUUCGACCUCUAGUGAUCGAAAACCCUGGCUCAAAGCCGGCAGCUUACGCACCCGUAGUGGUGUUGGGUUGGUUGCCAAGAAAAGCUGCAUCAGCAUUCUCAUCAGUGCAAUAAAGGCAAGGGUGCUGCUGUCCACAUCCUAGCUUUAUUAUUUCAUUCCUGACCUUCACCACAAGUUGUCUAUUGCUUAAUGCCCCAUUGCUCUCCCUGAUGACCUUCAGAACUGUAUAGGUAAAGGCCCCAAACCCCAUUCCUCCGGUUUUGUCACUCGCUCCCAUAUCACUCGAUUCCUCAUUGGCUUGGCACCCACUUAACAGAAUUCCCUCAUCCUCCGUCAGUGACCUCAAAUUCACAAUAUCACGUUCAUCAUGGGGUAGGAAUUUGAGACUCACAUUGUUCCCAAAGAUUGUGGUCAAAAUAGAGCCAAUACCCUCCAUAUUAUCUGUUCCAGUGUUGAUGGCAUUCCCAAGUGCUCUUGUGGGAAAUAAGCCUUGUGUCGCGAUUAUGACGUUGGCUACUGUUUGUAGGCACUGGUAUAAGGUUCCUAAGGAAAUGCCCCUAGUCUUGUAAUCAACAGGUAGUGCUAUACCCCUUAGAGUACUAUGGGGUCCAAUUUGUUCUUUACUUUUAUCAAUCAGACCACCACUGUGGCAGGAAUCCGAAACCAUUGUGAAGCUUGAUCCACUUGGUAGUUGCUUAAUCAAUUGCCCCAAGUCCACGUCUGCACAACCAUCGCAACCACAAUAUGAUAUAAAUUACAGUUUGCUUAGAUUGAGAGAAUUUUAAUAAUUUAAUUUACCGAGUUGAUUACGUACCAAAAAUGGGAUUGAAAUCACAAGGCACAAUUGCUUCACCCUUGUUGGAAGGCUGGUGGGGGUCAAUGCGGUCCACAAUUCCAUGUCCACUAAAGUGGAAAAGCAGGACAUCUCCUUCUUUAGCCGCGUCCACCAUCUUCUUGAGUGCAGCCAUAAUGUUUGCCCGUGUAGGCUUAUACUUGGACUCUGGUUCAUCAGUUAGGAGCUCAACAUUUUCGGAAUCAAAGCCAAACCUGCUCAAGAUCAUAUCUCUCAUGGCUUUCGCAUCGUUUACGCAUCCACUCAACUCUUUGAAGGUGUUGGGGUAGUUGCAUCCGACCAGAACGGCUCUCUUCUUACAUUCGGUGGGCAUCUUGCUUCUAUUUUGGGUCGCUU